CGCCUGCCUUGGCUCCGGGUACUUUGGCUCCAACUGCUGCUGCUGUAUCUUUCGCUUUAGCUUCAACUGCUGCAGCUGUAUCUUUCGCUUUAUCGCCAACUGAUUUAGCUGCAUCCUUUGCUUUAUCGACUAUUGGUGUCCCGUUUGCUAAUGUGGUUGCCAUAACUACGAGCACCACAAGUAGCACUCCUCUUGCUCUGCGAAAACCCACCAUUUUUAUUCUUUUAUUAUUUUUUUCUAUAAAAUUUUAUUUUAUUUUCUCUUUUUGUUUAUCCUUUAUUUUUUUUUUGUUUUGUUGUUGUUGUGUUUAUUGAUGUUUUGUGGCGAGAUUGCAAAGUCCAUUUUAUAGAGGGAACAAGAGGAGAUAGAUCACCACAAACUCCUUUGUAGCUAAAAAUAAAUCCGAGGAGUAUGCCGAGAAGUAGAAGCAUGACCAAUUCGUAGAGGUAUUACCUUUUUAUUUGGUGCCUUUUCUAUUUAUGGACUUAUAUAUAUAUAUAUGAUUAUGUAAACAUUUUGUUCCUUGGCAGUGUACUGUACAUCAUUUUUUUUACAUCAGUCACAAUAUUUUUUUUGGGUUAAAAUAAUCUUAUUUUUUUAAUUUUUUGAAACAGGUUAAAAUAAAUAUUCUAUUUAUUGACUUUAUUGCAAAAGAAAAUAAAUUACAGUACUUAUGGAUUUGGGAGAAUCUUAUAGUGGGCCAAUACGUGAAGUUUUAAAUGGGCUUGAUGUGAGAUGAACAAAUUAAUGAAAACGGAACCCAUUAAUCUUAAUGCGCGGUCGAGACAAACCCUAACAGAAUGGAGUGCGGCGGCGAUAGCGUUGUCGGAGUUGGAGAUUACUUGGUUGAGACGAAGAGAGAGAAGCUUAAAUCGGUUCUUUCUCAUCUCCUUGCCGAUCCGAUUCUCGCCGACGUUCCGAGGAACCCAACACUUUCUGAUGUCGUCACUCUUGUCAGUCUCGAAAAGGGAAGCGCUAUGCGUCUCUCCGUCGUCAAGCUCGACGGCUCCUCACUGGGUAUAUCUAAUUAUUUAUACUUGGUUUGGGCAUUUUAUCGAACACGUGGUGGGCAUUGAAGAUGGGUUUCUUACUUGUUUGCUUACUCUUGGCAGAUGUCGCCGUCAUGAAUUCAGCUACUCUGAAAGAUCUGAAGCUUUUGAUCAAGAAUAAAGUUAACGAAACGGAGCAAGCAAACAUGGGCCAUCGCCACAUUUCUUGGUAUAUUAUAGCUUCUCUCAACCUGUUUCUUUUACUUCUGGUCGUAACACAUGUUUAUUAAUUCUGGGGAAUAUGCAGGAAACAUGUAUGGUCAAACUUUUGUCUUUCGUACAAUAAUGAGAAGCUGCUUGACGACAAUGCUCUUCUUCAAGAUGUCGGAAUCCGGAACAAUUCUCAGGUUUAUCUUUGUAACCCCAUUUCGAAUUAGAGUUAAUCUGGGUCUGUUGUUCAACUCUUUUGACAUUGACACAUGUGUCAAUCUUGUUAUGUUUGAUCAUGAAUACAGGUGACCUUUAUGCCAUAUGUGAUGAAGAAGGGUCGAGGAAGACAUUCCAAGAGGAAGAAGCAUCGUCUCUUUCGUUCCCUACACAAGACUUGUUAAGCCCUUUUUAUAUGUUGGUAACUAAAUACUAGUCCCCUCAGCUUUUGUUUACAUGUUACAUAGCAUUGGUAAGUUUGAUUCCAGUUUUCAGACCCAGCUUAGUUAUGUCAUUCGAUACUUGAGCUAAGAAUUAACUAAGACUCUAGAAAAUAGAUGAAAUCGUUAGAUAAGAUUUUUUUUUCCUUUCCAUAAUGAUCAAUUGAUUUGAGACUUUAGGUCUGAUAUGUUUUAUUUUAAACCACGUUAAAGAUUCCCUGUGAUGAAUAUUUUAGUAAUCUGGAACGGUGAUAAAAUGGGGCUCCCUCUUGGAAACUUUCCAUGGAGGUUUUAGAGGAACCAUUUUUGUAGAAACUUGGCAAUUUCUGAGGGUUUCUUUGCAAUGUGAAAGUUGUUCUUCUUCUUACUGUCUUUGGUAUUCUGAGGCAUUGAUGUACACGUCGAUCUUUUUUUCAUUAUUCUUACUAUUUAUGGGGACUUUUGUACUAUUACAAUUGGUGGGUUGUUGACCAGGUUGGAGUAGACAUAUUCUGUGGUUAGUCGCACCUUCCUCGCCAGCAGCAACUAGAUGCAACAAAGACGAGGAUCUUGAGAACUUAAUGGUGGGGCGAUACCAUCAACACAUGAGGGACCGAUCUUUAUCAGAGUUUGGGAGUUGGAAAUUGGUUCAGUGUUAAACUCGGUACUAAUCAUUGUGGAUAAAGCUGUAAUUAUUGGUGGCAAUGUGAAAAAAACAGAGCAGAAACUGCUGUAUCUUCUCAUUAUUAAUAAAACAGGGAACUGAGAGUUAAGUAAUUCGAGAUUCAAUACUAAAUUUAUAUAUCCAUUGCAAUUCACUUAAGAGAUUGACUGCAGAUGAGAGAAGCGUUUGUAGCUCAGUCCAACUAUUCUUGUCCAAAGCGCGCAAUGCAGACGUAUGCGUGUUCUCAGCUAUUGGUUUGGUGUUAAUAAUUUACAAGUCUUUAAAAUAUUGCAAGGGCACGGUAAUAUAUCACAAAGUCAACACCUUAAAAAAAAUAGACAUCUCUUAUAUUAAAAUAAAUUUGAUAAAUAUAGUGUAAAUGUUUGAAUUUGAAACAUAGAUAGGACCUACAAAUAUGUCUUUUCUCCGAUGCUAAAUCAUAUAAAUUAGGGCCUAAACAAGAUUGGUGUUUUAGUGUGUUGGAAAAAAACCAAAGUGGUGGGAAACUAAACUUGUGCAGCUCUCUUACUAAUAAAUGUUACUUUUAGCUUUAGAAGAACCAACACUACUCACGGCACAACUGCCCCCACCCACCAUUUCUUUUCUUUUCAUUGUUACUUAUAUAAAGUCAUAUCUUUUUUUAUCUUAUAGACAUACUUUAAUCUUUAAAGUUCGAAGUUCGAACAAUAAUCUAAAUGCUUAUCUCACCCAUUUACUUAGAUAAAAAUCAACGAAUAAGUCUUAUUAUAUUUAUUAUUUAAUUGGAAAGAAAAGUCUAAUGUGAUCUACACCACAAACGAACAAUGCAACUCUAAUUAAUUAAAAGGCAUUUUAUUCUAAAAAACUAAGAAAAAUUCCAAAGUAUACAAAUUUAUAAAUCAAAUGGUAAGAUAGUUGUCUAGUAACGACCCAAAAAAAAAAAAAAAACAAAUUUGAUUUAACAAAACACAACUUAAGAUUAAAAAAAAAAAAAGUAAAAUGAAAGAGAGGAGGACUUUUGCAUGAGUUGGCAACUUCUUUUUUUGUUCUUAUUAUUAAAGUCUUAAGAAAAACUAAUUAUUUAAUUAAAUGUUGCUCUGUCAUCAUCACAACUUUUUUUUUUGUAAUAAGUUUUGUAUUCUUUCCAAUUUUUCUUUAUUCUCUUUUGACAAUCCGCAAACUCCAAUCUCAUCCUACGGUCUAGAUCUCUCCAAUCAUACCAUUGGUUCCAUUCACUUAUUAAAAACUCAAAUUAAAAUAAAAAAAAACAAUUCCACGAGAGAAUUAUUAUUAUGUGAUGCCUAUUCAACGUACCCUCCUUUUUUCCUCCAUCAUCUUCGUCUUCUUCUUCUUCUUCUCCUCCUUCUCUCUCUCCAUCUCAAGAUCAGGUAAACUCUUUUGCUUCUGGUUCUCUUCAUUCUCAUGGCCUCAGAGAAGAGUUUCAAGAAGAGAAAGAUCACCGAUGAUGUAGACGGAGCAGGAGGAGAGCUACUAGAAUCCCUUCCCGCAGAUAUUAUAUCCGACAUACUCUCUCGGCUACCAAUCUCCUCCAUAGCUCGCCUUAUGUUCGUUUGCAGAUCUUGGAGAUCCCUUUUGACUGACCACGGUCUUGUCCCUUCUUCUUCUUAUUCCCCGACAAAGCCAUGUCUUCUCCUUCACUGCGAUUCCCCAAUACGCAACGGCCUCAACUUCCUCGACUUAUCAGAAGAUGAGAAACGCAUCAAGACCAAAAAAUUCACCUUAAGAUUCGCAUCUUCCAUGCCGGAGUUUGACGUGGUGGGAUCAUGUAACGGUUUGCUCUGUUUAUCUGAUUCUCUCUACAACGACUCACUCUACCUCUACAAUCCUUUCACUACCAACUCCUUAGAGCUUCCCGAGUGUUCAAACAAGUACCACGACCAAGAACUCGUGUUCGGUUUCGGAUUCCAUGAGACGACCAAGGAAUACAAAGUGUUGAAGAUAGUUUACUUCAGAGGUGGUACUAGUAGUAGUAGCAAUAACGGUGUUUACAGAGGUCGUGGUAGAAUCCAGUACAAGCAGUCCGAGGUUCAGAUCUUAACCUUGUCGUCAAGGAAAGAUCAAACUCUGUCUUGGAGAAGCUUAGGCAAAGCUCCUUAUAAGUUUAUGAAGCGUUCAUCGGAGGCUUUGGUCAACGGGAGGUUACAUUUCGUGACAAGGCCUCGCAGGCACGUGCCGGACCGUAAGUUCGUAUCAUUUGAUCUCCGAGAUGAAGAGUUUAUAGAGAUACCUAAACCGGAAUGCGGCGGACUAAACCGGACCAACCAUAGGCUAGUUAACCUUAAAGGGUGUCUUUGCGCGGUCGUUUAUGGAAACUACGGAAAAUUAGACAUAUGGGUAAUGAAGAGUUACGGGGUAAAGGAAUCUUGGGGGAAAGAGUAUAGCAUUGGGACUUACUUGCCCAAGGGGCUAAAGCAGAAUCUGGACAGACCCAGGUGGAUUUGGAAGAACGCUGAUAAUGGUAAAGUGGUUCGGGUUUUAUGUGUUUUGGAGAAUGGAGAGAUUUUGCUGGAGUAUAAGAGUAGGGUUCUUGUUGCAUAUGAUCCUAAAGUGGGUAAAUUCAAAGAUCUUCUUUUCCAUGGUUUGCCUAAUUGGUUUCACACUGUUGUUCAUGUUGGAACAUUGUCUUGGUUUGAUACACCACUUGAUUUGUGAUAUUUAUUCAAUCAAAGCUUGGAAUUUGUAUAGUUCUUUAUUGGAUCUUUGAGAUAUUAAUGCGGUAUUUAAAUCCUUUUCAUCUUAAAAAAAAAAAUAAAAGUUUAAUUCUUCUUGCGUGGCCUUCCAAAUUAUUAUGUUUAGAUUUAAUACCAAAUUUAAAAAUCAUUCUUUUGUAAUGGGUAGAUUAACUUUAUUUAUUUUCUUCCAAAGUUCUUGUUCGUUUCUCUGUUGAAUCUAUGGGUUAUCUUUGCAUUUUCUCUUGGUUAAAUGUUAAUAUAAUUGUAUCGCUUUUCGUACAUGCUACUAAUGUUUGUUUAACCAUGCUCGAUCGCAAAGCAAUUACAAAGAAAAGAAAGAAAGAAAAGGCAAAAUCUCUUACCAUAUUGUUAUUUAGAUCUAACAAGAAUAUAAAGUUAGAUAAAGCAAACUUUAAAGAUAUAACAUUUAAAAGAGGCUUUCGCAAAUCACGCAAAAUCAUAUAAUUUUCACUAAAAAGAAAAAAAACUUAUGCAUAUAAAUAUAGAUAACUCAUGCAUAGACCAUAGUGAUCUUCGAUCUAAAUAUUAAACCCAUGUGAAAAGAUUCCCUAUCGUCUGAGAAUAAAACUGAAAACUCUGUUCAUCGUAAGAUCUAAACAUCUUAUUUAAACCAAUAUAUAUAUAAACAUCUUUAUAAACGUCGGGAUAUAUUAACAUUUUUGUACAUGACGACGAACGUAACUAUAUAUUGGAUCUCAUCAAGCUACAUUGUGAAGGGCCGUAAGUGGCCAAAUUGCCAUUUUUUCUCGCUUACCGACACCUCUGAAGCAUGCGUGCUGCGUCUAAAUCAUGAAAUUUCAAUUUCUCAUGUGAACUGAAUGGAAUAUAUAUAGUUUCUCUCUUUAUUAUCUUUCUUCAGUUGUGUUGCUUCCUAUAUAAUAUCCGAGUAGUGCAGCUAGCGAAAUAGAUAUGUUGUCCGGCGUUAGCAUAUAUUUAAAUUUGUUAUAUAAAACAGUUUUACUUCUAUCUCAGGUCGUGAUUUUGAUUCGUAUCGUAUGACUAAACUAGACUAGUAAAUCCAUUAAACGGAUUAGGAAAUUCGUGUCGUGUGGGUACAACCUUGCUAAUGGCAUGUUGACUAAUUUGAUAUAUCAUCGUGUAUAAAAAGUAUAACGUAGACGACCAUUGCCUAACCUAACGAAGUGAUAACGUUGCCCUAAGAAACUAGCAUAUGACUUUGGAACGGCUUUGUCUACAUAUCGCGUACAUGACUUCCGAAUAUAUGAAUGAACAAGACUCUAUAUAUUAUUUACACUCUUAGCACAAAAAAAAACAAAGACUCUGUAUAUUACAAUGUCGAACAUGUAAUGUAAGGCUUAAGAUCAGUGUAUGUUGUCCUCAUGUCUAAACCACAUGAUAAUAAGCAAAACUGAAUGAUUCAAACAGGGUCCAAUUAAAUGAGAUUGAUUAAAGAGUAGAUUUGAGGCAAUAAAUUCAUCUUUUACUUUUAGAAAAAGAAAAGAAAGAAAUUUGAAACACAAAAAUUUGGUAAAGAAGUGCCAUUGUUUUGUCUCACGUAGGACCGCCACAGGGACCUCACUAUUAAUAUCAAACCAUCAGAGCACAAUUAUGCAAAUUAUCCACAAGAUUAGAGGACUAAUUCAAUGAUUAAUCAGUAACAAAUGAUUUUCUACAUGCGAUUAUAGUAAUUUAAUUAGAGAGAGAGAGAGAGAGAGAGAGAGAGAGAGAGAGAGAGAGAGAGAGAGAGAGAGAGAGAGAGAGAGAGUGAGAAAAAACAAAACAUAAACAUUAGUGUGUGUGUUUUGUCUUUGUCGUGGCUCGAGGCACUCUCUCUCGUCUCUCCUCUCGUCGUCUCUGCUGCGCGUGGAAGAAAUAGCAAUUAUGCAAUUGUUGUAUGUAUGAUUGGUUUAGUCUUAGUGACCCUCACGAUCUCAUUCAUUCUUUUAGGCAAAUUCUCUCAUUCUCAUUCUCAUUCUCUCUCAUAUAACUCGGAUCACCACAUGACUCCAUCUCUUCUUUGCCGUUACCAUUAACCAAAAUCCCUAAAAAAACUUUCUUUUUCAUUUCCCCCUUCCUAGGUCCUAAAGACGAGACCUUUCUUUCUGUGUGUGUGUGUGUGUGCCAAAGCUCAAUUCUUUUUUGAGGCCUGGGGGGUGGCGAGCUGAUUGAUGUCUUUGGUAUCUGGAGCCAGGGACAUGGGCUUCGACGACAACAAGAACAAGGAAUCAGGAGGAGAUGAUGAAAACUCCUCCAGAACCGACGACGAGGCUGUUGGAUCUUUGGGUAGACAGAUGAGCGAAGCUUCUCUUUGUGCUACCGAGGAGGAGGAAGACGACGAUUCCAAAUUGCAAUUGGGUCCUCAGUACACUAUCAAAGAACAUCUCGAGAAGGAUAAGGUUUCAUCUUUUUUUUUAUUUCCUUCUUCCUCCUUUUUAUCAUUUUAUUUUGGUCUCAAAUUGUGAAAAUUCUAAUGCUUUAUUGCCGUUAAACCUGGGCUCGUGUAGGAUGAUGAGAGUCUGAGGAAAUGGAAGGAACAGCUUCUUGGAAGUGUUGAUGUCACCAACAUUGGAGGUGGGUUUGCUCUUCCUUUUUUUUCAGAGAUUUUUUAAUUGUUUCAGUUUCGGAAAGAACAAGUUAAAUUUAUGAUCUUUUUAAUUCAUUUGGCUACAUUUGAUGAUACACCCUUGUUAGAUCAUAUUGGUUGAUACCUCUCUGUGAUUCAUGUGAUUGAUUUGGAUCUGUUUGGUCUUUGUUUACCCUUGAAUGGAUACAAUCUUCCUGCACAUAAACUGGUGUGGAUUUUAGUUCUCAUCAUCUAUGUUUAUGUCCUUGCUUGAUGAUUAUGCCUGUAUUUUUUUUCAUUCUGUAUAUACAUCAAGUUCAGAUUGGACAAAUGUGUGUUGCAUUGAUGAAUUUGUCUCUUGUGUCUCUCUCGAUACGCAGAGACUCUUGAUCCGGAAGUGAGGAUUCUUAGCCUCGCCAUCUUAUCUCCCGGGAGGCCUGAUAUUGUUCUGUUGGUUCCGGAGAAUGGAAAUCCUAAGGGCAUGUGGUUUACUUUGAAAGAAGGGAGCAAGUACAACUUGAAGUUCACAUUUCAAGUUAAUAACAACAUUGUCUCUGGUCUUAGGUACACCAAUACAGUUUGGAAGACCGGUGUUAAAGGUAAAAACUAUACGACUACAAGUUUGUUUUUAAUCGAUUCUCAAUGGUUUAGAGACAAUGUGAUCCAAUUCCUUUCUUAAAAAUUGUUGUUACAGUGGACAGAACAAAGGAAAUGCUUGGAACCUUUAGUCCUCAGUUGGAGCCAUACGACCACGUGAUGCCAGAAGAGACUACUCCCUCUGGCAUGUUUGCUCGAGGAUCAUAUUCUGCAAGAACUAAGGUACGGUUGGUUUUAGACCCUGGUCAGCUAAUAUUCUCUUCUUUGGUGUUGAUUUUUAGAGUUACUUGGAAAUCUUGUUUCAGUUUCUCGAUGAUGAUAAUAAGUGCUACUUGGAGAUCAACUACAGCUUCGACAUUCGUAAAGAAUGGCCUGCGGUUUGAAAUUUGUGAACGCGAGUUGUCUCCUGAGAUGUGUUGUCAGUAGAAGAAAGUUGUGGUUGUUUCACUCCCUAUCUCCGUUUUUUUCGUUGAACAUAUAAUUGUGAAUCGUUUUUCUGAUCAUCGUAGAACAAGAACGACAUUUACUUCAUCUUUGAUCUUGAUUUUUUUUUUGUGUGUCCAGUGAUGUCUGUGUUUGUUCUCAACUUUGUUUCUCCUUCCACUUAACAUGUGUUUGAUGAUAUGAUUGUGUUAGAUCCUGAGAGGCUGAGAUGUAUAAUGGUUCUCAGUCAAAAGCUGAAAAGAUGAAAGUUCAAAAAACAAAAGAAGGUUUUGCUUCACAGAAAAUGCAUCUUCUCUAUUUAUAGAUUAUUUAUGCCUUUAAAGAUAAGCAAGCUAUUUUUGAACGCUUCCUCACCACACCAUCACCUUCUUUUUGCUACUUCUAUAACCAUUUAUUAACGCUUUUAUAAACCGCAAAUUUUGUUUGAAUCGCCUCGUUAAAACAUGACCACCAAUAGAAAUCCUCUGAUACAACGUCCCUCUCACAUGGUUCUGUUGUGUGCGUCUGUUUGUUUUUUAUUGGGCUUUGAUUAUUUAACAUUAGACUUUGGAAUUCAUACAUAUAUUUCUAAUUUCUUACUCAUAUAUUGAGGCCAAGUUCUUAUGCUCAUAUCAUCCAUUUGCUUUACGACUUGCUGUUUCUAAAAAGAGUAUUCAGAAGAACAGUUGCCAAUUCAUACUGCAGACCAAACAUGGAUCAAAUUAAAACAUAGAGAUCACAAUUGAUUAUGUCAAAGACAGGUAAAGAAAAGCAAGAGGGCAGGUAAGACCUCUUGGAAUGUGAAGAAACUUGACAUUUACCAUCUCAGAAAUGGAUCUUGGUUAUGUUUUGCUCUCAAAAUAAAAUUAACAAAAUCCUAUUUAUAUAUACUUAGAAAAGAAAAGAAAAAAACAAUCAAGAUGGGUAAAUAAACCAUUGUUGGACUUGGCUCCCUCGUCCUUCUUUUACACCUUUUGGCUCAUUUUCUCCCAACAGUUGUUUUGGUUAUGUGCUCUUACCACUUUCUUUAAGAGAGUUGAGCCUCCGAAGUCUCUGGUCAAGUUCUGCCUGCACUGCUGGUUCCUGCUUCUUCCUCUGCUUUGAUAUGGUGUUGGUAGUCAUUGAUCCGAUUUUCUCAAAUGCCACCUGAAUAUUUGUUUAUUUAUAUUAUGUAUUAUGAAUCUUGAAUAUAUAUAUAGAAACUCGACCUUGGAUUAGGGUGGUAGGCUUGGCUUACCGUUAAUAAUUCAUCUGGGUCAAAAAGCUGAUGUGAAGUUGUCUGUAAUAUGUUGAUCACAUCCCCGACCUGGUGGGUCAUAAGCAGCUCGUUCUCUUUCAUCUGCGAAUGAAGAGAGAUCCGUGAGAUGAUAUUCAUCUGUGCAGGAUUAGUAUUUACAGAAAAGGAUGAUCAGAGGAAGAGAAUUAAGAACCUUGAAUAUUGCUAGAGCUGCAUGGAAUAGAACCUUUGCUCCUUCAUAGAAAAGUACAUCCCACACCCUUAGAGUUGUCUGCAAACCAGAACAAAGUUCUCUGUAUCAAAAAAAUAAUCUUAAAAGAUACAUAAUUUGACGAAAGGUUUUGUUUUUAAGAACCUCUGAAGGAAGGCUUUUAGAGAAGAGGCAUAGAAACCAUUCCGUGGCUACGAGGGAAACAUCAAAGCCCAUAUCUUCAAGAUGUGUAGCUAUUCUGCAAAGACAACAAGAUAACGUAAGAAAUUGAUAAGCUGGUGAAGUUCAGCGACCAAGAACCAAGAAAGUAAGAAGAGACUUACCGAGGACAUUUUUGGGCAAGCAAAUCUUUGAAAACCCGCUGCUCAACAUGGCAUCCUGACAAGUUUGUUGUGUAGCAGUCACGGACUAAUACGUUUUCUAAAAGGACUGCUAGCAUCCAGAAUGCGUCUUCUUCAGUCUUCAUGACAAGUAAUAGUAAUGCUGCAACAUAGUUUAGGCCCUGGAACAAUAAUGGAGUUGAUUAAGAAAAUAUUUUUUCAAUAUAACGGAAAUGGAGAUGGGAAAGGACAAGCGUGUACCUGACAAUAGCCAACAUCAGAAUCUCGAAAAGAAUACCCAACCAGCACGCGUCGUAGAGCAGCAUGACCCUCUGGAGUAUCCAACCAUGGAUGGCCUGGGAAAGUCCGUGGCAGAUCCUGCAAGAGUAGAGACACAAUGUCAGUCAAAGGAAAAUAACAAGAAAAUCCGAGGCGGUUGCAGUAUAAGAUAAGAAAAUCAACAGUUCAUAGCAUAUAGCCUCAAAUGACCAUCAAUCAACACAGAAGGAAGGCUCUACAAGAAAUUGCCUGAACACGAGGAUGAACAACGGAUCUAGAACAAUCUAGAACAAAGGAUCAAUUAAAAUAUUUGGAAAUGAAACCAAGCUUUGUUGGUUUCCUGCAGCUAACAUCGAUCAUUAAAUUACUCAAAAUACUAAUUGAGAGGCACAAUGAAGAUCUAGGGGAUGAAAGAACUAUUCAUAGGACACAACAUAUGAAGCAGCCUCCUAUGACCAUCAUACAACAGUAGUAAAAGAGAUAGGCUUUUAAAAGUAGGCUCUUAUAGUUGCCAACAAAGCACAAGAAUCGACUACAGAUCUACACCAAUCCUAACACAAAGGUUCACUCAAAUUCAAUCCUAAAAUUUCUUUAAAAAAAAAUACUAAGCUCUGAGAAGAAAAAGAAUAAAUCCAAUCAAACCUCAAAUGGAUGGAUCAAAAAGGCAAAAACUGAAACUUUGGAUGUACUCAAACUCACAUGAUCAAUCUGUCUGGUGGCAGGGGUGACCUUGCCAUCGACGGCCUUAGUCAAAUCACUGUAAUAACUAUCGGGGACGGUGGACUUCUUCUUAGCAGCACCGGAAAGAGAAAACCAAACCUUAGGCCUAAGGACAGGAGGGAUCCCUUUCCUAAUCAACCUCUUCAAAGUAAUCGCAUUGGUCAAAGUGGAGAUCUUGAGAGACGUUUUCAAAGCGAUGCCGUCGCCGAUCAAGAGAAUCUCCGGCUGAAGGUACCAAUUAGCACCUUUGCUAGCUUCAAGAGCCCACCAAACCCGUCCUUGAUUCCUCACUUUCUCUCUGACCUCGUUCAAGACAUUAACGUCGUCGACAUUUCCUUCGACGGUGAAGCCGUACAAAUCCUGGAACUUGACGACGAUGUUGGCUCGUCUGGCGUGGAUGCUGGGACGGAGAAUCGGAAUCUGAGAUUGGAGUUCCAUUGUCAAAUCACGCCUGCUCUGGAUCCCAAACAUCCUCCAAAUUCAAAGCCUUUUUUAUUUUAUUUUCUAUCGUCUGAAUUCCCAAGUUUCGUCAAUUUCAGACCAAGGACGAACACGGAAACAUGGACACCGUCAAUACAAAGUUUCUAGGCUGCUGCUACGGAGAGAAAAAAAUUAAAAAAUUAACAAAACGAAGUUGGUGUUUGAUAUAUAUAUUGAAUUAAUCCAAAAGAGAGAGAGAGAGAGUUAUAGAAAUCUGAUUGGUACCUCUGAAUAUUAUAAUUGUAGUCACGUUCUGCAAACGUUAUCACCUCUCUUUGAACACCUAAUCUUCUCCUCUACGACGCCCACACACACAGUCAAAAAAAGAUUACAGCUUUUUUUUGUUAAGAAAAAUAUAUAUAUAAUUUCCAGAAACAAAAAGAAGAAGAACAAGGCAAGAACAGAUGAUUUCUUUUUUUUAUUUAUUAUUUAUUUAUGAUUCUCUCUCUCUCUCUCUCGCUAGCUCGUGAGAACAAAGGACACUAAAAAUGGAAAAAGCAGAGAAAUAAAACAACUCUAAUAUAAAUAGAUUAGGAGAAAGGAAAAAAAAAGGAAAAUUAUUUUAACUGACAACAAAAAGAUCCAGAGGAGCGUUGAAUUGAAUCCCCGCGUCUCUCGCUGUCGAACAAGAAGCAGAGAGAGAGAGAGAGAGAUUCAAUCGCUAGGUGAAAGGAAGAAGAAGAUAUGUGAACUUUUUUAGAUAGAGCUGAGCUGAGAGGUUGAAUCGUGAGCCUUGUACUUUUCUUUUGGGGGUUAUUUUAUAAUUUAAUGAAAGAUUAUUAUGAUUUUGAAACGUUAUUUAGAGAACUGGCUUGGAUUACUACUAGUACUAAUACUAAUGACGCAGGUUUAACUUUUUUGAAUCAUUUUGUUUAUGUCCCCAUUUAGCCUCUGAUUUAUGAUAUUUUCUCCUAUUUUUGGUAAUUGACUAUUAUGCCCCUUAACUUUGUUCGUAUAUCGGCUUUUGGCUGUGUUCUUUUCUGAUGACAAAUAUGUAAUUUGCAUAUGAUGAUGUGUUAAAUGGAUCAUUUUCUAGCUGUUUCUAUCAUCAUUAUAAUUUUAAAAUUUUAAAUUGCAAGAUAGAGAGAGAGACAUGUGUAAGACUAUUUAACACUGGAUCUUUCAAAAAAAGUUUUAAAAUUUCUAAUUCACAGUUCGCUAGUAAUAAAUGAAAAUUAUGAUUCCUUUAGUUUUUGUUUUUUGGGUUAGGUGUAAAAUAUGAUUCCAAAUCUAGAUUUUAAUCAAGAAUUGUGCCAUGUUUUGAAAAAGCUUAAAACUAAAGAAGGCGAAAACGUGCUGAAGUGCUAUAUAUAGCCUAUGUUCAUUUUUUUUUUUUUAAAUAUAGUUGAUGUUCUCAUAUGAUAAAGACACGUAAACUUUUUCUACGAUAAAAUUGUAAUCUGAGAACAAUAUGGUAUCCCAUAAUUUGAUUUGAUUAAUCAGAUUUUGCUUCAAAGAUACGUGAGCCCACGACUCCACUAACCUUCUUAACUUGCGUUUCUACGAUCAUUGUUCGUUAGUUUAUGAGAAACUUUGAAAAAUGCAUCCCCACCAACGGGACCGAUAGUAAAACGAAGCUAGCUCUGCUCAUUACUACGCACGCAAUGAAUAAAAAAAAAAUACAGAGACAUAGGUGGGAUGAAUUAAGUUUCGCCAGUAAGAUGCAAGACUACCUCACCACAACUAGCAAUGUGAUCACAAAUCAGAAUGAGCUCAAUCUUGGGCCUGUGACAUCUCUUAUAUUGGCCCAGCUCAUUCGUUUCAUCUAGUCUACUACUUCAGCAGAACGAGAUAUAUCACCAAAAUUCGUUUUAGAAAAGAAACAAAACUACAAAUAUAACAUUCAUUUUCGUUAAGAAUUUAUAAAAUUUUAUUCUCUAAUAUUUAACACAUACUACGAUUUUUUUUAAAGGCAUUCAUAAAUUAUCUGCUAAUCAGCAUUUAUUUAACGUCCGAUACAUACAAAAAAAAGAAAAAAAAAUGAUUAUGGCUGCAUGAAACAUAAAUAUCAUAUAUGAUGUAUUUCAAUAGUCUACAUAACACAAUUUUAAGUAUAUAAUUAUAUUUUUACCUACGACGUAAGCAAAACAAAUUUUUAAUAGUCUAAAAGAUAAUACACUAUGAUAAGGUCGUCUCAAUUGAUAAGCUAAUACUAAAUAGAAUAAUAUGUCUCUAUCUAAACAUUUUGGUCUAUUAUUUAGUAGUUUGAUAUUAUUAAAAAAGUUGUUGCGUGUGUGUUGUUGCCUUGUUGGGUGCAUUUUUUUAAUAUUGACCAAUAAAAAAAAAAACCCAAAAAAUACAGAUAUUCUCCAACUAAUUUUCGAUUAUUUAAUUAUCACCACCAAAAAUUUAAAAAUAACAUAUGAGAGAAUCUUCUUUGGAAACGAAACUGCCCCAAGAGAAUACUACACAAUACACAACACAGUCCUCUGUUUUGUAGCAAUCUUCUAUGUUCCCGCCGUAACUGAUUUCCACAGAAAGCUCUCAUAACCUCUGUUUUGAGCUGUGAUGGGAACAUGGAAGACGAGAAGCAGUAGUAAUAAGAAGAAAGUUUGCUACAUUUCAGUCCCAGCUCUGAUCAUAAAAUCAGUUUCCUCGUCGUCUUUGCACUCUUUUCUCCAUAACAGAUCUUCAAAGAAGAACACAAACAAAUUCUUCAAUCUCGUAAACCCAAAGCUCUGGGCUUUACUUCUCUUCUUACUUACUAUUUUGGGCAUAUCGUUAAGACUCGGUCUUUGUCUUUCUCCUUUUGGUUUCGGCGAUCACAAAAGUCAACUUCAGAGCUCAGAUUCUAAUGUACCUCCUAAAUCCCAUCUGAGUAUUGCGUUUAGACGAUCAAACACUACUCAAGUUGAGAUUUCCAACGCCAAGGAUCGAUCUUUGGAUACAGGUGUGGAGAAAAAUGAGACCUUUGGUGGUGUUCAAUCACAUUUGAUCACCUCUAAUGGAAAUGGACAAGGUGAUAUUUAUGAGUUCUGGAAACAGCCUGAUGGAUUAGGUUACAAGCCAUGCUUAGAUUUCAGCAUUGGAUACAGAAGAGAGAGUAAGAAGAUUGCUACAGAGAGGAGAAGGUAUCUGAUGGUGGUUGUCUCUGGUGGGUUGAAUCAGCAGAAGAUUCAGAUUGUUGACGCAGUUGUGAUUGCGAGGAUUCUAGGUGCUGUUCUUGUUGUACCAAUAUUGCAAAUCAAUCUCAUUUGGGGUGACGAAAGGUAAAUAGCUAUUUCAUUAUGGAUCAUAAGACAUAAGAAUGUUCAUUUUUGUGUUCAUCCGUCAUUGUAUGAAUGUUUGUUUGCAGUGAGUUUUCAGAUAUAUUUGAUUUAGAGCAAUUCAAGAGUGUUUUAGCAAAUGAUGUGAAGAUAGUUUCGUUGCUUCCCGCAAGUAAGCUAAUGACUAGACCAUCAGAAGAAGGUGGUAUGCCCUUUAACGCCUCCCCUCAAUGGAUCCGUUCGCACUAUCUAAAGCGUGUAAGAUCAUACAACAUCCCUUGGAAUCAAUUAGUGAUUAACAAGUGAGAAGUAAUGUUCAAUGGUCUUUGUUGUUCUUUUAUAUCUGCAGUUCAACAAGGAAGGAGUUCUGCUUUUAAGGAGAUUAGAUUCAAGGUUGUCUAAAGACUUACCCUCUGAUCUCCAGAAGCUUCGUUGUAAGGUAUGUUUCUAACUCGGAAGCUAAACGAGUUGUUUUUGUCCUUAUUAUUUGAACAAAAUUAUAUGUUGCAGGUAGCCUUUGAAGCACUAAAGUUUUCGCCACGGGUGAUGGAGAUGGGGAAGAAGCUUGCAGAGAGGAUGAGGAGCAAAGGGCCUUACAUUGCGUUGCAUCUUCGAAUGGAGAAAGAUGUAUGGGUGAGAACAGGCUGCCUCUCUGGUUUGAGCUCAAAGUAUGAUGAGAUUGUAAACAUGGAAAGGAUUAAGCGGCCUGAGCUCCUAACAGCCAAAUCUAGUAUGACAUCUAACGAGAGGAAACUCGCAGGUCUCUGUCCAUUAAAUGCCAAGGAAGUAACAAGGUAAAUGAGUGAGCUACUAUUUUUCUUACAAGGUUUUCUGUGUUGUGAGAGAGAUUGGCUCUCAGUUCUACCUUUUGAAAUUAGACUGCUUAGAGCUCUUGGAGCACCAAGAGAUGCAAGGAUCUAUUGGGCGGGAGGGGAACCGCUUGGCGGAAAAGAAGCUUUGAAACCGUUAACAAGUGAAUUCCCACAUCUCUACAACAAGUACGAUAUUGCAUUGCCUCUUGAACUCAAACCUUUUGCAAAACGAGCUUCGAUAAUGGCAGCAAUCGACUAUAUAGUGUGUAAGGAGAGUGAUGUGUUUAUGGCAUCUCAUGGAGGGAACAUGGGCCAUGCAAUUCAGGUACACAUUCUUAGGUCUCGGUUGUUUCAAAAGUCAGAUUUCUAAUGUGGCAACUUUACCCACUCUCAAGGGUUGAAUUAAUCUCUCAGGGGCACAGGGCUUAUGAAGGACACAAGAAAAUUAUAACACCAAACAAAAGGCACAUGCUUCCAUACUUUGCGAACACAUCAAUGAGUAAAACAGAGUUUGAGAAGAUGAUAAAGAAAUUACACAGACAAUCUCUAGGACAGCCAGAACUAAGGAUUAGCAAAGCUGGAAGAGAUGUAACAAAGUAUCCUGUUCCUGAGUGUAUGAGCAAUCAAGUCACCUCUACGAUAAUUUAAAGCUUCUUUUUUUGGCACAUAUGGUUAAAAAAACAAAGAUUAUCAUUAAUAUAAGUAUAAUAUAAUCUUUUUACUCCACUUUCCAAGCUUUAUCUAGAUCCUAAACCCUUGUAACAUGAUCUUUUCAUCAACAACCAGGUGAUCUUAGGCCAAAAGAGUAAGAAGCUCAUCAAACGAACAGAGAUGAAAGUUCACAAAUAGCAGCAGAAACAUAUAAGUUUAUUCAUCCAAUACUUAUUCAAAAAAAAAAAAAAAAAAACUCAAUAUCUUUCAGAAAAGAAUCCAAUCUUUGACCAGAGAGACAAACUUAAAAGCUUCUAGAGCUAAAGAAAUGUAAGGGAAUCAGUAGCCUUUUCCACAAUGUAUCAAACUGCCGGCACCUAGAAAAAGCCCGAAAAUUGCCGCACUGCCAACGGUAGUUUGGCCAAUGUAUCUAAUCUUCAUAAGUCCCGGAACCUGCAGAAAGAGAAAAAGGAAUCAGUGAUCAUGAAGCAGUAGUAAUGUGAUAUGAACCUCACACAGUUAACGUUUGGCAUAAGUAUCUAUUGAGAUUGUGUUCACAACCGUGUAAGCAUAGUGACAAACAAGAGCAAUCUCUAACUUUAGACAUCUUUCUUAUCUAACUUAAAGAGCUAAAACUUGAGAUUGAUCAUCCUCUUUAUAACUCACAAAUAAAGACAACAAGACCAAUCAUAACUGAAGCGAUAAGACGGAGCUGUUGCAGUGUGUUUACAAUUGAAGGAGCUAUAUCCAAGAGUGAAAAAGAGUUUCACUUUCAUAAAAAAACCCGAAUUUAACAAGGCUUACCUUGAAUCUAAUCGCCUCGUAAGUUCCAUAGACAGCACCUGAACACAACCACAAAACAAGUUGAAUAUCAUCUCCAUACCAAAAUUCUUGUACAAAUUCCAAAAAUCGAAUAACAUUUAAAGGCAAUUAAGAUUGUAAUUUAGGGUUUAGGGUUUUUUCCCCAGGAAAAAAAAAGAAGCGUACCUACAGCGCCACCAACUGCGCCGCCAAUGGCAACUCCGGCAGUGAUUCUAGCCAAACAGCUAUUAUUAUUCGCCAUCUUUUUUUUUUAGACAAUUCGGUCAGCUGUGUUUCUCUCUUCUCUGUCGGAAAAAUAAUAUUGCGGUUGCCCUCGCCGCUUUAUAAGGUUUUCUGACUUUCAAUUUUCUUUUGCUUGCACAGUGGGAUCGAUUUUGCCUUUCCCUACAAGAACAAGACCCGCCGCAACACCGACCUGUUCCUAAACCGGCUUAACCGAUUCGAACCAAAUUUGUCGAAGGCGUCAUUAGUUUCUUUAUACACCUUCACCCAAACCGGCUCCAGCGGAUCGUUCUUACCGAAGCCGGCAUUUAUUGGUUAAAAAAAUUAAAAAUUUACCAAACUAACAUUUUAUUGAAAAUUUACCAAACUAAAAAUUAAAAAUUUACCAAACUAAAAAUUAAUAUGGAAAUAACCAAAUUUUAAAAAAUUCCAAAACACCUUUUUUUUUUUUUUUUUUUCCCAAUGUGCUGUAAAAAAGAUCAAACAAAAUGUGGAAGUGAAUUGUACUAGAUCAUUCUCUAUAGUAUGUAUCAGUAAAGUCAGAUGAGCGAAUAAACGAAUAUUGCUAAAAACUUUGGGUGAAUGGUUACAAAUUUACAUUUAAAAAUAAAGAGAGUCAUUUUCGUUUAAUAAAGUCAUCUACUGAAUUAAAUUAAUGUCAUUGGUGUAAAAGAAAAUUGCUAGUUCGUGAAAAAAACAUAUUUCUCUUCGAAACAAAGAGACUAGUCUCUCGAUAUAUCAGCUCGCUACCAAUAUAUCUAGUCGUCCUGGGAACAACGUAGGUUUUGUUCAGGGAGAGACACCGGGUCCAUCGUCUUGAUCCACACUGCCAAAACAAAACCCAAUAUGCCUUCAUAUGAAAGAUAUAGAUACAUAGAUUUCAGAAUAGCAAACACAAAAACUGGAUAGAGAUAUAUCUUGAUCAAUAAUAGUAUUCAGUCAGUAAUCACUUGUUUAACCAAAUAUACCAAAGGAGGAGCUUUUAUCAGGGAGUGUUGUACCUAAAACAUGACUAGUAGUAAUUUCUAUUUCCGAGUAAUUAAGACUAAAGUCUAGGCUGAUACUUACUAAAAACUAACUCAGAAGUCAGAAUCUUCAAAAAGGAUUUACCUUUGGUAACGAAACCGCAUGAGGGAUUGUCUACUCUUACCGAGGAAAAUAAUUCGGGAGAGGCUGCGGAGCUUUUUGUUCUCUUUUUUUCAACCCUAAUUUUUUAUUUGUCAAAAAAGCUUUCUGUAUAUAAUAAUUAAAAAAAUAAUUCCCAAUUUAUGUAAUUAUUUCGUAAUUAAGUAUUUACGGCGUAAUAUAUACUGAUGGCAGAAAAUGGUAAUUUACAGACGAAAGUAUCGGCGAAGAGGAGGGAUUGGGUGCUCUGUUUAAGUGAGAUUGAGGAGGUUCUCCCACUUGUAAAUUGAGAUGGUUCCUCCUGUAAUUUAUACGUAUGCGCGAAGGAGAAGUCGGAGACUUGGGAGCGACGAUGAUAGUUCAGUGAUGAUGACUCCUCGGAGACCCGACUCCGAUAUUAUUGAGGUAUGUGAUGAGAAUCGCUCGAUUAGUUUAUUUGAGGAUGGGGAGGACUAUGAUGAUCGAAUUCGAGUUUUGGGUUGCAUUGCUGAGACUGAAACUCGACAUGGUUCAAGUAAUUUGCUUCUUCAAUGUCAUGAUGAUGUUUGUUGCCUCGACAAGGAGAAGAGCGAUAGCUUUGUUUCAUCUAGUAGAAGAAAUUUGGAUGAUUUUUUAUCUGGGUGCUCUUAUAAGGGUGUGAGGACUAGGAAAAGAGAUGCAUUUGGAAGUGAAACAAAGAGUAAUCUUGUUUCUCCUCAAAUUGAUGUUGAUGAUGUUGUUUCUGAAUCUCAUGCUGGUGUAAGAAGAGUUUCUCCAUACUUCCAGGGGUCUACUGUGUCACAACAGUCCAAAGAAGGGUGUGAUUCUCAUAGUGUUUCCUCUCAAAGUGGAAGAAAUUGUAGGAAAAGAUGCAGCAGAGUUCAAGCUAAAGUCCCUAGAGUUUCUCCAUACUUCCAGGCAUCUGCUAUUUCACAGUGUGAUUCUGACAUUGUUUCUUCUCAAAGUGGAGGAAGUUAUAGGAGAGAUAGCAGCAAACAUCAAGCUAAGGUCAGAAGAGUUUCCCGUUAUUUCCAGGCGUCAGCUGAUUCAGAACAGCCAAACCCGCCAAGGGAUUUGCGCAAGUAUUUUAAAGUUGUGAAAGUUUCAAGAUAUUUCCAUGAUGUGUCUGCGGAUGGAAUUCAAGUUGCUGAUUCACAAAAGGAGAAAUCUAGGAGGGUGAGGAAAACUCCCGUUGUGAGCCCUUCACUAUCGCCUUCUCAGAAGACGGAUGAGGCAUACCUGCGCAAAACGCCAGAUAACACAUGGGUGCCUCCACGCUCUCCGUGUAAUUUACUUCAAGAAGAUCAUUGGCAUGAUCCAUGGCGGGUGCUAGUUAUAUGUAUGCUUCUCAACAAAACAUCUGGUGCACAGGUUUGGCCUCAUUCCUCUCUCCUUAUCUUUGCUGAACUUGAAUAUAAUUAGCAUUUUAAGACCAAAUUUAAGACCAAAUAAGUUUGAGUGGGUGUGUUUAGUGUUGUCAUUUAUUGUUUCAUACCUUUCUCAAUCUUUGAUAGCAAUCAGCACAUGUAAGUCCUUCUUGAGAGAAUUCCAAAAUUUGUUAGAAAGUAAGAAGUUAGACCUCUGUGGGCUUAAAGCUUUCAAUUUACAUAUUUAACUGUUGUAGAAGAAGUAGUUGCAUUUAUGAAUUGAAUUGCUUGGUUUUGUUGAAUUCGGUAGAAGAAAAGGCUUUGUGGUUGGUCAGUGGAUAUACUUUUAAAAUGUGAUUGCAGACGCGGGGAGUGAUAUCAGACUUGUUCACAUUGUGUCCUGAUGCAAAGACUGCAACAGAAGUUGAAGAAAAGGAGAUAGAGAGUCUAAUAAAACCUCUCGGACUACAAAAGAAGAGAGCCAAAAUGAUUCAACGGUUUUCUCUCGAGUAUCUUAAUGAGAGCUGGACUCAUGUCACUCAACUGCAUGGCAUUGGAAAGUAUGCAGCGGAUGCGUAUGCGAUAUUCUGUAACGGGAACUGGGAUCGCGUGAAGCCUAGUGACCAUAUGCUAAACUAUUACUGGGAAUUCCUCAGGAUCCGGUAUAAACUAUGAGUGGGAAGGUACAAGUACAUAUUGUGCUAAUAUUGCUAGUUAUCUUUGUUCUGUCUUUUCUUGUCAAUGUCACCAAUGUUUAAAAGCUGUAAAUGAAAUAUUAUUUUAUAUACAUCUAGUUUGUUUAUUUAAAAUUGCAAUGUGUUUUGGGUAUCAUCUGUGGGUUCUUUUGUGUGUUUUAAUAUUGUCGAAGAUGGGGGCAUGAGUUAGUUGAGGGUGAAAAGGUAUGCGACUUUCUCAGUUGUUAUUAUAUUCAAAAUUAAGUUUGCUCUUUGGUAGAUUGGGCACCAAGUCACGAUAUAAUAAUUCAAAAGAAUGACAAUGAUGAGGCAACUACUGCUAUGAGCCAAAUCCAAAACUAUCAACUCAUUACAAUUAGUUCAGUAUCUAUCUAUUGGUAAACCAAACACAACUUAUUGCCUUUUAUUGUCUUGUUUGCACAGGCAAUCACAAAAUUUUAAUCUGUGUCUUCUUUCUUUUUUUUUUCCUUUAUUAUAACCUGUGUUCCUAAAUUAAGAUAUUUUCAUUAGGUUGUUUUGUUGUCAGGGAAAAAAAUUUGAAGAAGGAAGUAAUUAAAUGUUGUGAUAAUUGUUUUAUGACGUGUCAACUACAAAAUUGAAAAUCACAAAAAAUCGAAAUUCCUCUUCUUUUUUUUUUUUUUUUGGUUUAUCUCUCUCUCUCUCUCUCUGGCCGACAAAUAAAAAAACAAAAACACAACUAAUCAUAGGCUUCUCCAUCUCUCUUGUCUGCAGGAUGAUGCAAUUUUUCAGACAAUUUUCUUCCGAAAUCCUUUCGUAAUUCUGUUUUAUUUUUCAUCGUUUAUAGGUUUUUUACCCUCCGUGGACGUUAUAUCCAAAACAUUAGUUCUUCUCAAAAAAAAAAAAAAAGACUUUCAACUGAUCUUUAGAGUUUUUAGGUUCUUCCAAGAAAUUGAAUUUUUGGAGUGAGGGCUUCGAUGGAUUUGGAAUUUCAUAUUCUCCCUUUGUUUAAGGUAAAUCCCUGAAAAACUUUUGCUUUCUGUGGUGCAAUCGAGUUAUUGCAUCUCUUUAUAUUUUGUUCGUGUUGAUUCAGAUUCUCGUUGUAUAAAAAAUGCAAUGGCUCUUCGGGGGAUGUUGUCUUGAUUUUGGGAGAAUCUUGUUUGAAUGGUCACGGCUUUUCUGAACAUUCGUGUGUUCUUUAUCAUUGUCUCGGCUCUGGUUCGAAAUGUCUCUCGGCCAAGAAAAUGUCGAUCCUGUUGAAGUUCCAGGUAAAUCCAACACAAUCUUUUCUUCAAUUAUUCACCCUCAAGUUUUCAAACCUGUAAAAGGUUUCAAAUUUUUGGCUUUUUUUUUUUUUUUUUAAUUAUAGGGACGCACGCUUGCUUAUAUGAACUUUUAUGUUCAGAGACACCCAAAUGGACUCCUCUAAAGGAUUUGCAAACAUCUUCUUCUGGUGAUUAAUUUUUGUCGGAGAUUAACAUUCUUAAGAUAUGUUAGUGUCAGUUGGAGACGAUCUCAUCUCCUGUUUGGUUUUUUUUUGUUUUCAGAUCCCCGAGAUCGGUUGGAGAAGUUGCUUAAGCAACCUGGGAAUAAAUAUUGUGCUGACUGUGGCUCUCCUGAACCAAAAUGGGUGUAAGUUGCCCUUAAUACUUGUGUGUGGUUUGCUCAUUUCUAUUGAUGGAUUGUACUGAUUCAUCUCGUUCGUUUUAGAUCGUUGAGUCUCGGUGUAUUCAUCUGCAUUAAGUGUUCUGGUGUACACAGGAGUCUUGGAGUUCAUAUAUCUAAGGUACUUUCUUUUCAUAAACAAUCUUGAUUUUGCUCUGUUUUUUUUUUUUUUGGGUGUGUUUAUAGGAUUAUAUCGAUUAAUUUGAUUGACCGAUCAUCACAGGUUCUGUCAGUAAAGCUAGACGACUGGACAGAUGAUCAAGUUGACAUGCUUGUAGGGUAUGGUGGAAACACUGUAGUGAACCAGAGAUUCGAAGCUUGCAACAUCGACCAGUCAAAGAAACCCAAACCAGAUUCCACUAAUGAGGAACGCAAUGAUUUCAUCAGGUGACGUUUUACUUACAGUUUGUUAUAAUGGUAUGUUUGUUAAUCAUCUUAUCGUUAUAUACUUAUAUCUUUGAUAUCUGCAGAAAAAAAUAUGAAAUGCACCAGUUUAUGGAUCCAAAGGAUGGUGCUUUGUGCCCUUAUCAGCAACCUAGCAAAGUAAAUACUUCACCACCGUCUUUAUGUUCCGCAAACCACCGUUCUACAAAAAACCGUAUUGGUCAUGCAUUUAGGAAUAGCUGGGGAAGAAGAGAAUCUGAUCCCAAAGGACCAAAGAAGAGCAAUUCCAUGGUAACAACCACUAAAACAUACAUACAUACAUUACAUGAUUGGCUAAUAACUGUUGCUAACGUUAAUCUUGUGGGUGUUUUAUAGGCAGGUAUGAUUGAGUUUGUGGGAUUAAUUAAGGUUAAUGUGGUAAAAGGAACCAAUCUUGCGGUUCGAGACGUCAUGACCAGUGAUCCUUAUGUUAUCCUUGCUCUUGGCCAACAAGUGAGCUCUCUGCCAAAUCUCUCUAGACAGCUUGUAUAUGAUUUUAAAUUAACCUCUUGCAUGAAGAACAAACUCGGUUAUUCUCAUUGUUUGUUUGUUGUAGUCGGUAAAAACACGGGUGAUAAAGAACAACUUGAAUCCUGUAUGGAAUGAGACGCUAAUGCUUUCCAUACCCGAGCCCAUGCCUCCUCUCAAAGUGGUAAGCACAGAAAAAUCAUGAAUAUUUUUUAACAGAGAGCUUUAGUUUGAGCUCAUUGACUUAACCAAACUCUUAACUGAUAUGUAAACUUUCCAGCUAGUGUACGACAAAGAUACAUUCUCGACAGAUGAUUUCAUGGGAGAGGCAGAGAUAGACAUACAACCAUUGGUGAGCGCAGCAAAAGCUUACGAGACAUCAAGCAUAAAGGAACCGAUGCAGCUGGGGAGUUGGGUGGCGAGCAAAGAAAACACAUUGGUGAGAGAUGGCAUAAUCUCGCUGGAAGAAGGGAAAGUGAAACAAGACAUAUCACUUAGGCUCCAAAAUGUCGAGAGAGGUGUACUUGAGAUCCAGCUUGAAUGUCUUCCUCUCACUCAAUGAUGCUUCUACUUUCUUCUUGAUCCCUCAUUUUCAUUAAAGUUUUACUUUUUUUUUUUUAUCAAUAGUGAAGAGAUGAUGAUGCUACUUUCUUCUUGAUCCACCUCAAAACCUAUGUAAAAAUUAAACCAUAAUAUGAUUUUGAUGAUUCUUCAGAGAACCAAAUACUAGUUUCUACAGGGAGAGACCCAAUUAUAUUUCGAAAAAUCAUGUAUGUUUGAGGUUACAAGCUACCGAUAUGGAGAUGUAAUAUGAUAAAGAAUAUAUAAUUAAUUAGUCCGGUAACACGGUUAAGUAAUAAAAUUAAUUUUAUAUAUAUAUAAGUAAUAUAUUUCCAAUUGUGGGAGAAGAAGUAGAGGAGGAGAAAAUAAUCUCCGGUUAGAGCUGCGUCGACGAGAUCUAUCGUCACUCGUCAGGCAUCUCAGAUUUAUUGUUACACUCUUCGCUCAAGUCCGGCGACAUGAGUUCUCCGGUACGGAAUAUUAUAUCAGAUCUACCAAAUCCGCCUGCGAUCUCUUGCGUUUUCGUUGUUUUGAUAAACCGUCUUCUCUGAUCUUCUUCUUCGUCUUCUUACAUUGUGAUUCAGGGAACCAGUAUGUUCACCAAUUUCACUAAGCUCUGCAAAGGACUUGCUCUGGUGCUUGUGGUGGGACACCUCGUUGUUCAGUUCAUUCCUGCUACCGUCCCAUACCUUGCUCUCAUUCCGGCGAGGUACUGCUUCGUCUUCUCUCCCUCUUGUCAAUUCUAGGGUUACGAUUUUGCUACUGAAUGCAUUUUGUUCUACUGCUUGAUUUUGCGUGAUUGUUGUUUAUGCUUUAACUAAUUGUUGGUUCACUGUUUUGAUAGGAUUAGGGUUCCAUAUAUUUUAAAUCAGCUAGUAAGUGUAUUACUUAGGAUGCGAAUUUGAUGCUCGCAUGGUAAUAUUACCAUAUCAUUCCAAUGUGAUGCUCCUUGCACAUUGUGAAAUCCAGUAUUAAGAAUGACUGAAUGGCUUCUCAGAUAAUCAGCAUAUGUCAUUCUCUAGUUUGGGAUUGAAGUAUUAUUACCAUGGUAGGUUCUGACUUGUUAUAUUUGUUAAAUCUUCUCUAUUAUAGGACUAUUCCUUUUGCCUGGAACCUUAUUACAAGCGGCUAUUUUGAACUAUCAGUAUAUGGGGUAUGUUCAACUUGUUCCUAGCCAGUCUAGAUUUCUAAUCUACAAUAAUUGAAUAGACGAGUGACUGUUUGCAAUGUGGCAGGUUGUCUUCAGCACCGUUUCUCUCCUCUUUAUGGGAAAGUUCCUGGAACCCGUCUGGGGUUCCAAGGAGUUCCUUAAGUUCAUAUUUGUGGUGAACUUCCUUACGUAUCUCUGUGUCUUCGUUACAGCCAUUGCCUUGUACUACAUAACGAGGCUGGAAAUCUACCUGUAAGUACUCCACCUUCCUAUACAUACACACUUAGUGUCUGCUUUUUUAUUCUGUUCUCUUACUUAUACAUGAAGGUGACUCCAUUAUGAAAAUAGAGUUUGAAAUUCUUCAAGCUGUGUACAUUGUAACUCGUUUGCUUCUCUGCUCGAUUAAGUUCAAUCUUCACCACUGUAUAUGAUGAAUCCUUUAUUCUUAGUUAACUUCAUUUUUUCCACAGUAUCAUAAUGUGUUCUCUGUUUUCUCCUUGCUAGAUAUAUGCCCUUUGCAGGUUUUAAUGGUGUCUUGGCAGGCCUUCUUGUCGGUAUAAAGCAGAUAAUACCUGACCAGGAGGUAUAUCUGAUAAAGAUAAAAGCAAAGGUAAUCUCUUACUUUGUUGUAAGAUAUGAAUAUAACUAUGUCAUUUUCUUAUUUCAACUUUGGCUGGUUGAAGAAGUUCUCACAUCCUAUUCUACGUCUGGUUUUUGUGUGCAGUGGUUGCCCUCAAUUGUGCUAGUUUUGUCAAUAGCCUCAAGCUUCUUCACACUAGAUUCAGCAGCAUAUCUUCCCACUUUGAUAUUUGGUACAUAUAUGGGGUGGUUAUACCUCAGGUACCUACAGAGGAGACCAGAAACAAAGCUCAGAGGAGAUCCAAGUGAUGACUUUGCAUUCUCCUCUUUCUUUCCUGAAUUUCUCAGGUGAAAAUUAUUUCUACACUUUUAACUAUACUUUCGACUUUGCCCGCAUAUCAAUUCUUGCCUCCUAUGUUGUUGGUAAUUUUGUUUUAUUUUUCCGAAAUGAAACGCAGGCCCGUAAUUGACCCCAUAGCAUUAAUCUUUCACCGAAUGCUUUGUGGACGAUCAAAUGUCACCAGUGAAGACCAUGGUUAUGCUACCAGCGGUGCGCCAUUGCCAGGUUCUGAUUCUGUUGAAGCAUCCAGGAGAAGGUAAUUUUUUUUUCCUUUUCUUUUCCCCUAUUUCCUGUUCUAGUUCAAUGGCAGUUUAUGACUUUAGAUGCAACGAUCUUACUAAAUCCUUAGCUCGUUGGGGGUUAGUGCAGAUCACGUCUUCAAAUAUGUACACCCUUAUUUGGCUUGACAUACUAUAGGAUCUAGUUGAUGCAAACUGAGAUAACAAAUGAUUACAUUCACUCGAUUCUAAGAAAAAAUAGUAGUGGCUCGUCAUCAGUUUUUGUUUUAGCAAAAUGUAGGAGUUAGACUUAUGAAUGGUUUAUACCGAACCAAAUUGUGAGAAAGUUGUAUAUCAGGUUCUGGAAAAGGCAAAAACUUGUCAUAACAAAAAGAUGUUAUUUGCAGAGAAAGAGGGGCAAGAGCUCUAGAGGAGAGACUAGGAACAGAAAGAUUGGCUCCUGCAAGAAACAAAGAUGAAUUGCAGAGUGAUGCUUUGGAUAGCGUAUAAGUGGAGAUGGCAAGAAGCGUUUUGAAGAAGGUGUGUGGAUUUCUCUUGCUUGUUUCAGGUGGACAGCUUUUUCUUACUUUAUGAGGUUUGGUCAUCAUUAUACCAAAGGAAAAAAAAGUCAGCUUCUCCGUAAAUUGUUAAGACAGCUCUAAAAAAAAAAUAGUAAAUUUCCUUGGGGUAAACCAGUUAGAAACGAUUUCAUUGGACGAGAUAAUAGAAAUUUAUACAUGUUUAACUUCACCAAAGAUGUUUUCUUUGUUUGGUGUCAAACAGUACCAAUCGAUGACUCUUAAGAAAGUAAGACAGACAAAAAUGUUUGUUUGUAGAAUGAAAACCAAAUCAUAAACACUUUUUCUCUCUUUAAGGAAAACGAAUAAUCCCAUCUAAACUCUCAGUUAGGCCUUUUCUAUUCAAACUAAACUAUAGACAUAUAAAACCUAGCUGUCACAAAAAUCAUAUAGAAGUUGUGUUGUUUAUUUGGAUGGUUGAAAAGUAAAAAUUUCCAAUGUUACUAGAGAAAUAAAAUCAAUAAAAUUGAAAUAUGAAGAAAGAAGUUUUAAAAAUCCAAGAGAUGAGUCAGAUGGACCAUAAGAGACGGGACUCCAUUGACUAGGAUAACUUUAAAACAACAAAAAAAAAGACAAUAAUACCUGUAUGUGUAAUUGACUAAUUUAAUUUUAGUUUCCGUGGGAAGUUCAUUAUCAUUAUUAUUAGUUUAUAUUUUAAUGCGAAAAAGAAAGGGAAAAAGGAAAUGACGUCAGCAUUGACAAGGUAACCACGUCGCAUCUAUGCGAGUCCCUCCAGAUGUCUGGUUUGGUAGUCGCUUUAGGAAUCAAACGCGGAGCUCCAAUAACAAUGGCCAUUACCAAACUCUUCAAUUUCUCCUCUAUCGAGAGAUUUCAUCACACACCACCAACAACAACAUUUCUCCAUCUUCCUUUUCUUCUUUUUUUCCUCGUCUCUUCUCUUCUCUUCUCUUCAUUUCUGUUGCUCUUUCGUUUCCACGCCAUUCCCACAAAAAAAAAAAAAGAAAAGAAAGACAUCUCCUUUAUCUCCCUCUCUCUUACAAUGCUCUCGUCGUCCUUGGGCGUUAUACUACAUUUUCCUCCAUUGAAAUCCGAUAGUUUCUGAAAGACCGACGAAUUCCAACACAGCAAAUGCGGCUUCGCGAUCUAAGCUAUGGAGGAACGAAUGAGAGAGACGUAGAAUCCAAUAUUUGAAAAAAAAAACAAAAAAAACAAAAUAGAUAUCUUUGUGAAAAAAGUGAAAUUUGGAAGGAAGAAGAAGACGAAGAACAGAGACAUGUCGGUAGCACACGCAGAUGACGCCGACGAUUACAGCAGACCAGCUGGAGAGACUUACCACGCCGAAAAGGCUUUACCGAGCGGAGAUUUCUACACUGGCCAAUGGCGAGAUAAUCUCCCUCACGGCCAUGGCAAAUACCUUUGGACCGAUGGUUGUAUGUAUGUCGGAGAUUGGUCCAGAGGCAAAACCAUGGGCAAAGGUCGUUUCAGUUGGCCUAGUGGUGCCACCUACGAAGGCGAUUUCAAAAACGGUUACAUGGACGGCAAAGGUAUCUCUACUUAUACUCACAACCACAACGAUUGUCUCUGUAUCGUUUGAUCAUCUGAAUCCCGUUUGCCAAAGUUUUUUUUAUUUUUUUAUUUUUUUGUGUUGCCAAAGGUACUUAUAUCGAUUCGUCUGGAGACUUAUAUAGAGGAUCAUGGGUUAUGAAUCUGAGACACGGGCAAGGAACGAAAAGUUACGUCAACGGAGAUUGCUUCGACGGAGAAUGGAGGAGAGGUCUACAAGAUGGACAUGGUAGGUACCAAUGGAAGAACGAGAAUCAUUACAUUGGACAAUGGAAGAAUGGGCUGAUGAAUGGUAACGGCACCAUGAUUUGGAGCAACGGGAACCGUUACGAUGGGUCUUGGGAAGACGGAGCUCCUAAAGGCAAUGGAACUUUCCGAUGGUCCGAUGGGAGUUUCUACGUCGGAGUUUGGAGCAAAGAUCCUAAAGAACAGAACGGCACUUAUUACCCUUCCACGUCUUCUGGGAAUUUUGAUUGGCAGCCACAACAAGUCUUCUAUGCUGAUUUGAGUGAAUGUGUUGUUUCUACUUGUCAGCGAAUCCCGGUUUUGCCGUCUCAGAAGAUGCCUGUUUGGUACGGUUCGGAGCAGAGUAGUAGUGGGAACAGGACCAAGAACAGUGAGAGGCCGAGGAGGAGAUCCGUUGAUGGAAGAGUAAGUAAUGGUGAAAUGGAUUUGAGGAAUAAUGGUUCUGGUUAUCUUCAGUUAGAUGAUAAUCCAGAGAGUAAUAGAUCAUCAUUAGGGCCUUUGAGAAUACAGCCUGCUAAGAAACAAGGACAAACUAUCUCCAAAGGUCACAAGAAUUAUGAACUCAUGCUUAACUUGCAGCUCGGAAUUAGGUAACCGAAACUAUUUGUAUGUUUUUCGCUUUGUAUCUGCUUUGUUUGAUGUUGAGUGUUGUUUUUCUUGGGAAGACAUUCUGUUGGAAGACCAGCACCAGCUACUUCUCUUGAUUUGAAGGCUUCCGCGUUUGAUCCCAAGGAAAAACUUUGGACGAAAUUCCCAUCUGAAGGUUCAAAAUACACUCCUCCACACCAGUCUUGUGAGUUUAAAUGGAAGGAUUAUUGUCCUGUGGUUUUCAGGUUAGAACCUCUCUUACUUUUUAUUUCUUCUCUUGUAGUAUUAUGAAAACAGAUGAAAAUGUUGUGUUUCAUGUAGGACUCUGCGGAAACUAUUUAGUGUGGACGCAGCAGAUUAUAUGUUAUCGAUUUGUGGGAAUGAUGCUCUUAGGGAGCUAUCAUCUCCAGGGAAAAGUGGAAGCUUUUUCUACUUGACCAACGAUGACCGCUACAUGAUCAAGACUAUGAAGAAGGCAGAAACCAAAGUAAGGCCUGAAUUUUAACCUCAAUGUUCUGUUUAUUAAGAUUCACUCAUCUGUUUGUUUUGCCCUUGACAGGUUCUUAUUAGGAUGCUCCCGGCUUACUACAAUCAUGUCAGGGCUUGUGAAAACACUUUAGUUACCAAGUUCUUCGGUCUUCAUUGCGUGAAAUUGACUGGCACUGCACAGAAAAAGGUCCAUACCCUUUUUGUAUUCAUGUCUCUGCAUUGUUGUUAUUAGCAUUUUCAGUUUGGAUGUACUGAUGAGAGAAUACUUGCGCCUGCAGGUUCGAUUUGUUAUAAUGGGUAACUUAUUCUGUACUGGUCACUCCAUCCAUAGGCGGUUUGACCUCAAAGGGUCCUCUCAUGGCCGUCUUACUACUAAACCAGAGUCUGAAAUCGAUCCAAACACGACGCUUAAAGAUCUUGAUCUAAAUUUUGCGUUCCGAUUGCAAAAGAACUGGUUCCAAGAAUUCUGCAGGUGAUUGAUUCCUUACUUAUACCUCUUUUCACUUUUUUUUUUUAUUAGUAAACCGAAAUUCAAGUGUUUGUGUGUUUACCAGGCAAGUGGACAGAGACUGUGAAUUCCUUGAACAAGAGAGAAUCAUGGAUUAUAGUCUCUUGGUUGGUCUUCACUUUCGAGAAGCUGCUUUCAGGGACUCUGCCACUCCUACUUCGGGUGCUCGAACCCCGACAGGUAAACUCUUGUCAAAUCUUUAACCCAAUUUUCAAAUCUUGAAAGCUCGAUUAAAGCAGCUUCAUCAUCUUUAUGCAGGAAAUCCAGAUAGUGGAAACCCUCGUAUCUCGCGAGCAGAAAUGGACCGGUUUCUUCUUGAUGCCAGCAAGUAAAGAACAAAAAACUCAACGUUUAUAUCCCAAAACCGUAAGAGGGUGAUUUGUUUAUAACACAAGUGUGGUUCUUCUUAAAUGAUUUUUUUUGCCAGGCUAGCAUCAAUAAAAUUGGGUAUAAACAUGUCUGCAAGAGUUGAAAGGACAGUGAGAAGAAGUGACUGUGAGAAUCAGCUUGUUGGGGAACCAACUGGUGAAUUUUACGAUGUGAUCCUCUACUUUGGUGUUAUAGACAUUCUCCAAGACUACGACAUAAGCAAGAAGCUUGAACAUGCCUACAAAUCAAUGCAGUAUGAUCCUACGUCGAUAUCUGCGGUUGAUCCAAAGCAAUACUCUCGACGUUUCAGGGAUUUCAUCUUCAGGGUCUUCGUUGAAGACACUUGAGAGAAGGAAUCAUCUAACUUGCAAGCCAAGGCCCAACAAAGUUGAGGUUUUUCUUUUUGUUAGAAUAUAUUUUUUCUUUUACUUCUCUAUAGAUAUAUUUGUAAAUUUAUUAUGUUACUAUAUUCAACCAAUUCUUAUAAGUAGAGAAAAUAAUUGAUUCUUUUGUAAUUAACUAAAGUUCAAUUUUUGUUGCUGUUGUUGUUGUUCUUUUGUAUUGCGUUUCUUCAAACGUGAAAGGAAGUAUAUGUACAUUGUACAGAUGGUUGACUUGUAUUUUCUUAUUCAUUACCUUUCUUCCAAACUUUUAUAUUUGUUACUCUUUAGAAUUGAUUAACCAUUAUACAACAGAGCAUGUAGUUUCUUUGUUUCUUUUUCUCUUUUUCAAACUGAUUUUUUUUUAUUACGUUGGAAUAAGUUGACUUGUAUAGGUUGAUUAGGUAUUACUGUAUUAGUAAUGAUGUGAGGUUUCUGGUGCUUCUCUACAUGACAAGCUCAAAGUCAAUGCUCAUAAUUUUUAGAAUAUUGAGUUUACAUAAGAUUUGAAUAGUUUUAUUUUUGGAUUGUAUAGACUUAUCAUUUUUGUUUUUGUUUUUAGACUUGGCUUAUAAAUCAGUAGUAAGGAGACAAGAGAGAGCAUCCUUAAAAACAGAGAGUAUAAUAAGAGGGCUAAAAUCUAUAGCUGAUUAUACAAUAAUGUUCUGACUCUAAUUUUACCAAAUUAUAAAAAUUAACCCUAGACUUUGCAUUGAUUAGGGAUAUUGCUAAUCAGGAAUCUAGAAUACGUUGCAGAACGUUUUUUUGUGUGUGUGAAAGAGAUGUCUAGAAAAGCUAAGCUAAAUGAGUUUCUUCUAAAAGAUACUGCUCCCAAAAAGUAAUUGGGAACAGUCACACGAACGUCUAGAAACUAAUUUGAGACAGGAUCAUCGAAACUGGUAGUUGGAGACAUCAUGUGUCUAGGGAUCCUGCAUAUGCGUUUUGGCUACAAGUACGAGACUUUAUAAGUGUUUACCGCCUGAUUUAAUUGACAUUAUGCCUUCUCGCAUGCCUAUGAUUGCUCCUCUUGUAGCUAGGUUAUAUAAACUGCCAGGUUUCCAUUUUAGGGUUUGUCCAUUUCGGUCUGUAUCAUUAAUUGACCCAAACCCUUUAUCCUAAAUGUGGAAGGUUAUAGUUAUACUAUCACGUACGUACCUAACGCAAGAAAGAGUAUGAGAGUUCAAAAAAAAAAAAAAAAAAAAAAGUUAAACACGCAAGACCCUAUUCCAUGCCAAUCUAUACCUUCUCUCUAACUUAACCUUUGACAUCAUUUACCAAUUAUCCAUCUUACACAUCCUUUUCUGUUAGCUCUGCCUAAUUUUCACUAAUAUCUUGAUUCUUACUAUGUACCAAAUUAACGUCAUGCAUGUUAUUUCUUUCUUUCUUUUUUUUUUUAUUUCUUUCGAAAACAUGCUAACAUUAAAACAUGUACAAUUUUGGUCAUUAAAAGUUAAAACAGGAUAGUGUCAUACAGAUUUAAUUUGAUGGUUUCGAUCAAUAUAAUUCUUUUUUCUAUUUCUCCUCAUAUUUGUUUGCUAUAUAUUUUAGUGCUAGCUCGGACAAUAUUUUUCCUCCGCAAUAUAUAAACGAGAAUUUGGUUUCUUACCGAAACACAUUAGUACUAAUUUGACCACAUGAGUACGUACAGCACUAUUGAAGAGAGACAGGUUCAAAGUAAAUGGGUUUGAACUCUUUUUCUAAUUGGCCACGAGUUGUGGCCUGUGGGGUUUCGAGUUAUAUAAAAAAUCUAAGAAAAUAAUUACAUAAGUAUGAAAAUGGUUAAAAGGUUGGGUUGAAGACAUAUAUCUAACAAAGUUGAAGUGAAACCUUUAACCAACAAAACUGCUUUUACUUGAGACUUCUAUUCAGUUAUUUGCAGAUAACCUAAUUAAUUUCAAAGCCAAAGUCAAUACUUACUUCUUCAUCUAGGCCGAGAUUAGCUCUUCCAUUUUCAGAUUUAAUUGUUUUAAUAGAAAGCUCUUUACAUGUCUUUUUUCCUCUUACCCAUGAAUGUUGGGAUAUGACCAAAAUUUUUCAAAUUGUUAGCCAGUCUUUUCCCAUCACAAUAAGAAUUUUGAAGGGUUUUUUUACCAAACAUAUGCUAGAAGUGUAUUAUUACGGGUUAGACUGGUGUACUUUGUUCCGGUUUAUGUCAAACCAUUAGGUUAUACUAACAAUUAAUUAAAUUAACAAAAAAAAGAAAAAGAAAUCAAAUCCACUGACUCUAUAAUUUGACGCAGUAAUAAUAAAUAAAGUAAGAAAAUAAGACGUUUGGUAAUUGUCAUAUAGCCACUUCUUUCCUCCCACGACGAGAGGGUUCGAAGUCGAACCAAUCAAGGUGGGAACUACACGAAGAAUUAUGUACCACUAUGCCAUAAACUCCCAUCUAUUAUACUUACUAACUAACUUGUCUUUAAGACAAAAAAAAAUGGAAAAAUAGAAGGUUUUGUUUAAAUAUGUAUUUCUAUUGUUAUUGUUGGUUUUUGUAAAACGUAAAACGUUCUUCUAUGUACAACUUUUUGUGAAGCUUCAAUUAAAAAAAAAAACGAAUGACUUUAAUAUGUAAAAUAUUAACCCCUUCAUUUUAUAUAUUUAUUAUUCGUCAAAGUAAAUGUCUUUAACGUGGCUGUUUAUUAAUGUACUUCAAUCGAAUAAAAAAAAAACUUCAUUGUACUGCAAAUGGUGGUUUGGAAGCGAUUUAGGUAAUGGAAAAUGAGGAAUUAUAACGAACAUUUCCUUCUGAUUUUAUACCGAAUAAAGAUAUGAACAUCCGAGAUCUCCUUUCAAGUAAUUUUAACCAACAUACCCCAUAAAAAUUAAAGAAUUUUUUUUUUUGAAAACAUUAAUCUUAUUUUAUUUUAAAAUUGUGAGAAUCUUAUGGAAUUUUUCAUUCGAGAUAUCCAUGAGAAACCCUCUCUCUCCUCUAAACAUUUGACACAAUUCAUUUUUAUCUAAAUGUUAAGCGUCAUUAUCCAUAAGUUUAAGUUAUAUAUUAGUAUUAUUUUUACUUAAGAUAAAUACAAAAUAUUAAACUAAUAUUAUUUUAUUUGUUUUUGUUUCAAAAAAAAAGAAAAGAUAUUGUUCUAGUUGUAAUUUGAUAUGUUUAAUACAAAUCAAUCCAAUGAAUAUAUUUUAGAUGUAAUUUGAUAUAUUUAGAAAAUAAUGAAUGAAAAUAAUAAUAAUAAUAAUAAUAAUAAUAAUAAUGAAAUUUCAUAUUAAAGAAUAUUAUAAUUAAAUAACAAUAAUCCAAUAGGAUAAUUUUGUUAUUGGAUAGGAUAUCUUUUUAUUUAUUUAUUAGGAUAUCUUUUUUUUUUUUUUUUUUGUGUGCACCAUUUGAUAGGAUAUCUAACAAAUGGAAAUGCUCUUAUAUAUUCCAGUCUCUCUCCCAUGUCUAUAAAUAUAGACACUUUUGCAUUCUCCAUGAUAUACAUCAUUCACUCUUUUCUCUUUCCCUCAAACAUUCUUUUAUACGUCAAACCCAAAUCUAAUCUAACUUUUAGAGAAGUCACUCAAAAAGAAAAAAUGUAUGAAAAGUUCAUAAACUUGUCAGCAUUUCUCUUAAUGUUUCUCCCUUGUUGUCUCAGCAGCUACCCAUUUGAUCAUAGAGAUGAUCCUUUCAAGGCUUCCGAUGUUUAUUACGAAACCAGUCAUCUACAUGGUCACAUUACACGCAACAGUCAUACGAAAAGCCACCAUGGUUAUGCUCCUAGAUCUUCUCCUCAAGCUUUUAACGUCAACUCUUUUGGUGCUAAAGCCAACGGAAACGACGAUUCUCAGGUAUUUACUAAAUAUCCUUUUCAUCCAUAUAAUUAUAUAUAUUGAUUUAUAUAACAAUUAACGUGACUGAAAUAUACAUUUUGAGCCGUAGGCGUUCAUGAAAGCUUGGCAAUCAGCUUGUUCGUCAACUGGAAUAGUUUACGUCGUGGUUCCGAAAAAUAGAAAAUACACGAUUAAACCGGUUACGUUCUCCGGUCCAUGUAAAUCAUCCAUGAUUGUUUUUAAGGUAUGAUUUACACACAAAAAAAAAAAAAAAAACAAUGUACGUAUGUAUAGGCCUGAAUUGUUAUUGUGUAAAAUCUUAUAACUAAAUUUGUAAUGUUGUGAAUUUUAGAUCUACGGAAUGAUUGAGGCAUGGGAAAAUCCAUCAGACUACAAGGUACGAAGGCGCUGGAUUGUGUUUGAAAACGUCACUAACCUUCGUGUUGAAGGAGGUGGCCGCAUCGACGGUAAUGGACAUAUUUGGUGGUCAAAAUCUUGCAAAAUCAACCCUAAACUUGUAAGUUCGUCUUCUCUCUAUCUAUUUGGAUCAAUACAAUGUCGUCUUUAUAUAUAAAACCCUCCUCUUAAAAAGUACAUAAUUAACAAAAUUUGUUUAUUUUGUUAAACAGCCUUGCCUGGGUGCUCCAACGGUGAGAACCUCAAACGCCUCUAACUUGUUUCCCAUCUUAAUUAAUUAAUUUCAGUUCUAAUUAAUAAUGUAAUUAAAAAAACAAUAAAUGGGCAGGCGGUUAUGUUUAUGGAGUGUAACAACUUGAGAGUAAGUAACAUUAGGUUGGAAAACGCACAGCAAAUGCAUUUGACGUUUCAAAACUGCCAAAACGUGAAGGCUUUGCGUCUUAGGGUCACAUCUCCGGGUGAUAGUCCUAACACCGAUGGCAUUCACGUUAGCGGAAGUCGCAAUAUCUUAAUUCAAGACUCUGUCGUUGGUACUGGUAAGUAUUUCAUGAACCCAUCUUCAUAUAAAUUUUAGUGAAUAAAAAUUAAAAUAAGUGGAUAGUAAAGAGUGUUGGGUUUGGAUUUGGUGAUGAAGGUGAUGAUUGUAUAUCGAUAGUGAGUGGGUCGGAGAAUGUGAGAGCGACAGGCAUUACAUGCGGGCCUGGUCAUGGAAUCAGGUCUAACCAUCUCUCUCCCUAUUUUCACCUAAAGUUUUUGUUUUUAUUCUUUCUUUAAGCAUCAUACUAUGUACAACACAUUCUCUAUCUUUCAUUUGUUGGAAAACUAUAUCAACUAAUCUUUAUCAACCAGAGUAUAUUUUUUUUAAUGAGAAAAGGAUAUAUGAUGCAUGCAUGCUCAAAACCAUUUGUUGAUGGAGAGAUUAUUAAUAUAUUAACUAAAACGAUUAAAAUGCAAUGUUUUUAAAAUGGUGUUAGGCGUUCUAGCACAAGCAUUUUUAUUUGGUAUGAAUAGACUUCCGACAUUUUUAGAACAAAAGAUUUUUAAGGAAAAAAAAAACAUUUGCUGACUACAUAUAUAUAAUUAACUAUUGGUAUUUUCUGGACAUGUAAAUAGUAUUGGGAGUUUGGGAGCCGGUAACUCAGAAGCAUAUGUUUCAAAUGUGGUAAUCAACAAAGCAACCCUUAUAGGAACCACUAAUGGUGUGAGAAUCAAGACUUGGCAGGUAAAUUAUCAAAUACUAUAUAAAAUAAUAAUUAUUACUAUGAGAAAAGAAAAGAGAAAAAUAUAUAUAUGGCCAUGUAAUUAUACUGUAUAUAUAUAUCAGGGAGGACGUGGAAUGGCAAAGAACAUCAUAUUCCAAGACAUUUUAAUGAAAAACGUUACAAACCCUAUACUCAUCAACCAGGACUACUGCGAUCGUGUUGAAUCAUGCCCCGAACAGGUAUCUAUGAUUCAGCUUUAUACGAUGCACAACACAAUAAAUAAUACAACAAAUACAAUUAUUAAAGUAAAACUGAGAUUGGGACACGUACGUGACAGAAAUCGGCGGUACAAGUGAGCAACGUGUUGUACAAAAACAUACAAGGGACGAGCUCAACGCCCGUUGCUGUGAAGUUUCAGUGCAGCAAGAGCAUCCCAUGUCGAGGAAUCUCAAUGCAAGACGUUGAACUGGUCGACCAAACUCAGCAAGAUGUUUCCAAAGCUUCUUGCUCCAACGUGAGGUUGAACACCCGAGGAAAUGUUUCUCCUCUUUGCACUUGAUCCCCAUUAACAAAACAUAGUAUCCCACCCGAUCGAUCGACGUCCGUCUAUUGCUAUAUGUAUUCGUAGUUUGGUCUUAGUUUUUGUAUAUAUAUAUAUUAUAUAUAGAGUAUCGAUAUAGUCCAUGUUUGAAUUAAGUAGGUUUUUAUGAAGAUUAAUUGAUCAAGUGGGACUGUAAGUGUUAUAAUUAGGGUACUAGCUUGUUCGUUCCUGGUUUGUAGAAGUGAAACAAAUGUGAUUGAUUUUCUGAAACAUUUGACGCCGAUUCUACUUUUUUUUUUUUUCUUCUCAUAAGAAAUUUUAUUGAUAUCAUACAACAUACAAACUUAGCCCCAAGAACCAGGGAUACAUCAGCCCGAUAACAUGAUUCGGGAUAAGGAAACAAACUUAAGCCUACGAUUAUGGAAUAUCUAGAUUUCUUACAAUCUUCACUUACAGUUGCUUUCCAAAGACUUGAAAAAUAUAAUCGCCAAGAAACUAUCAAUUUCAUAUCUGAUUCUCAAGUCUUCUUGUCUUCACUUGAUAAUAAAGAGACUUCGGCAAUGAACACUUUUGCUUCCUGAAUUGGCAUAACGGAACCUCGACUGAGGCGAACUGAAACCGUUUUAAACGCCGAUUCUACUUCUAGACUUGUAUUCGACUUUAUCCCCUAUUAUAAAAGAAAAUUAAGCUGUGUGUAAAUUAUAAUACAGAUUAUUCAACAAUAAUAAUUUUUUAAAGUUAAUUGCAACCAAACUAACUUUUUUUCUUCUUUUAUUCAUUGUAUGAUUAAAUCAGAUCACAACAGAUCAUGUCCACUGUCCGUCCACAACACAAAAAAAAGGGAUCAAAUAUCGGGAUCAAAUAUCUCCAAGAAAAAAAAAGCAUUCCUCAAAAAAGUUAUAUUUUGAGGAAUAUAUUACAAAAACCACUAAGUGUUGGCAUCUCUCGAGAAGUAAAAAAAAAAACAACACAAGAGAGACACACAACCCCAACAAUUACAAAUCUCUUGUUGUUGUAAAUUAGGGAAAAUGAUAAUACACUUUGCUGGGUGAAAUUUCUUCCUGCAAAAAUGGGAGUAUAAUGUAAUACACUCACAAGACGGUGUUGAUGUGAAGUGCUUUGAGGAGAGAUGUUGCCAUUUGCUUCACCAGAACUUGCCCUCCUGAACUUUGUCCAUCACGUCGUUCUUCUAUCAGAUUCUGCAGUUUCUGUGGAAGAUCGUUCUCUACGAUCAGCUGCUUUGGCUUUGGAUGCUUCUCGUAAACAGCCUGCUUUCCAAGUGAUCGCCAAAACCAAACAACACUUAACACCCGGAACAAGACAAGCGAGAACUUGUAUAAUCAAACGACCCGUUACCUUAAUGAGUUUCAGGAGGUUUAGUCGAGCAAUCGCAUCUUGGUGGUCUAGUCUUGAAAUAAGUAAUGGGGUCAAUCCAUUUAAUGCUAAUGUCUUAUUGAUAGACGGUGAUUUCCUGUAUUCAACAAAGACAAGGAUUAGUCCAUACUACGAGGAGAUAUAACAGAGGACUAAACAAGCAGCGAUUCAUUCAUAGUUCUAACUAAUUUUGGAAAGAUAAAUAAUCUAUUUGAAGAUAAAAGAGAUGAAUACGUGAUAAUCUUCAAGAAUGGCUCCAGUAUGUGCACAAAAUGUCUCUCUGGGCAGUUCUGGAAGAAGUUAACUAAUUUCUGAAUUGCAUCUUUCUUUAGAAACGCUUGCUCCACCUUGUGGUCAAUGUCUUGCGCCAAGCAUACAGCAAUUGAAUCCAAGGCUAUCACUGACCAAUAUUCAUCAUCGAGCAAACUCAGGUAUACAUCCAGACCGCCAUGGGCCCUUAGCUGCUCUCUAGAAUUCCUAGAUGCAUGAGCCAUAUCACAUAGUAGUGGCAAUGCAUAUUGUUUCAGAGGACAAUCCGACAUGAUGAAAAACAUCAGGUGAGGAAUGAUUCCAUUUUCAGCCGCUUGUUCCUGCCUCCUCUUGUUUAUCUUGCAGAGGUUGAAUAGUGCACUAAGUACCUACAUAACAUCACAAUUUUACAAACGUUGGUUUGAGUUAAAUUGACUAAAAGCAACAACGGACAAGAGUCCACACUUCAAUUUUUCAAACAGCAUACUGGACAACAAUUGGUAACCAACAGACGGAGGCUAUCUCCAUACAAGUCAAGAAGGUAACCUCGUGAUGAAUCUGAUUAACAAGAGGCCCAUCCUUAAGGUUAAGGUUGGGGAUCAAGUGCUUAAUUGCAUCUGCACGCUGAAGAUUCUCCAAGCAAUUUGGAUCCGUGGAUAAGUGAUUCGUGCACUCCAGUAUCUGGACAUAUAAAAGGCGUUAUAAGCAUGCAACCUGAAGAUCCUCUAAACCACACAUACAAGCUUGGCCAAAGAGAAAACAGAAACAUUAUAUGAAAGCGCUGUCGGGGAAAAAAAUAGAAACAACAUAAUAUUUUGAAGUACCUUUAACAGAAUAGGAGGUUCUACACGGUGGAACAUCUGGAACAGACGACUGAGUAAGCUUUGGCUGCACAUGUAUGAUUUUACUGUCGUAUCAGCUCGAGCAAAUUCAAGAAGCAGAUCAGCCACUUUCUCCAAGUAUGCCCUUGCAACAUCUGCACUCAGUGUAGAAACCAUAUGGGCAAGUAAACCAGAAGAUGUGGUACUUCCAGGUCUAGCAUUUAGAACACCCGAACCUGACAGUACACCAGAUGCUGUCUGAGAUGCAAUCUCACCCGUAGAAGCGACUCUUUCAAUAGCCAUAACCUUCUUAGUCAUUGCGUUACUGGCAUAUCUAGGCAUCAUAUCAAGAUUUCCGUUUUCCUUCCCACGUCCAGAGACUUCUGAAGAAACAAUGUAAUGAUACCGCACAAGCGGAAAAAUCAAAUAAUGUGCUUACAAUAUGAACAAUCUUCCUAACUAUAAAACUUUAAAAUUACCUGCGAAUUCAGCCAUUAAAAAAUCUAAGUCUCCAUUGGUUUUCUUUUCGUUUGAUCCAUGCAAAAGAGGAAGUCUACUUUCAUGUCUCUCUAUCCCAGUGAUAUGCUUUGCGUAAUCCAGUUGACCAGAAAAAUUUCUUGAAGGGGGUUCUUUCUCCAACAAGCUAAGCAAAGGUCGAACUUGAUCUGGCUGAGUAACAGGAAAACCAUUAGAUGCACCCUCCGCCAGUUUCUGAAGCUUAUCUGUUGAUAUUCUAUUGGUAGAGAGAGAUAUCCUAUGUUGUUUUAUAACAUCUUCUAUGGCAUCUGGGGCAACACUGCUUAGUCUAGGUCUAUCACCAUCUGCGUGCAAGGCAUCUGGUUGAUGGACAUCUGAUCUUCGAGAAUUUGAAGUUAUAGCAUGGGAAGGCUCUUCACCACCUCCAUGCCUAGUUUUCAACUCAUCCAUAAUAUCAAUCACACUGAGUGAAGUUUCACGCUGACUAAAAAUAGAAUUGUUAGGGUCGAGUUGACCAGAGCGUGCUCGUGGUGUUUGACCAUCCACAAUCAAUGAGUCCCCUGACAUAGAAGCCAGUUGAGUUGCCUCACUCAAGCUAUAAAGAGUGUUGACUAGCCUAAGAAGAAUUCCAUUCUUUGCAGCCAUACGACAGAAAUCAUUUCUCGGGGUGGAUCUUUUGAGUUUAAAUACCUGCCACAUCCCAUCAAUAGCCAAGUGUACCAUCUCCCUGGAAAGGAAAAGCUCAAAUCAGUAAAUUUAGCAGCGCAUGAAGAGCGAAAAGAAACAGAACUGAUUAUAGAGAGAAGAGCUAAACCAAGAAAAUGGUCAACUACUGAGAAAUGCAUCAGUCGUUUUCAAAAGAAGAAACACAUAUCAUAUAAGCAGGAAGACAUGUUCAGAUAAAAAAUCACAGAUGCUACUGUGACUGGUAAUAAGCUAGGAAUCACCGCAUGGGAUAAAUUCCAAAUGCUUGUAAUGAAAUACUGGAUAUAUUCAUAAUAAGUUCAGCACUUUAUAUAAAUUGAAAGUAGUCCAGACACUGUCAGAAGAUAGUAAGCUGUACCCACCUGUGUUUGGCAUAAUCUGCUUCAAGAAAUCCCACCAAAACAGGUAUUCCACGGCAAGCUAUGAACAUUUGCAACGUCAAGGAGCUGUAAGAAAAUUACCAAAUCAAGUCUAUGAUGUACAGAAAAGGAAAAAAGGGUGAAGCAAAUUUGAUGACUCGCAACCUUGACUGACAAAGCUGCUGCAAGAAGUACGCUGCUUCCUUACGAAUUUCUCGAGAACGAUCCCUCUCAGAACCAGCAAAACUCAUUACCACAGGAAUCUGCCAUUUCACAAGGAAAAUCAAGUUUCUUGAGAUUUUUUUUAGCCCAUUGAGAACAUCAUGAAGACUUAAUAUAAGAACACCAUGGAUUAAAUAUCUACGAAUUUUCCCAUAAAGGUAUUAGCUGUUGAGAUGGAUGUUCAACAUUUAAGAUAGACAUGUAGACAUGAGCCUUUGAUAAAGCAUUUGUCGAUCCACCAAACUAUACCAAAGAACUACCGGUGAUUCAUCAUGGCAGCUACCAAAUGGAGAGUAUGACUUACGAGACCAACGAGACAAGCAUUUUCCAGGAAGUCGGUGUUAUCUUUUAUGAUUUCAUUUAUCAACUGCAGCAUGGCAUGUAUUACCUAAAAACACCAAAAAAAGAUUCACAAGCAUAAAGCCAACUACUGAUGAUGAUGGACAACCAAAAACCCAGCUAAAUUACAAUUUACAAUUAUCGUACUCGAGAUUUUGGAAUAUCAAGUAGAUCCAUUAGAGGGAGGAAACCAUGCUGUGUCACGAAUACUGCUUUCUGCCCAGGUCUUUGACGAAACAUGGCAACAAGUUUCUGACAGGAAGAUACAAUUGCAUCUUCUGAUUCAUUUGGCCUUAAGGAGCUCACCAAUCUGCUGAACUCGACUGCCUACAAAAACUUAACAUAUUAAUUACUAAGAUCCAAAUUCGCAUUAAAACAGAAACUACUAAAAAUGAGUGAGAACCCACAAUUCGCUUUAUCAACAUCUAAUUAUCAUUCUCAUAGUACGGUGUGGGUCGGUCAAGUAGCACUUAGCAGUAUCAUAAUAUUUAAUUACAAUAAAAGAUUGCUAUAAAAUCUCAGGAUAUAAAUUUGCAGAAUACCUGCAGAGGAAAAAGAUUUUCCGCGGGGACUUUUUCAUCAAAUACCUGAGAAGCAUAAUAUUAAAAUAUGUUAACAGUAUACUACUUGAAUUAUCAAAAUGCGUACUUCAGACAGAGCAUACCAAGCCAUCAAUGUCAAUAACAUCAUCUUUCAAAACACCCAUCAUUAAGCGGAAAAGAUCACCACCAUCUUGUGAAUGCCCCGUUUCACCCUCCAUUUGCUUCUGAGCAAUUCUAGCCCUCAAUUUUGUCGCCAGAUCAUUCUUUCCACCAUCUGCAACAGGAGAAUCACCCUGAUUCACAUUUGUCGUAGGCAUUGAUGUUGAGGCUUCAUUUGGUUUUCCCUCAGGAACUUUAUCCAGUGGAUGAAACAAAUCAUGCAAAGAAGCAUCCCCAGGAGGAUCACUAAAUCUAAUCAGUUCAUUCCCACCAAAACUAGAUGAUGUCUUCACAGCCUUUAAGAUAGAAAUAACAAGCAUAACAGAACUAGUCAGUUUGCACGCCUUCAACUCAGUAUACUGCAGCCAUCAGCAACCUACUUCCCAAGAGGUAAAAACAAUUUUUUCAUAAAAUAAAGCAUUUACUACAAAGUAAGGGUAAGUAUUGAGAUUAGAUCUUGAAGUGUACAAGACCAAAUUCCAACAACAAACAACAAUAUCUCACUAUAGAAGCAUUGAGAUUAGAAAAAAGAGGUUAUCAAUUACAGUACAACUACAAACACAGAAAAGUGUUUUGUUUUUGCUAGAAAAGAAAAGGGAACUAAUCAAUUCACUCAACAUCCUCUCUUGUAUAUAAUCUAAAUAAGUGCUAGGGAAAGAAUAACUAACAAAACACAACUAACCUUUCGACGCCCAUCUUCACCUUUUUGGCUAUGCGAUAACUGCUCCAACUGGAUAGGACAUUCUUUUCUAAUCUGCUUUGUUCCUAAAGUAUUUCUUCUACCUUCAGAAACUUCACUUUCUAGAUUUCCCGGUAUUUCAUCACGUUCGGAUUUCUCAUGAUUCUCUAAUACAUCUUGAGAUGUCCCGUUUGCAUCUGAAGAAAUAUGAGAAAGAGCACCUUCGGAAUCCGUUCCUUCUUCAUCAAGAUCAGGUGAAGUUUGAUCCUUCUCAGACCUAAAACUAGCCACACCUACCACCGGUAAUUUGCUUCUCGAGUUCUGGACAAAAAAAACAACUGGAUCAGUAGCUUUAGCAAAGUUUAUCUCUGGUUUUAAUGCAUUAUACUGCUAAUCUCUGGACAUCUCUAACAGAUUAUUUCAUAAUUAAAGAGCUAAUGAAUCUCACAGUUUUAGUCAUCUCCAUUUUUUCUGCUGAAAGGCUUUCAGCUGCUUCUUGACUACCUUCAUCAUCCUUCUCUGAGCUUGAACAGGGUUCCUUCAUAUAUCUGCAAAGGAUGAAGUGCACAAAGACAUCAAUACAGGUUAAUGGAAGCAAGGAACACUUGCAACAAAACACUACACGGUAGAUAAUAAAAAUUUUGGAAAUAUUUUUCCACAAGUUAACAUAAAGGACACAGGUUCUCGCCUGAUGGUUCCACUAUGCCGAAGGGAUGACCGCAACGCUCGUCUGGAGUUACGUAUCCAAGGGUGAGAGAGAAGUGUCUUUGCGUCAGGCCUCUGCCUGGAAUCCUGUAAUAUGCAAGAUACAAAUCAGAUGUACAUACUGCAUAUUAAGUAAAUCAAAAUGCCUAGGUUCCGGUGCAGAGGUAGCUAGAGUUAUUAAAUACUAUUGCAACAAACUAUACCUUCUUGAAGCACAGUCGUAGGAAGUCUGUAAUGUCAGGAGAAAGACUAUCCGGAAUAGGAGGGGUAUCAUCCUGAAACAAAACCAGAAAAGGCAAUAGCUUAAAGUUACUGCUAACAGAUAUUGCAUUAUUGCAGGAGAGAAGUGAUUUACGACAACAAGGAAGAAUAAGAAUUGAGGGAAGGAAGAGAGACCUAAAUCUUAUUGACUUAAAGCAAACUCGUCAAAAGAUGGAAAAACCUGAACAAUGCGAUAGAGAGCUGGCAUGGGUUGCAGAUCAUAGUAAGGAGGUACACAUGUCAAAAGUUCAAUAAUAGUGCAUCCAACACUCCAAAUGUCAGAAGCAGCACAAACUCCUGACAAUUCAAUAACCUAAAACAAGAUUUGGAUAUCCGUCAGUCCACACAUAAUCAGUUAAAAUUUGUUUAGAGGAGAAAACAACAUCCUUUUGUCAGAAUAAGAACAAAGUCCAAUAUUUUAGAGAUUACAUACCAUAUUUGACAUAUACAGAUUAUGAUGGUGGAAGAUAUAUAUGUUAACAAAGAUGUACCUCAGGAGCCAUCCAGUAAGGAGUUCCGACCACUGAGUGAGUGUUAAAAUCAGCCUCAUUUAGUUUAGUGGCAACACCAAAGUCAGCAAGCUUAACAAGACCCUGAAAUAUGAGAUAGUCAAGUAUCUAAGGAAGAACAGCAAAGAAGAAUCUUGUCCAUCCCAGAAUACAAGAGAUCUUGAAACGAAAAACAUACCUCCUUUGUUGUCAAAAUAUUUGCACCCUUGAUAUCACGAUGUAUGACACCCUGCUCAUGCAGAUAUACUAAACCUUCCAAGACCUGUAUUCACUCGUUAGUCCACAAAUGUUUCAAGAAGCUUAACUCAACUAGAAAACAUAUAUACGGACCUGUGCAAUGUAAACAGUCACCAACGACUCUGGGAAAGGUCCAAACUUAUUUGGUUUAAUAAUGUUUGCGAGAGAGCCAUUUUCGACGUAUCUGCAAUCACAUAAUUGGACUUGAAUUUCCAGACCGUAGUCCAACGAGGACCAAAUAAACACACAAAGGUAUUUCUUACUCCAGAAUAAUGUGAAGGUGGGUCUUUGUCUUCAAAGAUCCAAGAUACUUGACAAUGUUUUUAUGGUUCAAGUUCUGCAUUGACACAUCAUCAUCUUAGAAGGAAUAAAGGACGACUGCAUCUCAAGCAGCAUAACCAUUAAUGAGAGAUGAAACCAAAGUUCAGAAGAUACGACGUAAGUUCAUGAAUGUUUACCAUCAGGAUCCCAGUUUCGUAAAAAAAUCAUGUAAACAAUUCAGAAACAAGGUCAAGGUCUAUAUGGAAUAGGAGAAUUCACAUAUGCAUAUUGGUCCCAGUCAAUGUUUAAGAAGCUAAAGAAUGUCUAAAAUGGAAUAAUGUCGGGAAGAAAGAAUCUACCUUUAGGAGAUCGAUCUCUUGCUGAUGAAAUUUCCCCAACAACAAUACAAGGAUUCAGUCAGUGGUAAGCAGAUACGAGAUCACAUUUAGUCCACAAGUAAAACCAAUAUGGAUUAGAAAGAGAAAAAAGAGUAGCAAACCAUAAUGGUGUUAAGAUCCUCUUGAACAAUAUUUUCCAAAGAGACUUGUUUAAUGGCUACAAAGUCUCCAUUCUCCAAGUCCAAUCCUAUAUAAACUCGACCAUAAGCGCCUUUACCAAUUUCAUCUCCCAGCAUCUGCCAUCAAAAAGUAAAAAAGAACAAACCUUUGAGUGACUACAAUCAAAGUAAACAAACUCCACUAAGAUUGAAGCAUUCCAAUUUCAAAUUGCUAGAGCAUAAGCUAAAUAGUAACUAGUAAGGUGAGCCAUAAAAGUUUUUAUUUUAUUUUCUAAACCCAGAAUUGUGUUAGAAGAAAAGCUCACAUAUUUGUUGUCGAGAGUCUUUGAUUUGUGGAACUGUGAUGACGUCAUCUGUCGCGCCAUCUGAGAAUGCACCAAACAAAAUUGCUACUCAAGAAAUUUGAUCCAUUUUUUGUUGUUGUUUUACGAGGGAAAGUUCAACAACAACAAAAAAUUAAGAAUUUAGGGUUUUUUUUUUUAAUUUUGAGAAAAAUUCGAAGGAUUCGUGAUGGGUUUGGAAGAUCAAAUUUGCCAGCACUAAUACAGUUGACAAAUUGUGAUACAAAAUUAACAUUAAACAAAUCAAGUUUUGUAAAUCGACGAACUGUGUAUUACAGGAGAGAUACUUUUGUCGAUUCCUCAGGCGCCAGGCCAGAACUAUCCUUUUUUAUUUUUGCGUCCUUACCUUUUUCUUCCUUUUCGAUUUCACCCCUUUAUAAAUAAAAAAACUCUUAAUAGUCUUUUAACAGUUGUUGAUUAGAGGAAAAUAAAACACACCCGUAUUGAUGAUGAAAGAGGAAAUCAUAUUCUACCUCUUCCCUUAAACACUUUGAAAAGGGAAAAGCUUUGAUGCUUGGAAUUAAGUUGAUUUUUUUUCAGAUGCGCUUGUUGAUUGUUCAAUAGCUUAGGCGAAUAAUUGCAGGUUUGUUGGUGGAUUCGACUGUAAUUUUGAUGUUUUUUUAUCUGAUAGUAAUUUUUGUUAAUUAUAUAGAAAAUUUAUGUGAAAGUAUUAAGUACAGUCUUAUCAGAUAAAAAGGAUUCGACUGUAAUUUUGAUGUUUUUUUUAUCUGAUAGUAAUUUUUGUUAAUUAUAUAGAAAACUUAUGUGAAAGUAUUAAGUAUGCUUGGAAUUGAGUUGAUUUUUUCUCAGAUGCGCUUGUUGAUUGUUCAAUAGCUUAGGCGAAUAAUUGCAGGUUUGUUGGUGGAUUCGACUAUAAUUUUGAUGUUUUUUUUAUCUGAUAGUAAUUUUUGUUAGUUAUAUAGAAAACUUAUGUGAAAAGUAUUAAGUACGGUCUUAUCAACAAUUUAGAUUUAAAUCUACUUAUUUAUUUUAAUUGACAGAAAUUAGAAUAAUCAAUUUUGAUUGGCGGAAUUAGGAUAAUCGGAUUUUAUUUUGGAUAAGCAGAUGUUUACGACCAAUGAAAAUUGUAGUUUAAUAGAAAUUUAUCUUCACCACAAAUAAUUAUAAGUUACAUGUACAUGUGAAAAUUUUAAAAAAAAAAAUAUUAUCAACGUGUUUUAAAAACAAAAAAAGCUAUAUUUUCAUUUAUAGAAUUACAAAAUAUAUGGAUACAUAGAUUAAAGAUUGGUAUAUCUAUCUUUAGUUACAAUAUUUUAUAAUUUUAUUUAAGAUACAUCAACAACAACGAUAUUUAGUGGUUUUUAACUAUUUAUAAUAUAAACUUUAUAAAGUAGUAGUAGUGAUAUGAUUUUUCUAUAUAUGUAGCAUAACUGCAUAAGUUUUGAGUGGGAAACAAAGUGAUAAUAUACACAUAUGACAACAGUCCAACACUCAGCAAUUUACACCAUUUACAUCGAUAGUGAUAAUUAAGAAAAAAACAGUCAAAAUUUUGGAUAAUCUGUCCCAAAAAUUGCUAUUUUUUUUUAGAAAAACACAAUAAAGACAAAUAAAUUCGAGCCUCAAGAAAAAAUCAGGCCUAUAUAUAAUGUCGGGUGCAUAAGAAAAAAAAAGCCUAUCCUAAGAGUGGUUAGAACAUAUAACUUAGGAUUGGUGGUUAAAUAUUAAAGACUAUAAGUCAAUAGGAUUGGUGGUUCCUCUUUUCAUUUUACCAAAAAAAAAAAAAGUUAUUUUUUCUCUCACAAACAUGAUUAAAAAGUAAUUAGGAUUAACAUGAUUAAAGUACGAGUAAAGUAAAUUACAGACAGAAUUUUAUCAUCUGUCUUUAUUAGCUUAAAUUUAAUUUGACGAGGGAGUUCACUGUCCAUUGUCUGAAGACAGAAGUAGUACGCUAGCUGUUCUGUUAAGUAACUGUAAGUUUGACUUGGAGAAACAAUUAAAUGUUUCUUACACUGACUCUCUCCAAAACCUCCUAAACGUGAGGAAUCCAGAGUUCCACCAGAUCUAACUCUCUUAGAUCUGAUCCAUGGUCAUGGAUUGCUCUUUUCUUCUAAUCAUUCUCUUACUCACAAUCUCUUCUUCAACUUCAUGUUGUGCUUCUUCUUCUUAUGUGGAAGAACAGCUGAGAGACAGAAUCAGUGAGUUGCCUGGACAACCUAGUAAUGUAGAUUUUAGACAGUACUCAGGCUAUGUCACAGUGAACGAGAAACGUGGAAGGGCUUUGUUCUAUUGGUUGGUCGAGUCUCCGUUGACCCGUAGCCCAAAGUCUAGACCUUUGGUUCUGUGGCUCAAUGGUGGCCCAGGUUGUUCUUCUGUUGCUUAUGGUGCUGCUGAAGAAAUUGGUCCUUUUCGUGUUGGGUCUGAUGGCAAAACCCUUCAUCCAAAACUUUAUGCUUGGAAUAAAUGUAAGAUCCUUUUCUGAAUCUCUCACCAUUAGUUGUUCUUCUCUUCACCAUUCCUGAUUCAGAUUUGUUCUCUCUAUCUCUCAGUGGCAAACCUGCUAUUCUUGGAGUCCCCAGCUGGAGUUGGUUUCUCAUAUUCAAACACAACCUCAGAUCUUUACACAACCGGUGAUCAGAGAACUGGUUCUGCUCUUUGCAUCUAUUUGUGCUUUCUCUGAAUUUUAUUAACUGAACCUCCAGGGUUUCUUGAACUUUCAUUGAUUUCUCGUCUUGAUGAAUCUGUAGCCGAAGACUCGUAUAGAUUUCUUGUCAACUGGUUUGAGAGGUUUCCUCAAUACAAACAUAGAGACUUUUAUAUAGUUGGAGAAAGCUAUGCAGGUUUCACAAUUCUCCUUCAAGCUCUCUCAUCACUUACAGAUAAUAGGCUGAUGCUAAGUCUUGACUCUCUCUCUCUCUCUCUUGGACAGGUCAUUUUGUUCCUCAAUUGUCUAAGCUUGUCCAUGAAAGAAACAAGGGUUUCAAGAACCCGGCUAUAAACCUUAAAGGUUUUAUGGUAAAGAUUAUACAAAACUCAAGACUUUUUACAAGAUUGUAAACUUUGGGAUAUUUAAAGGUCUGCUUAUUCAGGUGGGAAAUGCUGUUACAGAUGACUAUCAUGAUUAUAUAGGAACAUUUGAAUAUUGGUGGAAUCACGGUCUCAUAUCCGAUUCCACGUAUCACCAGCUAAAGACUGCUUGCUACUCAGUAUCAUCUCAGCAUCCUUCACUGCAGUGUAUGGAAGCUCUGAGAAAUGCUGAACUGGAGCAAGGAAAUAUCGAUCCAUAUAGCAUUUUCACCAAACCUUGCAACAAUACUGUAGCACUUAAGACCUUCUUAAAGGGUCGCUACGUAAGUUUUACACAUCAUAAACCAUUUUUGGAUUAGUUAUGUUUGUUUAUAUUGGCUAAUAUGCUACAACUUUGUAUAUAACUCAGCCAUGGAUGUCAAGAGCUUAUGAUCCUUGUACAGAGAGAUAUUCGAAUGUGUACUUUAAUCGCGUUGAAGUUCAGAAGGCCCUCCACGCAAAUGUCACUCGCUUGCGUUACCCUUGGAAAGCAUGCAGGUCUGUUGAAAACAGAGUUUUAGUUCUUGUAUUUAAAGACAUAAACUUGACUGAAAUAUUGAGUUUUUGUCUCUCCUGCAGUGACAUUGUGGGAAGUUAUUGGACAGAUUCUCCUAUGUCUAUGCUUCCUAUAUACAGAGAAUUGAUUACUGCAGGUCUCAAAAUAUGGGUUUUCAGGUAUCACUGUUGUAUUAAACUUUGUGAUGUUCCCUUGUACGAAAUGACUGAUUACAUUUAAGAGAAGUGUAGAUGUAGUAAAGUCUUGAUUACAAAUAAAGAUUGCUUGAUCAAUCUCCCUCUCCCUACACAAUAUGCAGUGGGGAUACAGAUGCUGUUGUUCCUGUUACCGCUACCCGAUACUCUGUAGAUGCACUGAAGCUAGCAACCAUCACAAACUGGUACCCUUGGUACGAUCAUGGCAAGGUGAAAAAUUGGAGCAUUCUCAUGUUAAUAUCACUGCAUAAGAUUCAGAAACUGAUAUGAGGGGCCUUGGAUUGUACUUUUGUAGGUAGGUGGGUGGAGUCAAGUGUACAAAGGGCUUACAUUAGUAACAGUAGCAGGAGCUGGUCAUGAAGUGCCUCUACACCGUCCCCGUCAAGCCUUUAUUCUUUUCAAAUCCUUUCUAGAGAACAAACCAAUGCCUAUGAGCUGAGAUCAAACCUUACGGGACCUCUUCCCCAAAUUACUAUUCUUUCUUCUUCAUCAUCAAUAAACCAAGUGUUUCUUCAUCCACUGUCUUCGACAAUCCUUGGUGAAUCAAAAUUCAACACACGACUGAUUAGCUGUUAAGUACAAGUAAUAAGCUAUUCUUCUUCUUUUUUUUUUUGUAAAAUCUUGUCUCAAACAGUUUUUCUAUCUUUUCUCCAGUAUUGCAAGAUGCAAUCAAAGUUUUUCACACUAUAAAUCAUAAUAAUACUAUAUGAUAGUUUAUAGACUUUGAUUUCACAACUAAAGAAAAGACUCAAGCACAAGCUUAUACAACAAUGCUGACUUUUAUCAUUCGGUUAGGAGUCUUUGAAAGAUCUCCACAAGAUGCUUCCAUCACUUAAAGACUCUUUCUCUGUCUCUCUUUGAUUUCCCAAUACGUGAAACAACCACAGGGCCACCACGCACUCUUUCAAGUGCAAAACUUAUCCUCAAUGGCCGACCCAAUAAUCCCUGUAACAGAGAGAAUCACUUAAAGCACCAUCUGCAGUAGUAAUAGCGACAUAAACCUUUUGUUUGUUUGCUUUUUUACCUUUCCAUCCAUGGCGUCUUUAGCAGAUAGAGCAUCGUCUUCCUCUGCAAAAUCAACAAAACCGAAUCCUCUUGACCUCCCACUUCCUUUGUCAUACGCAAUCCUAACUGAGAACACAAUUACAUUUGACACAUUAAAGAUUCCAUAUAGGUUUACAAUUCAAGCUCUUCACAGUCACAUAACUGGAACUCGGGUAAGAGUGUAAAGAGCUCUCCAAGCUAAAUCCUAUAAACUCAUUGCUAAACCAACACAUAUUACAAACAACCAGGUACAUCCAUAAAUACCCAAAAUUCAUAACCAAAGACUCAUUCAGACAUUUCAUCGAACACCUGGAAGAGUUUAUAGAUGAGAAUUACCUUCUGCGACCUCACCAAAGGAAGAGAAAGCGUCUUUGAGAGAUUGCUCAUCUACAGACCAGGACAAUCCUGCAUACAUACGAUACGGGUAUCAAGAUCAUCAUAUUAUCAUUAUAAAUAAAUAUGUAAAUGUGGCUACUUUGUUAUAAUACUAACUAACUCAACCGAACCUCCGAUGAAAAGCUUGGAACUUGGCGAUGCAGAAGAAGAAGAAGAAGAUGUGCAAAAUUGAGGAAGAACUUGGAAGCUAGAAGAAAUUGAGUGUUGAUGUAUCGCUGAAACUCGUCUCACCAGUAGCUCAAUACCAUUCCUCAUCAUGAUCAAUUUUUAAAACUUUCAUCUUUCAAACGAAGCUUUGAUUUGUAAGUGUUUUUAAUUUAUACAAAAAAAGGAGCCAAACAAAAAAAAUAAAAUAAAAAUAUUUAUUUUUCUGAAUAAAAACUAAACAAAAUUGAAAUAUAUUUUUAUUGAAAAUAUCUCUGUGGAUGAGGAAGGAGUAACCGAAAAGGAUAAAUCAUUUCUUCUUCUUCUUCGAUUCUUCCUAAAGCUUCCUCCUUUUCAAUGGCGACGUUAGGCUUUAACACCACUCGUAUCCAGACACCGUCACUUCCCAGAAUCCCUAAAUCGUCUUGUUUUACUAAACCCAUCAAAACCCAUCAUCUCUUCUCCUCCGAAACCCUGUUGAAACGCUGCCGUUUCGUCUCUAGAUCGUUACCUGAGAGCUCACUGUCGAUUACAAAAGAACAAGAGGUAGCAAAUGAAGUACUGGAAGAUGAUCCAACGUCCGAGCUGAGUUAUCUGGAUCCGGAGUCCGAUGCGGAGAGCAUCAAAGAGUGGGAAUUGGAUUUUUGCUCGAGGCCAAUUCUUGAUUCCAGAGGAAAAAAGAUUUGGGAACUUGUGGUUUGUGAUGCUUCCCUCUCCCUUCAAGUCACUAAAUAUUUUCCCAAUAAUGUCAUUAAUAGUAUUACCCUCAAAGACGCCAUUGUUACCAUCACUCAAGACUUGGGUGUUCCUCUUCCUGAGAGGAUUCGCUUCUUCAGGUGCAAACACACAACUUCAAAAAUGUUUUUUCUAUUUAAAACGUAAUCUAAUGGUUGAAGUUGGUUUUGCAGGUCACAGAUGCAAACCAUUAUCACAAAAGCUUGCAAAGAGCUUGCCAUUAAAGCAGUGCCUAGUAAACGGGUGAGUAAACAGUUUUUGUGUAGACGUGAUUUUCUAUGUUACAACUUAGAACAAGUUGAUAAACAAAACUAAAUUUCUGCAUUACAGUGUCUGUCUCUGUUUCUGUGGUUGCAAGAACGUUAUGACACUGUGUACACGCGUCACCCCGGUUUCCAGAAGGGAUCAUUGCCUCUUCUGUCUCUAGACAAUCCAUUUCCAAUGAAUCUUCCUGAGAACUUGUUUGGGGAGAGAUGGGCCUUUGUUCAAUUACCUUACUCAGCUGUUAGAGAGGAGAUCGCCGACUUUGAGGAGAAGUUUGUGUUUGGUGCUACCCUAGACUUGGAUUUGCUUGGCAUCGAAGUGGAUGAAAAUACACUGAUUCCAGGUCUCUCUGUUGCUACUUCACGAGCCAAACCUCUUGCAGGUAAGUGUGUGGUUGCCAUCUUUGGAACAAGUUUGUUUGUCGUUGGAAUGCGGUUUUUAAUUCUGAGUUCUAUGCUUGAUCGUUAUAGCUUGGAUGAACGGGCUUGAAGUAUGUUCGAUUGAAGCAGACAGUUCAAAAGGAUGUUUGAUUCUAUCUGUUGGGAUCUCAACAAGGUAUGUCUAUGCGACCUACAAGAAGACACCUGUUACUACUGAUGAAGCUGAAGCUUGGGAAUCUGCAAAGAAAGCGAGUGGUGGUUUGCAUUUUCUUGCAAUUCAAGAUGACUUAGAUUCUGAUGACUGUGUUGGCUUUUGGCUUCUUAUUGAUUUGCCACCACCCCCUGUUUAAUUUCCCUUUUGAUAAAUGUUAAUACCAUAUUUUGCCAUUUAGUAACAGAGAUUUCUCACAUACUUCAAUUUGGACAAAUUGUUACACGAGUCUGCAAAAACUAUAGACCUAGCAAGUGAGUGAGUUACAGGGAACUACCAAUCAAACCUUAACAAGACCCAUAGCUACCUUCAAUAUCACAAGUAAUAUCUACACAGUUUGGCACUUUUAGUUUUACUGAUAAUUACCACCAUUCAGAGCUAAAGCGCAGGAAAUCCUCCAACAAUCAAAUCGUCUUCAUGGCUACCACUCAGAAAGUUAGUGACUAAAACGCUGCUUGGUGGUCCAAUCAGCUCCUAGACCUCUUUUGUUUUUGCGGUAUGAAGCGGACGCUGUGCUUUCCAAGUUCAAAUGUCUUGAUGCUUCCAUCAUCUAGAGAAACCGACAAUGUGGAUGCGUCUCCAGAAACGUCCGUCACUGUUCCCUUAUGCCUAUAACAGUAAAUGUAUUAUUCAUAUUAGACAUCUAGAUUUGGAUACAAUAAGCAGGUCAAUCACAACAGCUUAACUAAUCAAGACGAUCAAACUUACCAUGAGUUCUGAGAUCCAUGGACUUCGACUCUCUUUCCUAUUGAAUCUUUACCCAAUUUCUUUAAAAUCCAAUUAGCAUCCAUCAUCUCGUCGUUCCUUGAAUGAUCCUGAUGAGAAUGUGUUGUAACUUCAUUAUCUUCUUUCAUUGAAGCCAUGUCCACUAAGCUUGAAGGUCUCUUUCUCUUUGAUCUUUGGCCUUUUGCAGGACUCAAUUUUUCAUCUUCAGACUGGGUUGUAACCGAAGAUGCCUGAUCUCCUGAAUUAGGUUUCCUGAGUUUAAAUUUCAGCAGAGGUCUAGCUUCUUUCUGUAACGAUGGUGAGAUGGAUGUUUUAUCAUCCACAUGAUUCCCUUCACUUGUUGAUGCAGGGAACUGUGUGAUCGACCCAAAUGUAGCUUUACUUCCUUCAGAUUGAGUUUUCCCAAACCUUCCAGAGAUCUUCAGGGUUCUUACUUCGCCAGUCUGAUCAACUUUAUCCCCUGCAGAUAUACAUCAUUAGCAGAAAGUUAGAGAAAUUAUAGACUUGUAAAUGUUCAAGUAUUAGUUGUCCAGUUGUGUUCCAAAAAAAAAAAGUUGUCCAGUUAAUGCAUAUGUAGAAAAGUCUUAAGUAUAUGUGUGGUUGUGUUUAAUUAAAAAGAUCGCAACAUACCUCCCAAAGUGGACUGAUCUUUGUCCCUUGAUAAAUGGGAAACAACAUUGGCCUUCGAAGAACCACUGACAUUUAUUUUUCUAGCUCCCAGAUUAAUAACUAACUUCUUUGCCUUUACAGAUCUCUCCUCCCUUGCAAUUUGAAUUGUAUCCUCGCUAUCAGAAUCAUGAGGCUUGCUACACUUUAUUCUAACUAUCCUUGACGGCUUUUCUUCAUCCGUCACCAUAACAUCAUCAACCCUCUUGUGUUUUACAAUCUUAGGUUCAUGUGUUGAGCAAAUUCCAGCUACAGAAGAAUUCACGUCCGAUUGUUCGUUUAUCCGAAACCCCACAUUAUCUAUUCUAACACCACCUAAUCGGCGUCUCUCAGAUCCAAUCUCCUGAGGAAAUUCAGACUCUAACUUAGUGAGACUACCUUUUUUACUAGCAUGCUUUUUACUUGAAGUGUUCUUCCCGUACUCCUUGCUUUUCUUUGGAGACUUUUCCCCCAGACCUUUGAUAGAAAACUUCAGUGAGCGCCCAGAUACGGGUCCAUUUUCUUCAUCAUCUGAAAAUGGAAAUAUCGAAAAUAUUUCCUCCUCCGUUGGCAAACCAGUAGCAGCCCUUAAACUAGCAAUCAACUCUUUGUCCACCACAUCUUUUUUCUUCCAAAGUUCUUGAAUUGCAUCCGGAAUAUCCUUCACCUGAGAAGCCAAAUAUCGAAUUUGAAAACCAAGAAAACUUAUAUGAUCAACACACUAACAAAUUGCACUACUGAAUCCUCUUCCCAUUCCAAAGGAAGUCUCCCAGCUCUACGAGAAAUACAUAUAUGAUAACAAGAACCAAGAAGAAUGAUCGGAGUGACUAAGAAGCAAGGGUACUAAUAACAAGAACAGUCAUACCUGAUAACACUCCCCACGGCAAGUGGCACAUUUAUAUUGUAGUUUUCCAUCAACUUGAAACUGCAGAUAUUUCUCUUCACUGCAUAACAGUUUCCAGAGGCAAACAAUUCCAGAUUUAGUAUGGCCCACACUUUACAAUGCAUAUCUAACAUAUGAGUUAAUCUAACAGGUGGUAUAUCAUAUGGCAACAGAGAUAACUAUGUUUGCAACAAUAUAAUGAGGAAGAACCUUAUUCCAUCGCAAUGGCAAUGCACCCAGCGUUGACAAAUAUCGCAGCAUACCAUUGGGGUUGAUUCGGAAUCCCUAUAUACCUAUACAUGAUAAGAAACCUGAUUAAUGCAACACUGAAGAGGCAUUAUGUUCUGCUAUAGGAAUUGCGCAUUAAAAAGAAUGAAAUAAAUACCUUCAAGCAUACAGGGCAAUAAUUACCCUUCAAAAACAAUCUGCCACAAGCAUCACAGCAAGUAUAUGCUAAAAACCACCUGUUACAUUAGAAAACACAAGAGAACAAAACUGAUCAACAUAGUUUUAACAGGGAAAUCCAUCUGCAAAUCAUUAACUGACAAAACAAAGUAAGAUGUUCUUCUCACUUGUAAGACUAAUUUACCCCGCAAAGACUAAGGAUGUAUACCUGACACUUAGGCCAUUUCCAGGGACAGUAGAAUCACAGCUGUGACAUCUUGUAUGCUUUGGGCAGAGAUAUGGCCCAGAACUUACAUUCUGUGAGGUCAUGAUAAAAUAAUUAAGCCAAUUUACUUUAGUUGAAAAAGAUAGUCACAUAAAGAAGCUAUCUAUCAGGCACCUUGUGUGGAGGAUGUUGGCAAUAACAAUGGUACGCAGCAUCACACCUUUUGCAGAACAUGAACUUGUUAGGAUCUCCUGUUCUCCGGCAGACCUAAGGAGGGAAACGAGUCAGUGAGGCAGGUUCAAAGAUCUAAGGACACUCUCUAUAUAGCAGUUAGGCUAACACUUUUAAUAUGUUUGUUACUUAAGACAACUGAACUCAUUAAAUGAAAAAGAAACAUAUGUUUAAUCAAUCACUUCGCGAGCAAGUGGUACUGCUCAGAUGCAACAGAUGUCACGAACAAGAAAAUGAGAAACAAACUACCUCACAAACCCGGCAGGAGGGACAACUCCAUGAACUCCAAUGAAAUAAAUCUGCAACUUACAUCAAUUAGACUAGAAAAGAGAAAAAAAAGAAAACAAAGACUUAGCAAGCCAGGAAAAGGACAGCAACAUUGAAUGUAUGUAAGUACCUCUAUGUUGGGCCCAAGACUUUAAACAAUUCUUGUGGUACUUCUUUCCACAGUCUUUACAGGAAAGCAUCCUCUUUGCUCUCUCACUUCCCUCACCUUCUCCCAGGAAGCACAUUCUGCACAUAAUAUUCAUGCCGGAGGGAGCUACUUCUUCACCAGCAAGAUCUUUUGAUGAAAGCUGUACAACAAACAAACAAACAAACAAACAAAUAGAACGAUCAAUCAAAGAUAUAAGUCAAUACAGAAAAAAAAAAAAACGAUGACACUUUUGAGGCAACAAAUGUCAACGGAAAAUGCGACAAUUUAACCAAUUAUGUAUACACAAACUGAAUAUCAAAGCAAUUAAGAACAAACAACCAAAAAAGAUUUUAAGAAAAAAAAGGCAGACCUCAUUGACCCCAGAUUCAAACCUCCGAGCAUAAUCCUCAGCAGCCUCGACAGUAACAGCAGCUUGUCUCUGAAGAGCAACACGUUUCUUCUGAGCAGAAGCUUCCUCCGCCAUUUCAUCAACGCCGCCAGCACCAUCCCCAACCCCCAAAAUCGAAACAGCAGGAGAAGGAACAACCUUAGGAACCCUAACCUGAACCGUGCGUCCAUCAAGAGCAAUAGAAGAAACACCAGGAUCCUUGAGAAACUCCUCCAGACGAUUAACAUCAUUCAAAAACUCGUAUUUGGCAUUAGCUCCACGGAGAUCCCGAGAAAACCCUAGGGAGCAAUAGCAGAUCCGACGACUGCGGCAAAAGAACGGGGUUAACAGAGCGAAGAGAUAGUGAAGAAGCGUUUAAAGGAGAAGAGAAGAGAGAUAGAGGUACCAUGUAAUUGGGCAAGCUACGUGAAAGGCCAUACCAUAUAAUCCCACCACUACACAAAAUUAUUCCUCUCGCCUCCUUAACGGAAAUUUAAAAAAAAAAAACAAAAGAAAAAAAAUCGAGAUUUUGGUUUUAGAGAUCGCUUCUCUCUUUUAUUUUUGUCUAAUAUAAUUAUAAUUAUAAUUUAUUUUAUUUUAUAAAGAGAAUAUUUAAGGAUCGAUAAUGUAAUAAAAUUAGUAAAUAAUCCUAAAUGAAUAAAUAAAUCAGAGUAGUUUAGGUGUGUGUGUGUGUAGAAGAGUUAAGAGAAAGGGUCGUCUCUUUUGAGAGCGCUCUGUGAAAUUUAGACGCAGAGAGAGAUAAGAAAAGAUGCUUUUUUUUUUCUCUCAUCACUCAAGUCUCUCAACCUUAAUCAACGGUGUUUUUAAGAUGCUGCCAAAGAAACCGAGAGUGCUCUUGCUCCAUCCUCCAAUCUAAUUCUUCCACGUCAGGUCCUAACUCUCUUCUUUCAACUAACUAGUACUACACACCGCUUUUGGGAAUUUUCAAUUACAGUAUAGAAGAGAUAACUUAGUAGAGCAAUAACAAAACACUUUGACUUGGUAAAAUCUAUUUUACUUACAAAAGAAGCGGAUGGGUGGUGACAUUGUAACAACAACUUUUAACACAAAAUGACAAACAAACAAAAAAUAACAUCAAAAAUAUAACAUUCCUCAAUGGCUACAACACUCACGCAGUCACGCUGGUUUGUACACAAUCCACAUUAUUAUGGUCCACCACAGACUAUUACAGCCUGGAGUCAAUAUCUAGAUCUUAUGAUAGGCCUCUCUGUAUACGGUUUGUUCGGAUACGGUUUGAAUCCUCUCUGUAUCUAACUCCUGAGUACAAGAUCAGCUUGAACAAUGAUUUCCCCAACUGAUAACUUCACUAACAACCCUCACUUUGUUAUCUAGUUUAAAAUAACUCAAGUUCCGACUUUUUCAUCUGAAUUCUCGGUAUACAUUUUGUUAAAACUUCUUAAAGACUUUAACCAAAAUGUUAAGAUUUCUUACCUUUCUCAGCUCACAGUAUUCUAAGUCUGACACCUCACAAGUCAGAGCCACCAUUAAAAAGGAAACAAAAGAAAAAAAUAUUUGGACUCCAAAUUGGUUUUGGGCCAACUUUGUUUUCUUUUUUUUUGGGUCAGCUUUCUAUGAGAGGUAAAUUUUGGGCUUAAAACUGUGAUCCAUUCUAACAAUUUUUUAAGGUGAACGAAAAGCUAAAAGUAAAAAUGCUGCUUUUACCAAAUCGAUGUGUUUAUUUUACUCUUAACAAAACUUUGAUUGUUAGUGUUAAAAAAAACAAAACAUUGAUUGUGUGAUUCUUUUUUUUUUUAAUUAUUAUUAUUAUGUGAUACUCUACUAAUUAAGAUUUUUUACACUACUGGAAGCAAAUUUAUUUUAUUUUCUUUUAAACUACAUAACUCACAUAGCCUAGUUUUAAUGUAUUUAAAAGGCCCACAAUUUUGAUAAAGAAUUUGGUCCUAAAGUCCCCAAUAGAAAAUAAAUAUAUAUAUAUGGUUGGGGACUUGGGGUUGAUGAGUCAGUGUAAAUAGUGAGGGAAGAAAGACAUUAAAACCAUUCGCGAAAUUAAUAAAAAUGGCGACAUGGAGCAAUCGCGGCCGCAUGGGCGUCAAACGACAUAUCAUCGACAUCGAGUAGAGAGAGAGAUAGAUAGAAAACGCAAAAAGGACCCACACAACACAACACACACGUAACUUUUAGUGAUGUGUUUAGAGUAAAUUUAUUCAGCUGAUAGAGAGUCACAUGGCGUUCGCUGACUUAUAGUAUAUAACAAACCUCUCUAGUCAUCGUAUUUGCACAUGCUUUGCUUUGUAUAGACUGAGAUAUUAUUUCAUUUUAAAAAUGCCAAUUAUUAUUGGAACCAGCCAAAGCCAGAAUUUGUCUACACCUUCUUCUCUCUCUAUACCACCUCCAUGAUUACAGAGUCGCAUCUGCCGCAAUUCCCGUUUAUGAAGAUCAACUAAAAAAAACUCUACUACAAUCUGAUGAUAUCUUGUAUAAUUCCUUAUACGAUCUUCUCAAGAAUAAACAAUUUCUAUAAAAUAAUCUGAUUUCGAUGAUACAAUUUUAACUUAAGGUGAAAGUUCACACUAUGUUGUACUUCUUCUAUAUGGCUAUAUGUUGAAGUCUUGAGAAUAAUAAACAACUCUGUUACGGCUUCAGUUACCGACUUAGUUAUUAAAAUAUUUUGUGUGUUUUAAAACUUAGUCAGAACAAUAACACCACAUCAUUGUUUUUGGCUCUGUUAGUUUAGUAGUUGCUUGAAUGUUGGAAAAUCGCAAAAGUUAUCGCAACCAUGUAUAUUUUUUUGACAUCAGCCAUUUGCCCACCACGCUUGCUAGUACAUUUCCCAAGAUAGUUUUACCAUCAAAGAAGACCACUCCCACUAGCUUUGCUUUUUGUUACGAGAAAACAACAACUUUACAUUUGUACAUGAUCUGAAUGCAAGUAAACUACUAAUGUUGGUUUUAUGGUAUCAAAACUUUUAAGUUGUCUCAAAUAUUCUUUAUACACUAAAACAAAAUAUAGCACCAAUUACUACUAGCCUUACAAAUUCACCAAUAGAAAGACAACUAAAAUAUUGAAUCUACUGAACUCUGAAGUAAGAAUGUGGGGGGGGGGGGANNNNNNNNNNNNNNNNNNNNNNNNNNNNNNNNNNNNNNNNNNNNNNNNNNNNNNNNNNNNNNNNNNNNNNNNNNNNNNNNNNNNNNNNNNNNNNNNNNNNUUCCAUUUCGUACGGGGUUAUUAUCAUUUUAAUCUUUUUUUAUGUGAGGGUGCCUCAACGCCUGCCAGCCAAAGCGCCAUUUCAACCCCGCAUACUAGAAUGAGUGUUUCCGGUUGCGUGUUGAAGAUGACAAUCUAGCUCAUUUCCUGCUACCGUUCGACCUCCGGUCCCGCCCCUAUCCCUCAACUUUUUUGCGUUCCUUCUUUGGGGAAGAGUGAAGGAAAGAAAGGCACAAGUGCCGAUACGAGAGAUAUAGAGAGAGCAUGAAUUAAGGAGGAAGUCGGUUUCAGUUCAGCAAGACAGACAGACAAAAUCCAUCAAUGGGGGACCAUUCGCAUUACCUCCUCUUUCUACGUGAUUUCCUCUCUCUCUCUCUCACUCGCUUUUAUAAUCCCUUUUCUUCUUUGUAUAAAGUCGUAGCAUCUCGAGAUAGUCUUCCUCUCACAAUCCUCAAAUUCCUCCUCUCUCUCUCUCUCUCUCUCUCUCUCUUCUACUCUGAAGCUCCUCUCACUCACUCACUCUCCCUUCUCCGAGGAAGAACAAAAAGAGUAAAUGGCGGUUCCUAAAGCCAUUAUUCUACCUAUCUUGCUACUCAUCUGCGGUGCUGCUCUUGGAGCUCCUGCUUAUGAAGGUUAAUCUCACUCUCUUCUCUGGUUUCCUUUGCUUUUCGAAGAUGGGUCUUCUCUGCUUUGGAUUCUUAAGCCUGAUUUUGUGUUUUUGGAUGAUAAAUAUUCAAAAGAUUCAUCCUUUCACGGUAGAUCUAAGUUUUUUUCUUCUCUCUGUUUACUUCUUCUUCAGGAUACCUUCGUAAUGGAAACUUCGAAGAGUCACCGAAGAAAACCGACAUGAAGAAAACAGUUCUAAUCGGCAAAACCGCCUUGCCCGAAUGGGAAACCACCGGUUUCGUCGAGUACAUCGCCGGUGGUCCUCAACCCGGAGGUAUGUAUUUCCCGGUGGCUCACGGAGUCCACGCCGUGAGGCUUGGGAACGAAGCCACGAUCUCUCAGAAGUUACAAGUCAAGCCGGGUUCUCUCUACGCGCUCACGUUCGGUGCUUCCAGAACUUGUGCACAAGACGAGGUUCUUCGAGUCUCUGUGCCUCCUCAGUCCGGUGACUUGCCGCUUCAGACACUUUACAACAGCUUCGGAGGUGACGUUUACGCUUGGGCCUUCGUUGCUAAGACUGCUCAAGUCACUGUGACUUUCCAUAAUCCUGGAGUUCAAGAAGAUCCUGCUUGUGGUCCUUUGUUGGACGCUGUCGCCAUUAAAGAGCUUGUUCAUCCAUUGUACAUCAAAGGUAUCUUCUUCUUUAAGCUCUGAUUUUGGUUCCGGUUUACUUUUUUAGGGUUUUUAGUUUCCGGUUUAUUGGAUAACAGAACCCGAAAUCAGUUGAAAAAACAAAUUAAAUUUCCAUAUGGUUCAGUUUGGCUUUCGGUGUAGAUUAGGUUCUGUUUUAGAUUAAUUAGCCAUUUAAUUUAGCAUUAUAGUCGUAUUAUAUACACUUUGAUACUGAACCUAUAAAAAAUAAUUAUAAAUUUUUAUUAGUAAUGAAUUAUCCAAUUUUGGUACAGAUUCAAUUUGGUUAAAGGUUUAUCCUUGGACCUUAGUGAAGUAGUUGUUUUUUAACUUGGUUUAUUUCCGACAACUGCAGGGAACUUGGUGAAGAACGGAGGGUUCGAAGAAGGUCCUCACCGUCUUGUGAACUCUACACAAGGAGUCCUUCUCCCACCUAAACAAGAAGAUCUCACAUCACCGUUACCUGGUUGGAUCAUAGAGUCACUUAAGGCAGUGAAGUUCAUAGACUCUAAGAACUUUAAUGUCCCCUUUGGACAAGCCGCGAUCGAGCUUGUCGCAGGCAAAGAAAGUGCCAUUGCACAAGUCAUUAGAACUUCGCCAGGUCAAACCUACACCCUCUCCUUCGUCGUUGGAGAUGCUAAGAACGAUUGCCAUGGUUCCAUGAUGGUUGAAGCUUUUGCAGCCAGAGAUACUCUCAAAGUACCACACACUUCCGUUGGUGGAGGUCAUGUUAAGACCGCGAGUUUCAGGUUUAAGGCGAUCGACGCAAGAACUAGAAUUACCUUCUUCAGUGGUUAUUACCAUACCAAGAAGACUGAUAUUGGAUCUCUAUGUGGUCCUGUCAUAGAUCAGAUUGUGGUUUCUCAUGUGGCUUAGAUCAAGUUUACUCUUAAUGACGACUGCAUCUUGUGUACUAAGACUGGUCAUGGACUUGGUUCUUUGCUCUGUAUGUCUUGCUCCUUUUGGAAUUAAGUGAUAGCCUUCAAGUUAAAAUGGAUGAUAUAUCCCAUUAUUGUGAUAUGAGAUGUUUUGAGUUAAAACCAAGAGUAAUAGUUAUAUAACCAAGAAUUAGAAGGUAGAGCAAAACCUUGUUUUUGAUUUUUAAACAUAAUUAAAAGUGCAAAGAUAUUAAUAAUUAUUAGCUAUUGAAGUAUAAUAAAUUGUUAAUCACAAGUUGAAGUUUUGAAUUAAAGUGUAGAAAUUGAUUCACCAAAAAGGUGUAAGAUAUGAUCAAGUAGUUGAAAAACUUUAGAAAAAACUUUUAAAGUGGAACCAAUUACAAAAAAAAAAAAAAAUUAUAAUAAUAAUAAAAAAUGUUAAAAAUUUAGAAAGAAGUAAUCAAACGGUUUCAUUUAUGAACUGGAUUUGGGACAUAAUUUUGGGUCUUAGCAUUUAAAAAGGACCAGGUUUUCUUUAGUAAAAGACAAUCACUCUAGUAUAAGCAAAAAUAUCCAUACACAAAAAUAUAAACUCUUUGGAUAAUAAAUUAAUAUGCGUUAUAUAGAUAAACACCUCUGAUCCAAUUAUUUAUGUUGAAACUAUAAAAGAUAACGGGUCUCUCGAACAAAAUAUGAAGAAAAAACAAAACACAAGAACUAGAAACAAAAAGAACGAAGAAGGGAGAUGAGAAAGAUGCAACUCGUUUAUAAACUAAGCAAGUCCUAAGAAGAUGAUGAGGAUCGCCCACGCAAGAACCUCCACGGUCCAGUUCCCGUUGCCAUCCUGCAUAAAAUCGCACACCACCGACGCCGAGUCAGAAAAAAAAAAAGACUUUCUUCUACUAUAAUGGGCUAUAAUAAUAGUAAAGGCCCGUUAAGGACGCAAUUUAAAAUACCUGGCAAUUCCAGUAAUAGCUCGGAGAGCCAUAUAGAUGGUAAGAGCUAUCCAUAUUCCUAUGAAACCAUUGGUCUUUGCCAUAUAUAUUAUUGCUGCAAUGCUAAUGGCCGCCACUCCUACCUGACAGUAUGUCAGAGAAUUGCCGAAUAGUAAGAAAGAGUCAAACUUCAAGAAAAAAGUGAAAUGAAGACAAGCAUUGCAGAUAGAUGUGAGCAAGAGGGUGUGGCGGGACGUACCAUGGAGUAUGCAGUGUAAGCAAAAUCAGAUGCUCCAAAAUUGACUCCAUCCAAUACAAAGGCGAGUGAGUUUAUUGGCUGCGUUGCUGCUAUAAACUGCAUACAUGUAUAUAUAACAUAUAACCUCUUUAUUACUAGUCCUUUUCAAAUGCUUUUUAUACUAUAUGGUAUUGUUUAAUGAUAGUUAGUAGCUAGUACCGAGAUGACAAAUGACAAAAAAAAAGUUAGUAGCUAGUACCGGUAUUCCAAUGGCCAUGAGGCGAAUAACAGCAGCGUCUUUGGAGAAUAUUCCGGCACCAAAGUGGAGACCCAGUCCAACGAAAAGGGACAGUCCAAGUCCCAACGCUAAACCCAUCUGCACACCAAUUUCAUUUAUUUUAUUUUUUUUGGUUUUAGUCACAAAAUUAUUUCAUUUAUUGUGUAAAGAAAGGUGAUUUGAACCGAACCUGUAGAACACGGGCUGCAACAGCAGACACUUUGUUAUAGUCUUUCUCAGCAAACGAACAAGCCAGAAUCGCCUGUAAAAUAAAAGACUCAUAUUCAAACGAUCAUAUAUUUUCUAUAUCAAUUAAUAAUUAGCUACAAACGAGGGUUACAACAAAAAUGAUUGAUUAUAGUAAAAAGGAAUUACCUGAGCAGCAACAGCAAGACCAUCAUUGAGAAGAGAAGAAGUUAGCCAGACUUGUAAGCAAAUCUGAAAAGCUGCCAUUGGCGUUGUACCGAGCCGAGCGGCCAUUGAUGCUGCUAAGGUCUGACAAAACGUCACAGCUAUGGUCCUCGCCAGCAAUAAUAGCCCUUUCAUUUUUUAAUAUUACUAACUGUUAGACAUCAACAUUUCGAACUAUAUUUUUAUAUGUAUUCGAUAUUAAAAAGAAAACCCUUAUUUUUAAAGUCAAUCUAUUCGAUUUGUUGUCCAAAAAAAAAAAAACUUUUAUUUAACUGAAAUCAAUUUAUUAAGAUUUAUUUUUCUCCUUUAUUUAACCCAAAAAAAAAAAAGAGAAGAUAUUAUUUUCUGAUAGUAUAUUUUUGGACUCUGUGCAGUAGCACCUACGACGGAUCUCGUACUUUGAUAACAGGAAGAAAAGCAACUUUUAAUGAAUACGCAUCGACACGUACCAUUUUUGAGGAACCUUCCGAACUGCAAAUCCCCGAAGUUUGGUGGCAUCAAAUUAACUUCCUUUGCGAGGAGGACGAACAAAAUUAGAGUCAUAAAGUACCUUCAUGUAUACAACAACACAAGACAUCAUUAGUUUUUCAGUCUGUGGUUAUCAUUUGAUUAGUCUUAUAUUAUUUGUAUCUUUUUUAAUAAUAAAGUUCAUAAGUCUAAAUAAAGUUUCGACCAAAAAAAAAAGGUCUACAUAAAGUUGUAAAAAAAAAAACAAGAUAUGAGCCUAGUAAUAAUUAUCAGUAAUGAUCAAUUUUGCAUGUGUGAAGAAAAGUUAAGAGUGAUUUCUCUUACUGAGAAAUGACAUGGGCUAUGGCUGCACCGCUGACCCCAAGACGAAGCACAAAAAUGAAGAUGGGGUCGAGGACGAUGUUAGUAAGAUUUGCUACGACUGUUUCAUGCAUCAAGACAGAUAAUAUAUUAGAAUAGAGUGACAAUGUGGUAAUAAAAUGAUAAGAAUAGAGUGAUUAAAGACGAUAUAUCUCGUCUAACGUAAUUACCAGUGGCAAAGAGAGGAGUUUUGGUAUCCUUGAAGCCACGAAAGACGCCUUGCAUAGCAAGAGACAAAAGCAAUGCAGGAGCCCCCAAAGCUCGUAUGCUCAAGUACUUGUGCGCUGGUGCUAUCAUUGGCGAAUUCUGUUAUCCAAAACCCCAACUCAAAUUAUUAGUCAAAAAAUUUGUUGUCCCAAUCCAAGAUUAUUUAUGUGCAUGCAUGCAUGUUUAUGUGUGUGUAAACUUACCGGCUUCACUCCCAUGACGCCUAGAAGCAACUUGGAACUGAAAAUCAAGAUAAUAGAUUGCACAAGGCCGAGAAUUAACCCCAAGAUCAUGGCUGUUGAUGCUGUUCGAAUUGUCCUCUUCCCUUUUUUCUUAGCUUUGGUUUCGCUGUUUGGCUUUGUAUCCGAAGCUAGUUAUUUCAUACAACAAAACAAAACAAAAAAAUAAAAAUUAAUGAGUCAACAUUAUUAAGAUUUACAGAACACAAAAUAUAUACUGAAAACACAAAAUCUUGACGUCGUUUUAACUACCCCAUUUAUACUUAAACACAAACACAAUAUGGUUUCGUUUAAAAAUGCAUACAUUAAUACCAACAUUAUAACUAAAGAAAAAAGAGAGAGAGAGAAGAAAGUAAUCUGAAUAGUAAGAAAAAAAGAAUCGCAACUUUUAUAAUAAAGUUGUAAUGAGUAGUGAGGUAGUAUGAAUAGCGGAAUUUACCUGGCGUUUCCUGUGGUGGCUGGUUGGUAGUGUUACUUGACGGUGAAGAAAGACCCUUUUCCAAGGAAUCCUGAACAAGAUUGGCUUUGUUUGCUUCUUCUUUCAUUUUCUCCAUAGUGUCUUCCUCCGCCACGAAAGAAGUUGUGAUGCUCACAAGUGGGAAUACAGUUAUCCUAGAAGCUUGAUUGAAUAUGGCAAUGGAGACUCCAACCGCCGCUAGCUGAACCGCUCCUAAACGCCCGAUAAAAGCGGUAUCAAUCAGAGAGGCGAUUGGGUCAGAAGCCAAAGCCAAAGCUGCUGGAAACGCCAUGCCUAGAAUCUCUCGCCCAAUUUUAUCCCAGCUGAAUACAUGGCUGCAGUUUCAUACAUAUUAACUAAAUGUUAUACGCAACACACACAAAAAAAACUCUUCAAACAUUAAUACUUCAUAAACAAACACAAAACACACACAGACCUUAAAUCUUUGAAGAUAACAAGAAAUGGGACUGACGGCUUGCUCACGCUGGUUGGAACUGUAGCAAGAUGACCAUCACCAGUUUCCGUCAUAGAUUGUGUUUCCUUCUUCUUCUUCUUCUUCUUUCUUUCUCUUUCGUAACUGUCUCUGUAAUUAAUUGCUUGUGUCUGAAAAUGACAUUAAGUGUUACGAAGAAUCGGAGGAGCAAAGGGAACGUUUAUAGUAGAUUCUGUGUACAAAUGUAUUUGUAUUUAUAGACACGUAAUGAGCAUGCAUAUCUUUGCUUAUUUAAUACAUAAAAAAUAUAUUAAAUAUUCCUUUCUUUUCUUCUUUCUAUUGUAUUUAUUGAAGAAAACAAAAGUUUUCCUUCCCUAACUUUUUUUUUUUCUUGUUGCUCUUUAAUUCCGUCCAAACUAAAGACACCAAUAUUAUAAUUUUUCUCUUUUCAUUGAAGGAAAUUAUUGGUAGACAUAAACAUCGUAAUAAUACUUCUAUUAAGUAAUUAAAUCCCAUUAGUACUUUUUGGCCUUGUUAAUUGUAACUUCUAAGAUUUCUUUAAUCUCAAGAGGAAAAUAUGGUACUUGUGAGCUAUAACAAAAAAUUGUAGCACUGAUGAAGCUGGCUGUGAAAGAGAAAGAGUCUUCUAAUGGAAAUAACUUUUGUUUUCAUCAAAGUUUUCUUUACUUGUAUUCAUCAUAGUGGGCAUGAGUUUGUUUUCUUCUAAACUCCUCAUUUUAUUUUUUGAUAUCUUCCACUGAAAAAGUGAAUCUUUUUGCGUAAUUGAAGUUCACUAGUUGCCAAAGAUUUUAUUUUAUCAUUAUAUAACAACUAAUUUUAAAUUCAAAAGCUUCUUUUAAUCGGCAGUUAUAAAAACUUUAAAUCUUUUGUUAUGCUAUAUCAAAAUUCUGGAUUAGUAUGGUAUAUAAUCGAAUUGGCAUAUAUAGUUUUUUUUUUUAAAACUAAAAUUUUGGUAAUAUGAUUUAAUAUGACUGUAAUUCAUUUUCAAUAUGUUUACUCUGACAUGUUACUUAGACCAAUAAUUACACUUUAUCAUUAUGAUUAACAUUUAAUUUUUAAGUUCUCUUUAAUACAUUUUCAAAUUUACAAAUCUAAAAUUUAUAUAUAUACAUUUUAUGUCCUCUCCUUUAAUAUAUAAGAUAUUUUUAUAUAGAUUUCAAUUAAAAAGUCACUCUUGUCGUAUUUCUUCCGAUAAAUGACUAAAAGACAAAUAUACCGUUUAUAAUUUCGGCGACGAUUAAAGUAUUUUAUCGUUAUCAUACUUUCUUAACAGAAGAACAAAAAGAUGAAACAAAAUCUGACUUGGAGAUGAAAUUCCGGUGAACUCGACACCGGUAUUUAGAAAUUAUACUAAGAAAAUAAUAUUAGUUUAUAAUUGUUUUUUUUUUUAAAUAACAUGGUACUCAGAGUAUACAUAGGACCUCGGUUCUAAGAUUUUCAUGUCUUUUGAUGCCCCUUGGGAAGUUGAAAAGAAUAAUUAGUUAUAUAAGUUAUAGCAUUACUAAAAACACAUGCUUGUUGAAUGUUGAGCAUUGAGGGAGGGAGGGUUUUGAUUGAGGGAGGGGUUUCUGAGGGAGGGUUAGAGGCAGUUUAGUUUACCACGAUUCAGAGUACCUAGGAUUAAAUCGAUAUAGCUAGCUAGUUUAAAAUAUCUUUCUUUGUAUUAUUUGUGUCAUGGCCAUUUUAGCAAACACUAUAAGCUUUCUAAUAUGAUUCUAUCAAACACCCUUCCAAUUAUUAUAAAUAUAAUAUAUUAGUUAAAGGAAGGCGACAGUCGGGAAACAAUAGCAUAAAAGGAUGGCUACACAGACCAACACAGGUGAGUUGUAUAUAGUGCGUGUCGUGUAUGUUCUUUGUUCCGCAAGAUAAGGCCAUCUUUUCCAAGCUAGCCAUCAACGUCUAUUUCAUUACCAACAUUCCACUUCCCCCAUUCAUAACCCUCAUUUUACUAUUCAGGAUUCCUAGACUUUAACUCGCUUUUUACAAACUAUAUAUGUGAUCAAGGACGAAAUUAUAAUUCAUUACACGAAAUUUUAUAAUUUCACUGUUCUCUAACUGGAUAUAUAUAUAUAAGGUGAAAAUUUGAUUGUGUAAUAUAUGUGGUGAUAAUAUGUAAGUGUUUAUACCAGCUUUUUAUGUAUUGCAAUAAAUAAAGAAUUAAUACUCUUUAUAUGACAUUUGGAAUGAUUACUUUAAAUAACAAAGAAGUAAUCAAAUAUCAAAGUAAUAAUAUACAGAGAUUGUCUUGUUUAAAACAAACACUCAAAUGAGGAUGAAGAUUAAUUAAUAGGAAACUGAAGAUAAAAUUUACUAAAUAUUUGGGGAAAAUAAGAUAAUUUUGCAAAUGGAAAAUUUAAUUUCUAUGCAACUCUAUGAUCUGAUAUAAAACUAUAGGUUAGUUGACACGUGUAAUAUUUUGUUUUUCAUUUUCUUAUACCUGAAAACAUGGUUUUAACAAAAAAAACAAACUUUAAUAUGUUGAAGCGUUUGACACUCUUUUAUAACUCAUAAACUGAAAAACUGGUAUUGUUGUUAUUAUUUACACGACAGAUAAAGUAUAAAUUUUAAUUAAUAAUUAAGCUCUACAAACGCUCGAUCUUAAUCGUAAUCUAGUUAAAUAUAUAGUUACUGAUCGGGCGUUAAACAUACUCUAUGUUCUAUUCUUUCUCACGGUUCGUAACCAUACAUACACAACAGUAGACAGCUUCAUAUAAGUCAUAACCAUACACAGCACUAGACACUAGACAGACACAAGGAAGUGUCCUACAUGUUUGUAUAUAUGUCCUUGUAGGAUAGAGAAUUUAUAUGCAAAAAUUGUAGAGAACUGAAUUAUGAGAGAUAUAUGGAGAAAAAUAUCUGACCUUUUUAUAUGUGGUCAACGCUUAUAUAAGUAGUCACGUGAACUUGAGAUGAUUAGUCACUAGUCAGUCAGUGAGAAUCUAUGUUGGAGUGUGUAUUUUUAGAGCGAGGGGAUAAUUUAUAUAGGCGUGUGCCAAUAGCCCAAUUCUAAUACUUUGUUUCAAUUUUUAAUAAGUGUGUGCCAACACUUGGCUCCAAUUUAUACACAAAAUUCCCUUCAUAUUCAUUUUUGUCCAUAUGUUCUCCAAACUUUGCUUUAUAUAUAUAAAGCAAUGCACAUCCUAUACCCUUUUAUUUCUUUUAUAUUAACUUUUGUUAAAAGUUGGAAAUUCCUUAAUUUCAAAUACAUGCCACUUAGUUACAACGUUCGUUACGUUCUUGUAAUAUGCAUAAUUUUUUUAAUUUUUUUUAUAAUAACGAAACUAAUAAGACCAUCCUUAUCAAUGGGUUCUUAGUUUAUUAUUAGGUAAUUUUUUAAUAUAAUUUAAAAGAUAAGUGAUGAUUUUUGUUAAGAAUGUCUCUUAUUUAAGAGGAAAAAAUGAGGUUCUUCUUCUUUAAUUUUUAAGAGCCAAAUUUAAGAAUCUAUCGAUAUCGAUAUUGCUCUAAUGUCUAAUUUAGCUUCCCUCUUCUUCUGUCUCCCUAAGACCAUUGAUUUGGAGUUAAACUGAUUAGUAAACUAUCGAUUGAUAAGUUUAUAUAUAGUAUUGAUUAAUAAGUCAGUUCAACUCCCAGUAAAAAGAAAACUUGUAAUCCCAAGAAUUGGAACCCAUAUGAAUAUUCGGUUUGUGUAUGAAACCAAAAUGAUUCGAUUGAAGGAAAAACUUAUGAGCGACGUGACGUAGUGGCUGAAGUCACAUUCAACGUAACAGUCACAAUCAACGUAACAGUUUUAUUUUAUACAACAAAAGUGGGCUACGUAGGAUUCCCAAUUAUAAGUUGCAACAAAAUGCUAUUAAUUUGUUUAACCUUCAUACAUUUGUCUUUUUUUCUUUCACAUAUUUUUUUUUUAACAUAUUUAUAAAAAAAGUUAUAUAUAAUUUAUUUAUUUAUUUCUAUUGUUAUGCGCUUUCACCUUACCUAAUUUAUCCAUCACGAUCCCCAUUGAACUACAUUUGAUACCUCACGUUUCUUAUCAUCUCCUUUUAUAAGCUAUCCGCUGUUUAAUUAAUUAUUACUAUCUAAAAUGUGUGUUAAUCAUAUCAUUCGUAUCUCAAAAUAUUUGCUAGAGGAUAUAUGCAAAAUGAUUCGUGGAUGAAAUCGCUAGAUUUUUUUUUCUUUUCUGAUUAACUUAACGUUUAGCUACGUAGUGCGCACUCUAAUUUUCAAAAGAUGCAAUUAAUUGACAACAAAAUUCCUUAUAUAUAUAUAUAUAUAAAGAGUACAUUAAAAGUACAAAUGUACCAUGACUUAAAAUAUUUCCUAGAAAAACACUUGACGUCUCUGGGAAAUGAUUUAAUUACAAAGACAUCAACACUCGAGAAUGACUCCAUUAUGUCUACACGCACAUCGGGCACGAGCCACUAUUUUUAUAUUGUCUCUUUGCUUUAUUAGUGUCAUUUUAUUAUACUUAUAUCAAUUUGAUAUAUAGAAUCCGCAAUUAGAUAAAUUAUGUGGCUACGAAAAGAGAAGGGUCGGAUGUAUAAGCACAUAGGAACUAUCAGUCUUUGAUAGUCACAUUAUUUCAAAUAAUAAUAUAAUUCAAGUAUUGGAUAUGGGUUUGAAGAGCCGCGAGCCAAUGAGGUGGGAAGAAGAAGAACUUUGUGCUCCUAUGGGCGCCCGCAAGUUGGUCUAUCGUUUGUAGAUGAAUUGAUUAAUUUGGUAAACAUGAAACUAUCUAUGAUAACAAAAAAAUAAAAAAAUGGAAACUGUGAGCUAUGGGCUAUGGGCUAUGGGCUUAGGAGAACCAAAUCUUUAAAAGAAUAUGAGCUAUACAAUGUUUUUUUUUUAUAGUUUCUUACUACAGAAUUCUGCUGUCUUGAUCAUUCGAAGAUUUUUUAUCUCCCCAGUCCCUUCAAUUUAAUAUAAGAAAGUUGGGUUUGUUAUUGUGCACUGACUCCCACGUUACUUCAGUUUCUACUCAUUUUUGAAGUUUUCAGAUUGGACUGUUGGAGUUAGAAAGAAAAGGUAGGCUGGAUGUGGAACGUGGUGGGUAUAUAAUAUGAACAAAAAAAUGUUUCAAAAUCCACGAAAAGAAGUGAUUAAAUUGAAAAUGUUAAGUAUAUCCAACAUACUUGUAUGUAAUCCUCAUUCAUUGUUAAUAUCCAUAUAGAAGCUGAAAGUUUUUGUAUGUGUAAGUGCAAAAAAAAAAAAAAAAAAAAAAAAAAGAGUCAAGUACAAUAAUAUAUUAACAUAUAUAACUCUCAUGAAUACAAAUUGUGUGCCCCGAUUGAAUUUCGAUUUCUCCCAUAAAAAGACUUUGACAUUACAUAAGUUAAUCAUGGCAUGUAUUAUUAUAUUUUCAUGCACUUGCCAAUGCAUUGAGGCUUAAUUUGGAUAUAAUCUCUCAUUAAGAUACCAAUCUGCAUUUUUCUCUUAUCACCAUAACCUCGAUGUGCAUAUCGUUGUAAGCAAGGAACAAUAAACACUCGACCUUGUGAUGAUACUUAGGGUUUAUAAUAUUCCAGACAACUCGAAAAUCGGAAAUUAUGCUCAUCCUCAGUAUUAGAGGCAAUCCAGCUCUCGAUUGAAGCAUAUCAUCCAUCUCUCUUCCUGCCCCAUACAUUGCCCGGUUCUUUGUUCCUAUGUAUAGCUGAAAUGUUGUCGACUCAUGGCUCAACGCAUAUAAUUUAGGUCCCUUUAGAAAGAAAUAAAAACAAGAGUUACGUUGUAUGAUACGAUGAAUACAUGUUACCUUAAAGUUGACACUGAAUAAAUAAAUAUAUCUCUCUAAUUAAGUUCAUAUAUAAGACUUACUAGCGCUUUUGCAAAGUUGAGUGGGCCAAAGAAGAAUUUGAUAGAUGGAGGAUGGAUGUGAAGGCCAAAGACAUUAGACUUGUUAUCUACUAUGAGCUUGGUAGAGCAAUUGCAAGUGAGGAACUUAGUUGGAGCACCAUGUGAAUCCACGCCUUCUUCUAACAUGAACUGGUUAAACCUUCCAAUCUGUAAAUUUUACAUACAUUUUAGAUAAGAGUACUAUACAAGCCAAAACUCAAGGUCAUCAUCAACAAAAAUUGGUACUAGCUAGCUUAUUAAUUAGGAGAAGAUGAUGAAUAUUACUCGGAAAGAAAUGUUAGGAUGAGGAGGCUGAGUAGCAAUGUAGAAGACAAGCAAUGCCACCCCAAAGCUAAACAAGAACCUCCAGCCUAUUUGCAGAACGAUCCACCAACCCGAAUUGGAGCUUUGCAAUGGUGGCACCAACAUUUUCUCAUCGUCCUCAUACAAGCAUUUGUUUUCAGGAUUUCUCAAGAAAUCUGAGUGCCUUGGAAACUCGUUAUUGACGCAGGAUAGGACCAAUAGCGCUGAGUCAGAUCGAGUCGGGGAUUGGAAUUCGGAUUCCGGGUCAUGAAAAACUGUUGAAGGGCUUUCGACGAAGUAGUUUGAGCUGCAGGGGUCCUCUCUUCUCUCCAUUUAACAAAAAAAAAAAAACAAAUAUUAAUUGCCUUAAUAUUUCUCUUUCGUUGUUUGGUUGGUUGUGUGAUAGACGAGUUCAUAUAUAUUACGAGAGAGAUAUGAAUCAUAUGAUUGGUCACUAUCUCUGAAAUGAUUCGUUGAUGUGGAGUAAAUUAAGCAUUAUAAUUAUAAUAGUUAGUGUUUUCAAUUAUUAAUUUCAUGGUGGAGAAAACUAUAAUUACACAAGUAAUGAUGUGGGUUUGUUGUUCUUGUAAUCCAAUUCCCUUCACGCUUAAGUUUAACUAGGUAAUAACCACUUAACCAAUCAUUCAACCUAGGAAGCUCUAUUUUUAUUUAUACAUAUAUACGAUCUUGAUCAUUACUAGAACCUCGGAAAAGCUUUCAUUAGGAAAAUAUUAUUCCUCUUUUUUAUUUGUGGCCGUUUCAUAAGUGCUCUCUUAACACGAGAGGGAAAAAAAAAGUCAAAAACAGUGUCUGUUUUCUUAACGGCUAGCUAGGUUUGGUCGCAUUAACAAAAAGAAGCGCAAACCGAAUUAAUAUUUCUUAACCGAUUUGGAGCUGAAAUUUGAUAGUACCAGAGAGAAACCAAAUAUGUUGCAACCGACCGAACCGACUACUAGUUGAUUUUUAUCAACUAUUGUCCGUUCAUCAGAGCCAGCGAACGUCCGAACCGAAUGAAAAAAGUUCUCAUCCAAAUCUCUUUAUCCUGAAAAAACAAACAAACCAAAACCUAGAAAAGAAAUAAUCAGGCCUUAAGUUUCCUUUCGGCGUGGAGUCUCCAUUGCUGGCCCAUAAUCUCAAAUCCUAAACGAAGACCUCAAAGUCCAUACAAGAGAACUCAAUAUUCAUGGUACACCUUUGUAUCACUCAAUUAUAUUAAAUUUAUGAUUUUAGCCAAAACAUCAUUUUGUUAUAUCCGUUUCUUUAAGUAUACGUUUUGAGUUUUUUUUUCUUUUCUUUUCUUUCUCACUAUUUUUUUGUUUUGUUCCAAUUUUUCUGUGUAACGCAAGUGUUCCAAUUUUUCUAUUUGUUCCUAUAUAGUAUUUCAUACUAAUGAAAGUUAAUAGAAUGUAAAUUCACAUCAAACUGAUAAAUACAAUUAAGAUUUUUUUUUCUUGUAAGAUAAUUUUUUAGUGUGUGUGGAAUAUGUUGUUUACAAUUUCUUAAGCAAUAUAAUUAAAGAUAAUGAUAAAGAUAAUGCUUUCUUAUUACGAAACCGUGUAUUACACAUCAACCUCAGAGAUUUGUACAAAAAAAGGAAUUUGAAAAGAAAGAAAAAAACUAUACAAAAUGAACCAAACUAAUCACCUCACUCUGCUGUGUGUAUGGGCCAUUUUAUUUAAGUACUUCCUCAGCAAAUAAAAUCUUAAAUGAAACAUUCCUAUUCACAUUUCCAUGUAUAUACUAAUGGGAACCAUGCAUGGUGAUUUUGGUUCCUCCACCUAAAGAUAUAAACUAUAUAUGCAUAUCCCUCUCGUUUCCAUGAACUAUCGAUCUUAUUGUGAAUAAUACACAUAUGAUGGGAAAAAUAAAGGGACAAGAAGGGAAUAUAGAGACCAAUUCUGAUUGAAAGAAGACUUUUUUUUUUACCAAAAAUAAAAUGAGACUCUUAUAGAGAGAAUAUAGAGGAUCAACUUCAUAUUCGUGCUCCCGUAGAAGAAGUAUGUAUAUUAAUGGUAAGGUUGAACCAGAUGAAUGAUUAAAAAAAUAUGUAUAUAAGAAUGAAUGAGAAAUGAGUAAAAGAAGAUAGAAUGAAAAGAAAGAGAAAUUGUCGUCAUUCGACUUGGAAAUCAAGGAAGGGAAAAGAAGAGUUGUUAUCGAUGAGACCAUCUAAAUCCCAAUCACCGAUUUUAGGGUUUUCUAUUUCCCAUUCUCCAUUCUCCAUCCCUAACAUAUUCCCUACCUUGAAGCUUUCUGCAUGACAUAUAUUUUUGCUAUUGAAGCAAGGAUCAAGGACUUGUAAGUUUAGGUUGUUGUUGCUUGUACUACAAGCAAUGAUAUUGGUACCCUCCGAGGGGGGAAGAAACCAAUGAUCACCUUCUACUGAUACUCUCUUGCUUGCUUGAUCAAGAAUUGUGUUUCCAUAAUCUUCUAAACCAUUAACGUUGAAAACAUUCCCUGUGUUUCCCAUUUGGUGAUAUCGGUUAUCCGGCAAUGAUGAUAUCAUCAAGGGAUCGUCAAGCUGGUUUAAGCCCACACUAUUAACCAUCGGUGCAAAAUUGAAUGAGGAAGAAGAUUCCAUGCUCAUGGUGUUCCCCACUAUUAUCAUGUUGUCAUCAUGAUGAUGAUAUCCAUCAAUCAUGGGAGUUGAGUUGCCUCCGGCCAUGUCCACAUGUAGAUCUCUUGGGUCCAUGGAAUUACUAUUACUAUUAUUAGGUGAUGAUCCUGAUGAAGUAUUGUUGUUGUUGUUCUUUAGCCUCUUCUUCAAUGUCGAGUUCCAAAAGUUUUUGAUCUCGUUGUCUGUCCUACCAGGAAGCCGAGUAGCUAUUUGAGACCACCUGAUGAUGAUGAGAUGUAAAUAGUUAUGCACCAAAAAUCCUUAUAGCACCAAAUCGUUUCGAAUCUGAGAUCGUCAUUGUAUAAAGUUACCUGUUACCAAGAAUGGAAUGCAAAUGGAAGAUGAGAUCCUCUUCUUGAGGAGAAAAAGAGCCGCGUUUAAGAUCAGGCCUCAAGUAAUUGAUCCAGCGAAGGCGACAACUUUUGCCACAUCGUAAAAGACCAGCAUUCCUAGCUAUGUCACUCCAACAUCCUUGUCCAUUGGUCAACAUGUAUCUUAUGAGCUUCUCGUCUUCAUCAGGCGACCAAAGUCCUUUCCUUAGCUUAGGUUUGUUGUUAUUACCACCACAUGCAUGAUUUGGCUUGCCCUUGUCUCUAGUCGUAGUGAUGUCCGGUUUCCUCAUCAUCAUUGUUGGACUAGUGGAGCCUUUUUGAAGAAGAAGCUUAUACAGAGAGAGAGAGAGAGAGAGGGAUAUGGAGUUUGGAGAGGUUGUAAGAAGCAAGGAAAGAUGGAGAGGGUGAUAUGAUUUGUGGGGAUUGCUUUGGAAUGAUAUGAAUAUGCGUAAUGGAUAUGACAAAGAGAGAGAGAGAGACAGAGAAAGAAAGAAAGAAAGAAAGAGAGAGAGAUGAAAAGUAGUGUUUGUUGGGAUUGAUGGGUAGAGUAGAGAGAGUCUCUAAUAGAGACAGAGAGAGACAGAGAGAAGAAGAAAUGUGGGGGAUGUGAAGAAGAAGCAAGAGGUGGGUCUUGCCUUUGUUACAGAAAAUAUAUAUAAUAAAAAGAAUAAAAUGAGCUUCGUUAAAAACAUGAUGAUAGACUUGUGAGUGAAGAAAAAUGUAUCGAAAAAGACUGGUUUAGAGUCAAAGACAAGAACAAGACCCAACCUCUUUCUCUCUCUCUCUCUCAACCCUUCACCACACACGUACGUGUGUUUGAAGUAUGAGAUGAUCCAAAUAAAAUAUACAUUCGUUUUUAGUUUACGAGUGUUUUAUAUAAAUUUUACUAAUUUCGUUUUUCUUAAGCUUUAUUUCUUUCUAAACGACAACUUAAUAACCAAAUUUUCACAAUCUAAAAAGGCAAUAUAUUGUACUAUACUCUUUGCAACGAGGCUUAUUAUGAAGUAACUUACAUUUUACGAUACAAUCAAACCGAAUCUAAAUAAACAAAUCGAAUUCAAGAUCCUUUGACAGAACUAUAGAACAUAACAGAAGUUAAGAAAGAUCGAUGAGCCAGAAAACCCUAACUCAUCAUCUAUAAUCCAAACUUAAAGAAUAUAUAUAUAUAUAUAUAUAUGUGCUAUGCAGGAUUAAAAAAAAAAACAAAUCAUCACUUUAUUAAUUCAUAUACACAUAAAUUGAAACCCCUACCCUAUAUAAAGUAUAAACCAAUAUCAAAACGAGUCAAUUUGUUUACGAAUUACCGAAAUAAAAACCAUCAUCAUCAUCAAUAAUAAAAAUGUGUUAGAAAUAGCGUAUUGGAAAAUAACGUGGCAUGCAUUAAACGUUUGUAAAUAGUUUCAUGGGUUACUCAACUGACGAUGAUAAGAAAGCAUCGACUUAUACCGAUAAUAGCAAGUAAUGAUGAUGGGAGCACGACGGAUCAUACACUCCUUCUUCUUAAUGUAUACUAAUAAUCAUCAUGCAUCACUUAAUUAUAGAAGCUAAACUUAAUUCGAUUCUCUAAUCUGUUCUCUCUUUAUUUUUUUGAAUCACAGUGUUCGACAAGCCUACCAUAAAAUUACGUUAUGAUUUUUUCUAACAAUUUUUAUUUAUUUUUAAACAGAGCAAGGAGACCACGUACCAAAAUCUAGAAUAAAUUUCAGAGAUUACACACAUACAAUAUCAAAAGCUAUUAACCCGAAUCUAUUAAAUCAGCUUCCAAUUUGGGCCUAUAAACUCUCAUUGGGCUCAUAUUGCCUAAUUUGUAUUGGGUUUGGGUCUUUUCAUCAAAUCUUAAGAUUUUAUACAAUUAUCUUUCACCAAGUCUCCGACUAUGCCCUCCCAAUAAAUUAUAACAAUCGUUGACCAACAAACAAAAAAGUGGGUUCUAUGAAAUGAGAGCAUAUUAGCCUUAUGCUCUUCACGUCCACACGAACUAUUCUUCUUACCAUAUAAAACAACAUUGUUGGUAAAGUACUAAAGCCAAAACCAAAGCCAAAGCCAAAGCCAAAGCCAAAGCCAAAGCCAAAGGACAGAAUUUGCUUUUGAGAGGCAAACAUGGCUUCCAACAAUCAAUACACAGCAAUGGCUGUUUUUGCCACGAUGACACUCUCCUCUGUCUUUACCGCCUCCGCACAGUACGACUCAGAGCCGUCACAAACAGGAGGAGCCUCUUGUUUUCCAGGAAUGUCUAUAAUCAUGAUCAUUUCUUCUCUCAUCCUUUCUGGUUUUGCCAUUCUCAGAUGGUAGAGCCCUUUGUAUGUUCUUCUGUCUUUACCUUUUUUUAUAUUGUUGUAUCACAUCUCAAUAAAGGAAAACAAUCGCUUAUUGUUGUAUUCAGAUGUUUUACUGAAUAGAAGAAACUCAGAGAACCUUUUUAUUAUCUCAAAAAUCUUUCACAUGGAUUGUUCUGAAACCAUUAUUUACAUUAUCUUUAUUCACACUUUUUUAUUUACAUAAUUGUGUAGUAAUACAUUUACCUAUCUAAAAUAUUAUUACUUUGAGAGUUUCUUCUGUGUCCUGAUAUCUAUUUAACUAUCAUCCUCUCUGAGCAUGUAUGUCUCCAUAUCUAUAAUAAGAGAUACGAUUGAAUUAGCCAACAAGGCAAAUUCUAGUUAGAUAAUCUGAAAGAUUAAGGAAAGACAAAGAUAAUCCCAAAAUUGUUUCACCUUACUUGAGAGAAUUGUCAAAACUCAGAAUAAAUAUGAGUUUGAUAAGAAAUAAGUUUGUCAUCCCCACCUUGUUUUCUGUGUUGGACAAUAAAAAGUUAGCUAUAUUAGAGAACCAAUAAGCUGACUUUUCAUGGAUUUCAAGUUUCAGCACAUUAAAGAACAACUAUCUAUGAUAAUUGUACAUGGGAUUGGAACUUACUUUCGAUUAUCCGGGGAAGCAUAUUUUAGAAAAUCUGCAGGCCACCAAGUAACUCUGAUAGCCUGAUAAUAGUAAGUAACACAGUAAUAAAAAAAAUCAGAGAAAAAGUAAGAGGCAUCAAAUGAAGUUUGAAGUUGAUCAUAUUGGGACUAGACCUGAUACUGUCUCCUUCUUGAGAACCAAGAUGCCUUAAAACAACUUCCUCCAAGUGACCAUCAGGAUAUGCAUGCUAUAGCAAGACCAAAAAAAUAUGAAAAAAUCACUGGUCUGAUGCUUUGGUAGGCAACAAAAAAUAGAAGAAAGUAUAUCAUUUAUACCUUAUAGAAACAACUUGCUCCAAAUGGGCAGCUUCCGUUUCCAAAGUUAAAAUGCUUACAGUCGAUUGAUCUGCAAGAUUGGAAUAGAACACAAUUCAUCUACUAAGCAUAUCAAGUUUGUAGACAGCUCAAAAUCAAGUGUUUGCAGUUAGUAACUAUACCUCAGUUUUGCCUUGUAUAUGUCGAUAAUUUCCUUUUUCUCUUCAGGAGUAGAGUACCAGACAACACUGGGGACAACAAAAUAAGAGAGUUUGCGACAUAUAGGACAGGCUCUCAACGUACUGUUGACAUCCAUUCCUGAAACAGGAGCACUGCUACGCCAAUUACGAAUGCACUGUAUACAAAACGGGUGAUCACAUUCAGUCAACAGCCCAAACUUCCUUUCCCCUGGAGUGGCCUUUGACAAGAUACGAUCCAAGCACACACUACACUCGAUAUCUUGACUUUGUUUCAAAGCCUCGAUGUGCUUUUGCUUCUUCUCGCAUUCUUUAGUGUGCUCUUCUCGUUCUUCGGGUCUAAAAGGAUGCAAACACUUCUUGCCACAAGUAGCGCAGAGGUCUCCAUGCAUAUGAGGGCACUGGUUACCUCGCGGGCAGUCACCAGCGGCAGCAAAUGAGCAGAGUGGGUAUUCUCUUGGAUGGACACAAUAGACGCUAGAGGAUUUGUCACCGUGGUUAUUACCGUCCCCAUCAUAGCCUUGGCGUUGAAAACUCAUAGAGGGAGCGGUGGAUAAAGAGCGAUCCAGAGACUCAGAAUCAGAGGUAAGAGGUGGUGUAGGAAGAUCGGAAGAAGCUCUGACAUGAUCAUAUCUACAUCUACUUCCGUAAAAACACAUUCCUUUUUGGUAGAAUGUGCAAACCUAACAAGUGAAAAUGGUUUGGGACUAAUGAAUCAAACCCGCCAUUAAACAAGGAACAAAGAAAGCAAGAAUCUUGACAAGAGAUUACAUUACAUUAUUAGGCGGAUCCUUAGAGUCAUGGGAAAAUCCACAAUUAUCCCCUUUCAAGCAUGAGCCAUGGACAAAGAACUUGCACAGUAUCCUACAAGAAAAGAAACCAGGAAGCAUAAAGAAAUCAAUUGAACCCUACCCAGAAACCAAACCAGCACCAAAAGCAUCAACCUUUGUCCCAAUAAGAUAAUCAAAAGACAAAACGAAAAAAACACAAAAUAGAAUCGAGAAGUUUGGGGGUACCUGUCGGAGGACAUCUGGGGAUGGUGCGGAGAGAAAAAGAGAGAAAGAUUCAAAGGUGGAAGAAUGACAAGGGAGAGAGAGCUUUAUUAUGUGAAUUUUUGUACGGUAUUGAAUUGUUGAGGACAAGGAGAGAGUUUCCCCCAAACAGAGUUUUUGAGAUAGAGCGCGCUUCCACCACACCCACCUCUCUCUCUCUCUCUCUUUCAUUUGCUAAAAUAUCACACUUUUCAUUUUUGAAGGGUUAUACAUGUUUCGUCGUUUUUGCUAUAUUUUACAUGCAAACAAACAUCCUCAAUAGCUCUACUGGUAAUAAUGGCCAUCCAUCUUUUUGAGGGUCUGCUUGGUUCGUCCGUUCGUUUAAAGAAUAUGAUCAGUUAGGAGAUGUGAAUCAUGUUAUGUAUAAGAUACUUUCUUUUGAAGCUACGCUUUGUUGUAUCUUUUGUGGAAUGAAAGUCAAAACAAGUUUUAACACGGUCUACAUAAAAAUCACAAUCCAUACAUACAGUGUUACACGAAACUACAUACAUAAUAAUAAUACAACAUACAAGACAAGACCAUAGUCUCUCUCACUCUUGCCUCUUAUAUGUACAUAAUAUAUAUUACACACAACAAAUCAAGCAGAUCCUCCACACACACUCACACUCACUCACUCACUCACACACCAAUCCUCCGAUUCCAAAUGCACAACCUCCGUGGUGCUUAAACUUACCUGACCAGUUUUAAAUGCUGUAUCUCAAUCGUCACACAAAUUCCACCCUCACAAGAAGCUUCACGGAUUUGUACUUCUCCCCUUUCCGGGUAUGUAAAGGAAAUGCUCUUAUUCCUUCGCUUAGCUCCCAUACCGGCAAGCAUGUCUGCCCUCCAAAAUCAUCCUUCUCUGACAUGUCAUACUCAUGCACUUCUAAUCGCAGCAAAGCCAGUUCCGGAACUGUUAAUGGGAACUCAAACACCUCAUCCCAAGAUGGUACCCAAUUAUCCUCCAAUGUCUUUGUCUUCUUCAUUAUUGUAUCCCCUGGAACUCCAGCUAUCCCAACCUGAGUUUUUGUAUCAAUGCUCAAUUUAUAUAGCAAUCUAAUAGACAAGGAACAAUUUUAUCUUAAGACAUUUGUGUGAGGAAAUUUACCCUCGUAUAGAAGUCAGGCGGUGAAUAUUGAUCGAAGUGCGUGUGGCGGAAAUCAAAGUACCAGCCUUCUCCCAUGUAGACAGUUACCUAAGGAUGAUAAGAGAAUAAGUUCACUGAUUUUUAUCACUUUUGUAUUGGCAAAGGAAAGAGACCAGACAGAGAAGAGAAUCAGAUAUCUCACCCUAAGUGUUGUUUUUACAGGUAGAGUAGCUUUUGGGUCAAAGAUGUCAUUAUCAGAACCACCUUUCAGCAGAAUAUCGGGUUUCUUGAUGUAGCCACAGCCGCCAUUGGCUCUAAACAUUCCUUGCAUUAGCCACAAUGAUCUUCCAUAUCCCUGUGCAUGCAAGAAAAUAACAAUUAAGUUAGCUGAGGAAUAAGGUUGAUGUCCUGUAAAGUAAUGGAGCACAGCUUCUCCAAAAAUAACAAAAAGUUACUUUUACUACUAUGUAUUUUUUUUUUGAUACCUGCAUAUUGAAAGCCACCAUUUGAGCACCAUGGCUCCAGCCAACCAAUGGGUUGUAGUUUGAUGAAGUAACUCUAGUUCCUUUUGGGUAAAUCCUCAGCAAAUUUUGUUGAGUAAACCUACGCCACACCAUGAAUAACAGGAUUCAUACUGAGUUGAUGGACUUCAAUUAUUACUUUGAGACAUAAAAACAUCAAAUAACUAUCAUUUACGGGAUUACCUCACAAUCUGUUUUGCAUAUUUUUCAGCUGCCUUUUCAAGUUGUUCUUCGCUCAAGCUAAGGCGUCUUACCUUGUCAGGAUCUACCUUUAAACACUCAGUAAUCCCACCUUUUGGUUUCCCAGCAUGGAUUGCAAUCAAAUGUUUAUACUGAGGUGGUGCAUUCUUCUUAGACUUGUCUUCAUCAUCAUCAUCAUCGUCAUCGUCGUCAUCAUCAUUUCCAUCCAAGCCAUCCUGCAACAAAAAAUAAACCUGACAUCUUUUGUAUAUGAAUACCAACUAACAUAACUGAAUGAAGAUGAGUUGCCUUCAAACACACCUUGACAUCACUUUUUUUCCUAUCAAUAAAGCUCGGAAUUUCUCUGCCCCAAGCUUCUUCAUCACCCAAGGCUUUACCUUUCUGCACCACUUCCUCAUCUUUUCCUUCCUUGUACUCUUUCGGAGGUUUGGUUGAGAUAAUAAUCCGCCUUUUUAAAGAGUUUGGAGACGGGAACUCCUUCAAAGAUUCUCCGACAGGAGGAGUAAACAGAAUUUCCCCAAAUAUCUGAGUAACCAUCUAUAUCAUACAACAAGAACAACACAUCUCGAAAUUAGUGUAAUAAUCUGAAAACGAGAAAGAAAAAAAAAAUCCUGAAAGAAAUGCAAAAUGUGGCUACCUCAGCAACUUUAGACUGAAGUUCUGGUGUAAGAUGAUCUUCAAGAGUUACAACAACAGGAAAGUCGGAUACAUCAAAGGCAUGUGCUCUGAUAGCUUUCAGACAUUUGAUCAACUCCACAGGCGCAGUGAGAGUCCUGUUUCAAAAAUAGUUCAGUAAAACAAACAAAAAAAAACGACAAGCACCAAACCUUGACUUCAUUUGAUUGAGUUCCAAGAAUAUCAUACCUUCCAUGAAGAACAUCAACAUCAUCUUUGUUGGAGUUAGGCCAUAUAUCCAAUUCAAUCACUCUAACACCUUUCUUCAAUGCAUCUAUUAUAGGUACCUCACUGCAAUCACUGCUAAGCUGAUUGCCAGUCAAAUAUGAAUUAUGACCAGUGAAUAUAAAAUAAUGCGAUAUAGGAGCAUCCAUGUCUUGAUGCACCUAAAAAAAAGUCAAUUCAACAAAUUCAUUAGAGAUAAGUCUAGCAUAAAAUGAAAACUAGCAUAACUGAGUCAGAGUUCCUAAAAGAGUUACCUGUCACAUUCCUAAUAUGCUACAUUCUCAACUUUAUUUUUACAGCAACUAGGGAUAAAAAAGAAAAAACAAUCAAACUCUUGAAUCAGACUUAUUCCACAAAUCUAGCUUCCCACACCACUUGCUUUAAAAGUACACAGCUCCUACUACUUUAUGCCAUAUGUUUUUCUUACAGCAGAGACACAUAUACAGAAAAAAUAGACAAAUUAAAUUGCUUCGAAGUUUGAGCACUUGAAUCAGACUCUAUGAAACUCUCAACAAGAUUAAAAUUUUAAAACCUCACUAUCUAGCUACCAAACAAGGAAAGCGAAUAAUCCAAAUCCAAAAUCUGAGUUUGUCAAAUCUAUCAAAUCAUAGUUGACUUAUAAAAUUCAGAACUUUUAAAAUCGAAACAAGAGAGUGAGAAAACAACCUCACGUAGAGCGAGAGGAGGGUUGUUAUCACCAAAGAGGUACUUGAAGAAAGCAUCGAGGUGAAGACCAUUACGAUGGAGAAGAGAAGAUGCAGAGUUGAUGAUUGACUGAGCAUCUUCCCUGGUAGCUUUAUCUUGCUUCUGGACAUCAAUCAGAAACCUGAGGAGAUGAUCAACGGUCAUAACCCCAUUCUCGGAGUACUUUUCGAAAAUGGUCUUGAUCUCACGCGGUGCCUCCGAUGCAGUGUAGCGAAACCUCCGGCGAAAGCAGAAACACACUCUGUACGUUUGCUUCGACAUGAGGCAAAGAAGAGACGGAUCUUUGGGUUAAUGAUUGGAGACGAUGGGAGAAGAAGGGAAGGGAAUGAAGUAGGGUUUGUGUGUAAGAAUCAGAAUUAUCUUAUCGUGUUUUUGAUAUCAGACAGGAAGCGAGAACAGAAUCGUUUUUUUUGCGUGUCGGUUCUGCAAAAACAAGAUAGAUUUUUUAUCCUUUUUGGUUUCUAGUGAAUCUCCUCCAUGUAAUAUCAAUCGAUCUUGUUGAACCUUGUCGGAAGAGAUCUUCUUCAAUCUCUGUCUCUCUUUCUCUCUCUCUCUCGAAUAUCCAUCCCAUCUGGCAAAUCCUAUCCAUUUGGGCUUUAUUGGGCCUUUUUGAAUUAACAGAGCCCGUUAGACAAGUUUUUCUUUUAGGGUUCUUUGCUGUUGUUUAAAGGAGCAAUAAGAGCGUUAUCUGCAAAAUCUCUCCGCCGCUCCUUUCUUGUAACCUUAAAAUCAAAUACUAGUAAUCCGAGGAACGAAGGGUACAGCUUCCGCGCAACCAGCAUGAGAGCCAAGGUGAGUUUUGGGUUUUGAUUUUUAUGGAUUUUUAAUGCUGGGAAUUCGAAGUAGUUGGUAGGAUCUUUACGGUCUUUGUUCUGUCUGGCUGUUACAGUGGAAGAAGAAGCGUAUGAGGAGAUUGAAGAGGAAGAGACGAAAGAUGAGACAGCGAUCUAAGUAGAUUCGGGAGCUGUUGUUUUUUUAUAUAUUUGUCUUUCCUUCUUUUUAGAACCAACUCUUGUGGGAGUUUUGUUGGUUUUGCAAUUUGAAUGUUUUGUUGGACCAAAUCGAAUCUAUCUUUUUCUAUUAGAAUUAUCUUUCUUACAUAGAAAGAUGAGAUCCACACGAGUUCCUGAUUCUCCUUUAUAUUCCUCAAAUCUUCUUAGCAUUUUGGAUUACUGAUCAUCUUUAGUUAAGUGUCUGCUUCGGAUAUGAGAUUUGUCGUGGUGAAAGGUCGAACAUUUGAUAUUAGAAUCGGUGAAUCAGUUAGAUUAUCGUGAAGCUUAAUUGUUGUUUGACAUCUAAGUAAUACGUCUCUGAUUGAAUGAAAACAACUUAUGCGUAGAAGUAGGUUUUUUGCUUUGAAAAUGCAUUUCUUAGUUUUACUCCGUUAGUGUAAACUUAUUAAUCGUUUUCUUACUCUAUUAUCUGCUGAUGAAAACGAUAUUCCACGUAAUUGUAGGGAGAAAUUUAUAACUGAGUGAUGCAAAAUUCGCACUACUUGGGCAACGGAAAAAAAAAAAAAGAUGAAACGGUUUAAGGAACUAAAGGUCUCAUAUAUUACUAAUAACAACAAGUUGCAACUCAUAAACUGUUUAAGGAAUCGAAAGUCAAAUCGAAAGAAAUGCAGAAACUACAAAACUUAUACGAGUAAUCUACUCUCCUCCCAAGAAAAAUGGCUUUCAACAAAAAGAUUAAACAAAAAAAAUGACUCAUCUAAAAACCACAGAAUAUUACAACGAAAUUAGGUUAUUAUUCACAUUAUUCCCAGACAAAUUCUGGUCAGACAUGUUGCAGACGAACACCUCCCUAGCAAAUUGAGCCGACUAUGAGUUUCUGAUAACUCUUUCCAAAUGCGUAUAUUAAAAACAUAAGUUUGUGUCUUAGUAGCCGCCUCCCAUCGGUGGCAUUCCAUAUGCUGGCAUAGGAGGCAUUCCUGGCAUGCCCCCCAUUGUUGGUGGCGGACCAUACCCACCACCACCUCCCAUUCCAGGCAUCGGUGGUGCAGGUAAUGCAAGUGGUAAUAGUUGGGCGUACAUGUUCUGUUUUAAGACAUAGAGAAAAACAUAAAACUCCUUUAAACUGUGUCUGUCAAGAGAAAGUCUGGGUGAUAUGGAUUGUAGCUGUGUGGUUAGUACCUGUUGGGACAUGACCUCCUUCUCUUCCUGCUCUUUGGCCUUCACUUCUUUUUGUGCCUCCAGCUUGUCCUUUAUUAGCUCAUCCACUUUGCCAGAGUAUUCUCGCAUAAACUACAAAAAAGAAAACAGGACAGGUCGGAAGAAUUCAUCAUACCGUUCAAAUAAUGGUUUCCAUCUCAUGGUUGGACCAGAGAAUCAAAGGAGUGUAUUUUUGAGGGUGAGGGUAGAUCACCUGGAGGAGAUACGGGAAGGCAAAGUCCAUCAUAUUGUUGAUCCAGGCAAGUUCUAGAGCCACGUCUGGUCGGAUUAAGUCAUAACAUACAAAGAGACAUGUGGCAAAGCAUUCCUUUUUGUCCUGUAUAACCAAGCACAGCAGAAGGCAAGAGAUAUUAUUUUUCAUCUUCUGGACCAGUUGUCGUUCCGUUCUACUAAUAAAAAUGAAUGGCUACUGGUAGCAUCUCGUAAAUGCUUAACCAUCAUCAUACCUGUUCAAUGAAAUACACCAGUAAUUGUUCUGCAAGUUCAUGUUCGCCAGAUUGUGAAGCAGUUUCCAUACAGUCCUUGUACAUGUUGUCUUUCUUUGAUAAUGCAAUUGAUUGCUUCCAUCUGCCCGCUUUCUUGUAGAUAUAAGCGGCCACACGCCUCAUUUCAACAAGCUCAUGUUUCUCGAUCUGUUCGCACCAUUCACAGGAAAAUUAUAUAUAUUGGUCAGGCCAUCCGUAUUUAUUUUUGUAUUGAGAGAAGAAAUUAAGCGUUUAGCAGAUUUCAACUAUACCUUCUGAGCGAGACCAAUCUGGUCAAAACUGUCAUGUAGAUCAAUAGACUCGCGCAACCUAUCAUAGUCUUCUUCUUCUACAUAUAUCUCAUUCAGAGCCUCAUUAACAGCAGAGACAUUGUUGCUCUGAACUGCAAUCAUGUAUGGCUUGAUAAGACGCAAGUGACCAGCCUGAGAUAGAAGAAUCUGAUUGUUACAUAAUGCAGCUCAGUUGUUUUUAGAGAAAAAAAAUUAGUCAUCAGUGAACUUCCAACCUUCCGCAUUAUAUCAACAACACGAGUGUGGUCUAACCGCAACGCAAGCACGUUCAGAAGAUCGUUGAUUAGAUCAGGAUGCUCUUGCAAGUAGAAGUGCACAGCCUUGUAGUACAAUUCAACAUUUGCUACCUUCGCAACAAUGUCUUUGAAUUGCAUGUGCUCCCAAGCUUCAGGAGAAUGGUUCAUGACAGUGGUCGCAGCAUUAUCAAACUCAUCGUACUGAAUGUACAGAUAGGUAAGUUCCUGCCAGUGCUGUUGUUCAUCACAGGCUCGUAUAAGCUUAGGAAUAUUGAGGCGAGUUGAAAAUAACUUGAUGUGUUCCAUAAGUUUCUCAUAACGAUAUCUAGCAUAGAGUACACCCAACUCGGUGAAGAUACCCAUGUGGGCACGUUCCAGCCCAAGUCCACUCUCUAUAAGUGAGAUUAAUUCAUUGAAGCACCCUCUGUUCUGGUAGUACUCACUGACUUCCUCCAGGUCAUCCACCUAUUAAGCACAAAAAGAUUAACCGUUACAAAUGAGAUACAUUGGGAUGUAAUAUCAUUCACAAUCAAAUCUUAAGCCCGUAUUAGGAAACUUUUGUGCUAACUAAGAUCAGUUAUUUAUUCACCUGAAUGAUAAUGUUAAGACCACAGAUUUGGGCCAACCGGAAUUCCUCUGCAUCAACACAAGCAAAGCACACUUCCUUCCAUGUCUUUGCACUGUUUGCUUUUCUUGCAGCAUCAACAGCACCUUGGAACUGUUGCAAUUUCACAAGUGUGACAGCUAACUUACCCCAGUUUGAUAUGAACGCAUAAAUUAUUUUUGCAGCCUCAUAGAGAGCUUCAUCAUACAGGCGAUCACCAACAUUUUGUAGAUUGGCAACAUUUGGCAUCAGAAUGAAUUCUUCAAUCUCACCUAACCUAUCGAUCUUCGCAUAUGCAUAGAUAAGCUCACUGUCAACCUUGGGUUCUUUCACCUUCUGUCUAACCAUCAGAAGGUAUUUGACCAAGUCAUCAUAGACAUCAGUAUCUUCAGAGACACGUAUGACCUCCAAGAAAUGAGUGGCAUCAUCAGCACGGAUAAAGGACUCAAUUGCAUCACUGACGAGUCCUUCCCUGAGUUGCGCCUUAGCUACUUGGCUCCAAACAGAAUCUUCUUCGACUCGGAAAGCAAACUCAACUGCCCGCUCAAUGCUUCUGACAUUAUCAAGCAAUACAUUGACAGCCUGAACAUUUAAGUUAAACUUCUUGAAGAUUGCAAAUGCUUCCUCAAACAAUUGGGCUUCGACUGCAACUUCUCCAACAGCAGGUCCAUCAAAGUUGUCCAGCCUGUUAAUGUAAUCCAUAACUCUUGAUGGAUCUGCCUUAAUAGCAGUCAAUAUAAGCAGAUUUUGCAGAUUGAAAUUCCCACUGAAGGCAGAAUUUUGAAGAACGAUCUUUUCAAGAAGCUCAAUAAGCUCGUGCGGCAAAUCAGCAGUCAUGAAUGCUUUAACAGCUGCAGAAACCUGCUCCGGGCUCUUGCUUUCAGGUAAAGCAGUAGACACAACCUGGUCAAUAAGUUGUCUUCUAUAAUCAUUGUUUUCAUCGAGAACCUUAUCCCAGAGGUCACCAUCCAUCCUCUCCACUACAUACCUACAAUUGGAAACUCGUGUAUUAACAAUCUACAAAGUCACCACCAUUAUGAGAUAACUCGAUAAGUAAGAAUUUUUGCAAGUAAUGAUAAAAUACCUGGCUUGUAACUUAAACAGAGAGUUUUUGUUAGUGACAUUGAUAAGCUCCUCGUCACAUUGUCCUCUUCUGUAUGCCACAACUGCAAGGGUAGGAUCACGUUUCUCGCAGUACUUACCAACCACCUUAGAGUCGUAGUAAGGGUUGGUGGUCAAGAAAUGCUCAGGGUUGUUGUUACUGUCUAUGAUAAUUUUACCCAAGGCAUUAUGGACAUGCACAUCUUGGCUUCCCUCACUAACUAGAUGCUCCAAGAACUGAGUGAGGAGACGAAGACGAUUUCUGAAAAAGCAGAAACAUAUUAGAGAUUCCAGAACAAACAGACAUAAUUAUGAACAAAAAUCAGAAUGACCAAAAUGAUUCACCUCUUCUCGCAUUCCUCGACAAGUGGUUCAACAGGAAGCAAUGAACGAACAGAGAGAAUGAGGCCUUUUAUAAAAUCUUCAGGGCAUUCAUCGUCAAGAAGCUGUCCCACAACUAAGGGAGCAUUCCCAGGGUUCACCUUUGAAAAGAAUCGACCGUAUAAAUAUUUAAUCAAUAAAAUGAACUACAACGCAUUAUAAGAUGUCCCAAGAAACCCAUAUACCUUUUGUACGUAACCUUCAAUGUAACGAAGCAUGUUGUUUGUGUAGAGGUAAUGAGUUAGAUCAGGCACAAAGCCGAAACGGUCGCAGACAUUUAUCAAAGGUCGUGCAUCAGGCAGCUUAGCUUCCAUCAAAAAGUUUUUCGUCUUUUCAGCGUCAUAGAAGUUAGACUCUCUAGUUACACGCUCAACCUCCUUGAUUUGUCCAGUCUUGGCAGCUGCUUCAAUGUACUUAAAGUGAAUCUCAGGAUCCUCACUAUUGUACAGAGAAUAAAUAGGGUCAACAUCAGCAUAUAAAUACAAAAAUCGUGCUUGUUUACAGGAAUGAGCCCAAAUUUAUAUAAAUCACCUCAUACUCAAAUAUGAACCUAGGAAAAAGUAUAGCCCUUCGUAUGACUUGAACUGCUCAAAGAGCUUAAUACAUGCAUCAACACCUAGUUGUUCACAGUACUCCUUGCAAGCCUGCAAUUGCAUGGACACGUUAGUUUCACAAUAAACAAUAAAUCUUCAUCAUAUCAUACACCACUUACCUGAACGAUUAUCUGGAGAUUGCCUCUCAGGUUGACCAGCAACAGAUCCUUCAUGCAUUCCAUUGCCCAAUCGCUAGAAAGAGUACCAAAAAACUCAACAAGAGCCUGCAUAAUGAGCAGAGUGUUAUGCAACAACUUGACCAUCCAGGAUUUUAGUAAGGAAAAUUUAUUUCAGAGGCACUACCUGUGGCUCAAUAGCAUGUGUGUUCACAAUUACACGUUUUAUAUCAGGUAACUCGGAGUAAUGCUGCAAAAAUAAACAAAUAAAGAAGCUGGAAGAUGACAAGAUAGUGAAUCUUUUUGCUCGAGAGAAACGGUAAAAAACAUGCACCAACCUUCAAUGAUUGAAUAUAAAGUCCAGCCUUUUCACAAAGUUGAGCUACACGAGGCCGGUCAUAGUGGCUGAACAUUCCAUUUGCUAAUAUAGCAUCGGCCACAUUAGGAAAGGUUACCAAAUUGAUCUCCAGAACCUGUGUUGACAUAUGAUUCAAACAGUCUGAGGAAAGAAAGUGAAUAGAGAAAGCACGGAGAGAUAUAAGGUGGCAACUAUUUUCAACCUUAGUUUGUAGAAAAGCAUGCUCAGGUAAAUUUGGCUUCAGCACAUCCAAAAGGAAAGCAGUCGCUUCUCGGAUCAGAUUUCUCUGAGUAUGCACAAAUAGAUAAUUUAGCACAUAUUAACAUCUACUGUAUACAAUUCUUAAUAUUGGAACAGAACAAGUAAUGAGCUACAAAUAUUGGUGUAUACAAAAUUUUAUUUUUGUUCAUCAACCUGAAGAAAAAGAUCAGUAAUGGUGUUGUAAUCAACUGGACAACCUCCUUCCAUUUGAGACAUCAUUAAUGCAAAAUUUACUGCUCCCUGCAAAUAAAAACUUAAAAGAUUAUUAAUAUGAAACGGGGAAUUUUAUUCUUCAUUCUAUAUAAGGCCAGGUCCAAAUUAUUCAACAAGGUAACUGAUUCAUAAUUCUUCAUGUGCUUACGCAAAAAAUCUCCAGUAAACAAAAUUCUUUCAUACUUGAAUAUGUCGCAGGUAUCAAGAAAGCACCAUACUAACCUGAGGAUCUGUACGGAGUAUGGUUUGCAGAAGAAACAGAUAAUCAGGUGUGUACCCAACCUAGUCACGGUAUAAAACAAGGUACUUUAGGGUAACCAUUACAGAAGAGGGUAAAUUAUAGAUUUUGUUGC
rnacentral:lncRNA from 1 species